CCAUUAUACAAACAUCAAACUAGCUUUUAUUUUAUUUAUAAACUCACUCUAGCCUAUUAUAAAGAUGAACACUUCAUUAUUUAUAUGCUCACAUUUAUCCAUAAAAGUCAACCCAUUGAUUGAACUAUAACUCCAUAUUUAAAUAAUGGCUUAUAGAGCUACAUUUUCCCCCUUGACAAGAUGACCAUCAAUAUCUCUAGUGCAUUUGCUAAGGUAGUCCAUCCAGCCAUUGGGAGUAUCAAUAUCCUCAUUUUUCUUCUCAUAACCAAUAGUCCAUCUAACAGCAGAACUUCCAUUAUCCUUGAUAAUCACUUCUAAGAUAACGUUAAAGACCUUAUAGUUUUCAAUAUCUCCACCAAACAGCUUGAAAGUGAUUUUUUUGUUCUCCUCAUCAACUUCUUCAACCUGCUCAUUGCAUGUGUGUACCUCGCCAUCUGUUGUUAUGUCAGAGGCAAUUAUAAUACCAAAAUAUAUAGCAAUAAAAUACGCUUUUUUUCUUCUAAAGAAAAAUACAAUACGUUUUUUUAAUAGGAAUAUGAAAAAGAUUAGUUUCACCCCAAAGAUAAAAAUAUUUUGAUAAGGAUACAUUAUUUCUAAAAAUAAAAUAUUUUAUUGUUUUUGUUAUAUGGAUACGUAUUUUUGUUCUUGAGAUGUUAGGUUACCGAUGAUAAGAGUGUGACUUUUUAACCUCAAAGAACAAAAUUAAAAGGGGAAUGCUAACGAGUGUCUUUGAUGCAUUGGUUAAAGUUUGGUAAAAUUACACAAUUGGUCUUUUAACUUAAUUUUAAGUAUCAAUUUCGUCCUUUAUCUUCUUUUUUUUGUCACGAUUUAAUCCUUUAUGAUAUAAAAUGACAACAUGGUUAUCCUUUUUUAUGAAAAAAAUAAUCAAAAACUCCAAAAAAAAUCAUCAAAACACAUAGACAAACGCAAAUCUUCAUCAUACAAGCCUAUAAAAUCAAAUUUCAUUGAAAAAAUCUCAUAAGAAAUGAUAAAAUAUUGUCAUUUUAUAACAUAAAGACUAAAUCGUGACAAAAAAUAAAUAAAGGACGAAAGUGUUACCUAAAAUUAAGUUAAGGGACUAAUUGUGUAAUUUUGUUGUUAAAGUUCUCAAAUAGGUAAGUUUGCAUUAAAAAGUAGUGUAAUUAUUAGGCUAAAGUGCACUUUCCCCUCCAAAGUUUCAAAAAGUUGUGAUUUUGGUCCUAUGUACAAAAACUACAAUUUUGGUCCCUAACAUUUAACCUCUUUAUAUCUUUGGUCCUUUUGGCCAAUUUUGAUCGGUCAAUGCCUACAUGGCACGUCACGUGUGUAAUUAUUGAAUUAAAGACAAAAGUAAAGUCUUGUAUUUUCAAGACAAGGAUUCUAUUAAAAAGUUUCUUGAUCAAUAUUCUGAAGGCACUCGUUAGCAAGACCCAAAUUAAAAUCUGAUAUAAAAUAGUUUGUAAAAUGAUUAUUAGUGUCAUCGCUACUAAUAAUAAUUUUGCUUUUUUCUUCUAGUGACGCUAAAAGUUUGACCUUUAAAAUUUCAAGGAAUUACAUUGGCACGCUAAUGAAACAUUAAAAAAAUGUUUUACGAGUAAAUUACUACCAUUAUUGUUGUAAAGAUACGCAUAAAAAAAAUAUUUUUAUAAAAAAAUAAAAAAUAGUGUAAUUGUAUUUGUAAUUUAAUCAUGUGUUUAACCACACUUCCAUCAUCAUGCCGCUUUGUAGAUUUACUUUUUUUGUUUAUCUCCUCCACUAUUUUAAUGUGGCCUUUAAAUUUUAUUUUUUUUUACAUAAUAUUUAUAUAAAAUCAAUUUUGUAGAGAUCAAAAUUUAAUUUCAUGAUCAAGAGUAAUUGAGGUCUUUUUGGUAAUCAGUUAAGCUAUGCAAAUGUCUUAAAUUUAUCUGUUAUAUAAUAUACUUAUAACCAAAUUAAUUUUUUAGAGAUUUUUUUUUUUUUCAUCCAAAAUUUUGAGGCCUAUAACCCUUGCUUGGGUUGCUUGGCCCUUAGACCGGCCCUGUUCUGCAGGUAACCGGUAUCCUGCAGAUUCUGCUAAGGAUUUAGGUUCUCAGAUAAUACCUUCAUCUUUAAUUGUUUCCUUGGGAUCUUAGGAUCCGCAAGAAAGGUAUAUCCGCAGAAAAUGUGAAAAUAUCCCGCAUAAAACAUUCGGUCAGUUUUCAAGGAGUUUCCUUCUGCCCGUUAGCACUUUGCUGCAAACAUACUCGCAGGUAGUUCUGCAACAAACAGCACAGCAAAAUCCGCAGGAAACGAUAACGAUAACGAGAACAACAACAAAACUCAUGGGAAAAUCCUAGGUACGUACUUGGCUGCGGAACGUAUAUUAAUGGUUUAAAUUUGGGAAUUUAUAACGUGCUCCUCUCGCUAGGUUUCAAGUUCAAAUUAUCUAGAUACUAAUUAUUCUUGUAUUGAAUAGUCCAUACAAAAUUUUGUUCAGAUUUCAAUUAGCAUCUUUUGCUUGUGAACAAUGAAUUAUUUUUUUUUAGUAGGUAAAUUAUUGCCUUUGUAGGUUCUUUAGGUUCAAAUAGUUGUCUUCAAAAGUAUAACUUUUCCAACCAAGUUGUUUGGGCUCCAGUGGCAAUGAGCUCCUUCCAAGGAUGUACUCGGGGAAUACUGGUUUGAUUCCCAGGGGAACAACACUUGGCUAGUGCACAUUCCUCUACGCACAAGUUUAAUUAAUCGCCCACCUUGGUGGGUCGGAAACCGGUGCGAAAGAAAAAAAAAGUAUAACUUUUCCUUUUGUCAAAAAAAAAAAGUAUAACUUUUCGUUGACAAAUCAAAUCAGAAAUCUUUUGUGAUCAUUUAAAAAAAAGUAAACAUAAAACUUUUUCAAAUCAAAUAAGAUGAUGAUUUAGUUAUCAGAUCAAUUGAAUUGGAAACAUAGUUACCUAUGACAAUAGUCCAGUGUUUAACCGAAUCAUUGUGAUGCCAAUCUUCACCUUCAUGAAGCUUGGCAUGAUGAAUUCUUUCACAAACUUUUUGCACUUCGUGGAGUUCUGAUGCAAAUAGUUUGAAGAACUUCUCCCCUGGUGCUUUAAUCCCAAGUUCAGUGAUAAGUUUACCAACGAGCACCAUUUUUGGAAAGAAAAAAAAAACUAAAUACACAAUAAUAGAAAGAAAGAGAAGAAAGAAACAAAAUAAGGGAUGUUUUAUGAUAUGAUGGUUUAUGAAACCACAUGCCUUAAAUAGAAAUUUGAUUACACUGUGCAAAUUAAAUUAUGCGGUCCACUACUUGAUCCGUGCUCCCCCAACCCAUUAAUUAUUUAUUUUUUAGGAAAAGAUGCUCGUAGCAUUUGAUUAAUAAUAAGUUGUUUAAUAUAACGAGGUAUAUGAUAACAGAUACUGGGACUAGCUAGUAAUGGUCAGUCUUCGUUAGGAUAUGAGCUACCUCAUUGGAAUUUAACCUAUUAAACUUGACCUUGGAGUUUUUAAAAUGAGAAAAAUACAAUCUUCGGCAAGCAAAGAGGAUACACCCAGUCUCCGUAACAUUAAUCUCAUCCUAAUGAAAGGCAUUUACAAUAACUUUUGAAUAUGAACUGAAGUCGACAUUAUCAAAAGCCAAAUUGCUCAUCCACUCCAAUGCAUAGAAUAAAGCCAAUGUUUCCCCUACGGGGACUGAACACUUGGCAAAAUAUGAAUAAAUUUAGCAAGCACAAAAGUACCUUCCUCGCCGCGAAUGCAAAUACCUAUUCCUUUUCAAUUCAACUGGUUGGAGAAAGAUGCAUCAAUGUUGCAUUUAACACGACCAUGAGCUGGUGGCUGCCAUCUUAACAUGGUUACAUCGGAACUUCUCACCUAAGUGUUCUCAUUUCUGAAGCUUGUCACUUGCAUGGCUUGGUGUCGCUGUUAAAUUAAUAUUGUCACUAUUUUGUUGUGUUGUGUGUGGCCCCUUCUGAGUUGCAGUAACCGCAUUCGCCAUUUUCCAAUCCUCUACCAUACAUACAACCCUGUCCAUCACCUGUGCAGUCGUUUUCGUGAUGUCCUGCCACAACUUGAGGUCUAGUGUUUCGACAUGCUCCAAAUGCUUAUUGCAAAGCGCGAGCAUGAUCAUCUGCCAUAUCAUCAAGCAACUUAAAAAUACAAUCAGUUGUUGAACCUAUCUGAAUAAACAUCCAGUUCACCAUAUCCCAAAGUCCGCUACAAUUCCAAAUUAGAAUAGCAUAAUAGUAGUUGAAAAAAAUAUGAUUAAUGUUAAAAGUGACUCAAAAUUGAAGUUUGAGAAUCUACCAAAAUAGUAGCACAAUUUGGAAAAUCGUAGCACGUUUUUUGGACUAGAUUUGGCACUUCCCAUUCUGGAAAAAUCGUAGUACGUUCUGGCAAAAUUGCAGUACGAUUUUACGCUGAUGCAGAAAAAUAGAAACAUAUUUUCAGCUUCAGAUUUGUUCCAAAUUUUGAGGGAUACUUUUACUAUAAAUAUAGACCUUGUAUCAGAUGCAAAACAUGUAGAGAGUAGAAAAACAAGGUUUAGAAAUGAACAACAAACUAAGGUUUAUAGAGAUUUCUCUAGGCAACAAACACUAUGGUUGGGAUUGUUUUGAUUCACCUUGAACGAAACACUAUUAGGAUUGAAUCUCUUGAUCACGGGAAGAGAUUGAGACUUUGGGUAGAAUUAGGUUUGAAGACUAAUUCUUGUAACCUUUGAUAUCUCUUUUGUAAAAUCAUUAUAGUGGAAUGGAGGGCUGCUCUCUCCCCCAGACUAGGUCAGUAUUGGACCAAACUGGGAAAACUAAUUUUCAUGUGUUCUCUCUUUAUUUCUCUCAUUUUUUCUACUCUUGCUUGUGUUUAUAAUUGUCACCUACAUUGUUUUGGUUGCUUAAUUAAUUUUUUCCACACAUCAAGUAUUUUAUUGGUGUGAUUUUUUAACGAAUUCACAACAUAUGGCGCCCACCGUAGAGCAAGGGGGAUAUUGACAAGUGGGAUAUUGAGAGGUUAACUGGAAGUAACAAUUUUGGGUUAUGGAAGGUCAAGAUGGAAGCGGUUUCGAUACAACAAAAGUGUGCACAAGCUUUGAAGGAUGAAGGUGUGUUACCGAUCACCAUGUCACAAGAGGAGAAGACUGAGAUGGUGGGCAAGCCCAAGAAUGCCAUUGUCUUUUGCCUCGAGGAUAAAGUUUUAAGUCAUUUAGCGAAGGAACCAAUCGCGGAAUCGAUGUGGUCAAAGUUGGAGUCUUUGUACCGCGGAAUCGAUGUGGUCAAAGUUGGAGUCUUUGUAUAUGACAAUCUCUUUGGCUCAUCGGAAAUUCCUAAAGCAACAACUCUACUCAUUGAAGAUGUUGGAGUCAAAGUUCAUCAUGGAGUAACUUACGAAGUUCAAUACAAUCCUUGAUGACUUGGAGAAUAUUGAGGUGCAUCUUAAGGAUGAAGAUAAAAUUAUACUCUUCUUGUGUGCUCUACCGAGAUCAUUUGAAUCUUUCAAGGAUAUCAUGCUUUAUGGCUAAAAAGGCACUGUCACCUUGGAAGAAGUUCAAGCUGCUUUGAGAACCAAGGAGCAAACCAAGUCCAAGGACUUGAGAGCUGAUGAAAACGGUGAAGGCAUAUCUGUUUCAAGAGGGAAUGGUGGAGGUAUAGGUAACCAAGGAAAGAGUGGUAACAAGUCAAAGUUUAAUUGCUUUAAUUAUCACAAGAUGGGUCACUUCAAGAUGGAUUGUCCAUAGAACAAUGGUAACUCCGCACAAAUUGUCUCCGAGGGUGAUGAGAACACGGGUGCUUUGAUGGUGUCUCGUUGGGGUGAUAAAGAAAGUGAUGUUUCUCACCUUGGGAAUUAUGCCUUGUAGAGCGGUGGUCGUCUGGAGAGACAUUAAACAUUCAACAUCACCCUGGAGAGGCGGUCGAAAGAAUAGUCAUGGUCAGUCUGAAGAGGCGGAGGUAAGAAUACUCAUGAUCAACCUUUGAGGUGGAGUUGCAAGGUGAAAGACAUAGUGUGUGUGAGUGUGUGUGUGUGUGUGUGUGCGCGCGCAUUUGCUAGUUGAGGUAGAGAAAGCUCACCUUGAGGUGGAGUUGAUGACAUUGGACAAAGUAUGACUAUGGAGACCUUGGGUGCUAGGCUCUAGUUGUUAGCAAGAGAAUUCUUCAAAAAGACGGAAGGCAUUUCGGAUUUUGAAGAAUGUAUGACAUGACUUGUGUGAUUAUCUAAAAGACCAAGGAUGAUUGGAUACAAGGUGAUCUUCAAGGAAGUGUGAGACUUUAGUGGUUGAAGAGGGUUUGGUGUAGACUUGUGGAACUACCUAAAAUUCCUAGUGUAGUUGGAUGCAAGGAUCUUCAAGAAGGCGGAAGGCAUUCCGAUGGUUGAAGAGGCAAGGAUGGAAACUUGUGGAGAUACUUGGUGUAGUUGGAAGCAAGGGAAGAUGAAGGGUGGAGAGAGUAGCAAGGUGAUGAUUGUUAAAUUGACAUCAUCACUAAUUUAGAGUCAAGGUGGAGAAUAGUUGAAAGUGACUCAAAAUUGAUGUUUGGGAAUCUGCCAAAAUCACAACACGAUUUUUGGACCAAAUUUGGCACUUCCUAUUCUGACUGUGCAUAUCUGAUUAUGUGGCGUUUCUGCCUAUUUUUUUAGUGAGAAGAAAUGCAACAAGGAAUGAGGAAAUGAAGAAGUAAACUUCUACCUAAAUUGCAUCACUGGCUAUGAGACCUGCACCACGAGAAAAAAUUUGGAAAUCAAAGUGAUCCCUUUGGCUAAAAGGGAUGCUCAAUACCUACCUCACAUCGCGAGGAUAAGGCUCGGAUCCUACACUAAUUUUCUUGAGGGAAAUGGAUGCCUAUAAAUACUUAACCCUAUGUUAGUAGGAAAAACACCUUUUGACGAACAUAACAAGGUAGAGCGACCAGAACCCUUUGGAAGCCAAGGAAAAGUGAUUCGGUGAUCCUUUUCUUAUGUUUUAUUGUUCAUAUAUAAUUAUAUGUAUUUAGAAGUCAUGAGUUUCUAAAUCCUCUAUAGGUUAGGUCGUAAAAGAGGAAUUUCCCUGUAAUUAUUUAUUCUUGUAACUUUAAAUGAUUAUAUGAAUUUUACUCAAUUACUUUACUAUUUUAUUCGGUUAAUAUUAUUGUUAAUGUUUUUAAUGUGUUCAUUGAUGUUCAUAAAUCAGUUUAGGCCAUGAUGAUUAUUCCAUAACUUUGUGUCUUGACCUAAUGCAACCAUUCAAUUAUCAGAUAGGUACAUACAUAAAACAAUAAUAAUCACUACUUACUUUGUCAUUCAUAAAUCUUCAUUAGUUAGGGCUCACCUAAGACAAUAGGGAACAAUAAACAUUGAAGAGACUAAGGCAUUGACCUAACUAUUUUGUUCAAAGGUAUUAAAAUCGAGUAAUCAAUAGCAUUAUAUUCAUAGUUUGUAAUUAAAACUAAUCACAUUGCAUGGUGCGAUUUUGUUAUUUAUAUAAGAGCAUAUCAUUAUAUGUAUACACUAGAUUUGAAUGUAUAUAUAUAUAUAUAUAUAUGUAAAUAAUUAAUGCAUUAGGUUCUUCUUUUCUUUAAUUUUUUAUGAACAAAUAAUUGCAUUAGAUUUGUUUGUCUGCAAAUAUACAUAGAGGACAAAUAAGUGUGGUAAAGGGAACCCAACAACUCUGCGUACCCAUGACAAAAUUAUUAAACAGACAAAGAUACCAUUAUUCACACCCAACAUAUCCCAAUAUCUGGACCAAUAUUUUUUUAUACACAACUAUCUCGUCUUGCUUAAGAGCUCAAAACUACUUACAAUUUAGACCAAUCUAUUGCUAAUUUUUGUAACUAAAUUCUAUUAAUGGACAUUUCGUCUCAAAUUACCUUUAUAAUCUAUUUAAAGGUAAACUAUACAAUUAUUUCUUUUAACUUAUGUGUGGUUUCAAUUUGGUAUCCAACUAUUUUUUAUUUCUUUUUAAUUUCCUAACUAUAUAUGAUUUAGCAUGUUAAUCUUUUCAACUAAUUUUUAACCUGAAUUAUCUAAAGUGGAUGAACAUUAUAGCAUCAAAGUGAAAACCCAAAAUAAUUUAAGAGACCAAGUAUCUAAUUUAGCACAGCUCUUGUCAAAGGGAAAGAAUUGCAUUUUUAUCAAUGUGAAAUUACAUGUUUAUCCUUCAUUUAUUUUUUAUUUUGUCAGUGACUCCUCUGUGCUGUUUAGCAUAAGUAAUCAGCUCAUAAUAAUGUAACUAAACUACUACCUCCGUCCCUAAUUAUAGGGCUCUUUUGAAAAAAUAACGGGAAUUAAGAUAGUGGAUAUUUGUAUUAAAUAUGUUUGUAAUUACUAUUGCUGAUUGAAGAAAAAUAUGUAUAAUAAAUAGGGGCAUGUAUAUAAAGAAAUAAUUAAUAUAGUUGGAAAUAGUAAAAGAGUCUUAUAAAAAAGGACAAAUUAUAGUUUUUCCAAAAGAGUGUUAUAAUUAGAAACGAAGGUAGUACAUGUUUUAGCAGCACGAUCAAGAUUUGGCAAACUAAACCUUAAAUAAAUAGAACAUUAUACACAAAUUUUAACUUCAAAGCACACAAAUAUCCAUUUAUUUGCAUUACACAUAAUAUAAGAACACUCCUUAAAACAUCACCGACACAUUUAUUCGAUACAAACGAAGGUUCAAGGGAAACAAAUAUGCAUGCUUAUGCUACAUGCCAUUAUACAAACAUCACACUAGCUUUUAUUUUAUUUAUAUGCUCACAUUUAUCCAUAAAAGCCAACCCAUUGAACUAUAACUCCAUAUUCAAAUAGUGGCUUAUAGAACUACAUUUUCUCCCUUGACAAGAUGACCAUCAAUAUCUCUAGUGCUUUUGCUAAGGUAGUCCAUCCAACCAUUUGGAGUAUCAACAUUCUCAUUGUUCUUCUCAUAAUCAAUAGUCCAUCUAAGAGCAGAAGUUCCAUUAUCCUUGAUAAUCACUUCUAAGAUGAGCUUAAAGACCUUAUAGUUUUCAAUAUCUCCACCAAAAAGCUUGAAAGUGAUUUUUUUGUUCUGCUCAUCAACUUCUUCAACCUGCUCAUUGCAUGUGUGUACCUCACCAUCUGUUUGUUUUGUCAGAGGCAAUUAAUAUCAAUAACAAUCAAAUACAUUUUUUCCACUAAAAAAUAAUUAAAUACGUUUUAUAAAAGGAAUAUAAAAAAGAAUAGUUUCACCAAAAAAAAUUACUCCCUCAUUAACUUUUUAUAAGAGUAUUUUAUAUAAACCAGGUAUUAGGAAAAGUUGUUGGAAUAACAAAGUGACUUCUUUCUCAAAAAAAAUAAAAGAAAGUGACUUCAAAUAUGUGUGACCAUUACUCGGUUACACUUAAUUAAAUAUAUAUUUAAUGUUAACUUUUCAUAAAGCAAGACAAAUGGUUUUUUCUAGAUUACCCUCUCAUAUUUAGAGGGUAUUUUACUCUCUCAUGAUAUCAACCAAUCAAAAUGUAAUAUGACAACAUUAAAUGUCAUAAAUGAGUCAACUUUUUUCUAAAAAAAGAAUCAAUUAUAAUCAUAUGGUAACUUUUAAUACUUUUAAUUUUUAUUUAAUUAUAGAUAUGAUUACAUUAGAGAUCCUUUAUCUUAUUUAUUUGUUACACUUGGGUCAUUUAUCUUUAUUUUUUUUCCGCUUAGGUCUUUUAUCUCUUAUAAAAGCACAUAUACAUCAUUUUUCUCAUUUUUUUUNNNNNNNNNNNNNNNNNNNNNNNNNNNNNNNNNNNNNNNNNNNNNNNNNNNNNNNNNNNNNNNNNNNNNNNNNNNNNNNNNNNNNNNNNNNNNNNNNNNNNNNNNNNNNNNNNNNNNNNNNNNNNNNNNNNNNNNNNNNNNNNNNNNNNNNNNNNNNNNNNNNNNNNNNNNNNNNNNNNNNNNNNNNNNNNNNNNNNNNNNNNNNNNNNNNNNNNNNNNNNNNNNNNNNNNNNNNNNNNNNNNNNNNNNNNNNNNNNNNNNNNNNNNNNNNNNNNNNNNNNNNNNNNNNNNNNNNNNNNNNNNNNNNNNNNNNNNNNNNNNNNNNNNNNNNNNNNNNNNNNNNNNNNNNNNNNNNNNNNNNNNNNNNNNNNNNNNNNNNNNNNNNNNNNNNNNNNNNNNNNNNNNNNNNNNNNNNNNNNNNNNNNNNNNNNNNNNNNNNNNNNNNNNNNNNNNNNNNNNNNNNNNNNNNNNNNNNNNNNNNNNNNNNNNNNNNNNNNNNNNNNNNNNNNNNNNNNNNNNNNNNNNNNNNNNNNNNNNNNNNNNNNNNNNNAAAAAAAAAAAAAAAAUUAAAUCAUUUGUUAUUUCAAAAAAAAAAAAAUUAAAAGUAUUAAAAGUUACCUUAUGAUUAAGAUUAACUCUCAUUCAAAAAAAAAAAUUAAGAUUAACUCUUUUAUUUUUAGAAAAAAUCUACUCAUUUAUUUGACAUUUAAUGUUAUCUAUGUAUAUUACAUUUUGAUUGGUUGAUAUCAUGAGAGAGUAAAUUACCCUCUAAACAAGAGAGGGUAACGUAGACCUCAUCCAGACAAAUUGGUUGUACUAAAAAGGGGUAGGUUGAGAAAAAGAAUAUUUAAGGACAAUUAUUCCCUCAAAAAAAUUUAAGGACAAUUAUUUUUUUAAAUAGUCUUAUAUGGUGUAAUUAGGGACGGCGUAAAGUAUCAAAAAAGAUAUUGAUAGAGAUGCAUUAUUUAAAAAAAUUAAUUAUUUUACUAUUUUUAAUUAUAUGGAUGCAUAUUUUUGACUCGGAUUGUGAGGUUAUUGAAUAAUAGUGUGAUUUUACAACUUGAAGGAAUGAAGUUUAAAUCUCACUUAAUAUAUUGUAAAAUAACUAUUUUUGUCACUGUUUUAUUGUUUUUUUUUUAAUUGGUAAAAAUAUAUUAAAACUACUCAAACUCAAGUAAGGGUGUUCGCGAUGCAGUUUAGAUCAAUUUUAAAGUAAAAUGUCAUUCGAUCCGAAAUAAAAAAUCUCAUGCGGUUUGGUAUAGAUUUGAUGAUUAUUCUUAAAAAAUCUGAACAGAUCCGAUGUAAAUAUAUGUGAUUUAAUUUGGAUGAGUUUGAAUUUAAACACCGCUAAACUCAACCCAAGUUGUACCCAGACAAGAGCAAUGAAAUUAAAUUGCAAAUUUAUUGCACCAGAAGUGAAAUUUUAAAAUACGUCAAGACAACCCUUCAACAUACGCCUAAACUCCCAAGCAUGUCCAAUUCAAAGCAUUGAAGGCGAAGUAUCAAUCGUUUAUUAAUAACUUCUUAAAAAUUAAAAAGGUCGUUAGUUUUUUUUUGUUUAACAUCAAAUUUUAUGUGACAACCAAAAUCAGUGCUCAACACGAAUUGAGACCGUAAUUCAGAGCAUAUAAACAAAAGACGUCGUUAUAAUAAUAGUUUUUCUUUUGUACCAAAAAAAAAAAAAAAAUAAUAGUUUUUCUUAACUAUUACUUUUUUUUUCAAUUCUUUAAUUAAUAUUUUCAAUAUCAUUUAUUAAGGACAAUUUUGUAAAAUAACUCAUAAUAUUUCUUAAUUAUAAUUCUUAAUACGUUGAAAUACUUAAAACAUCAUAUAGUUUAAGACGGAAGAAGUAUAAAUGAAGUGAUUAUAGGUUCUAAACCCAGAGAGUUUGUCUGACUCUGAUGGGUUAAACUUGGGACUUCAUAACGUGCUAAAUUAAGUCAGUAUAAAGAGAGUAUGUCCGAUGGGUUAAACUUGGGACUUCAUAACGGGGUAGAUUAAGUCAGUAUAAAUUAAGUGAUUAUAAAUUAAUUAUAUCUUCUUUAGGGACUUUAUACCUCUCCCCUUAUUAAAUAUUAUAAAUUAAGUCAUCAUUAUAAAAUACUAAAAAUAAAAAAUUUAAAGAUGAAAACUAUUUCAAAUGAAUUAAGCUGAUGAUCUAGUUAUCAGAUCAAUUGAAUUAGAAACAUAAUUACCUAUGACAUAAGUCCAGUGUUUAACCGAAUCAUUGUGAUGCCAAUCUUCACCUUCAUGAAGCUUGGCAUGAUGAACUCUUUCACAAACUUUGUGCACUUCGUGAAGUUCUGAUGCAAAUAGUUUGAAGAACUUCUCCCCUGGUGAUUUGAUCCCAAGUUCAGUGAUAAGUUUACCAGCAAGCACCAUUUUUGUAGAGAAAAAAAACUAAAUACACAAUAAUAGAAAGAAAGAAAUAGCAGACCCAACAAAUAAGGAAAGUUUUAUGAUAUGAUGAUGGUUUAUGAAACCACACGACUUAAAUAGAAAAUUUUUACUAUGCAGUAGACCCAACAAAUUAAAUUAAAUUAAAUUAUGUGACCCACUCACUUAUUGUUCUGUGCUCCCCCAACCCAUAUCAUGUCAUGAUCUAAUUUAGGAAAUAUUUAUUAUUGUCCGACCAUAUCAUUUAUAAAUUUAAUAAUCCCUUUAGUCCUUUUUAAAAGAAAGAAAAAUGAUUGUUUUUGCUCCUUUUUAUAAGAAAUAUUGAACAAUUUUUAAGUGUGUUGGAAACUAAAUUUCAUUUGUAUCCUUAUUUAUGAUGAGAAAUAGUAUUAAAAGUAAUUAAGUUAAUGGAGGCAAUAGUAAUUAAUUUAGGGGUAUUCUUGGAAGAAAUGUAAAUGUAUAGGAGUAUUAAAUGAGAAUAGUCAUUUUCAAUGUACUUCCUAGUUCCGGAUGAUUUAUGUUUUUGUUCUUAUAAAAAGGACCGAGGGAGUCCCCAUAAGCUUAACUCAUUUGGUAGGCGAUAAUGCAUUUGUAUGCAGGGGCCGGGGUUCGAACCCCGGACACCCCACUUAUUCACAUUUAAAGUGAAUUUUUCUAGCCGCUAGGUUACUUGACCAAAAAAAAAAAGGACCGAGGGAAUAAUUAUUUUUGUUUCUUUUAAAAAGAACUAAAGGGAGUACUCCCUUUGGUCACGUUUAUAAACAACUUUUGUUUUUUCAGAUUCAUUAAAUAAUUGAUGUAUCUGAAGGGAGUAGAUAUGAGAGCGAAUCGGAAUGUGGUUAAUUUAAACAAUUUAAAUUUCUCUUCUAGAAAUACAUUUUUUUUUUUUUGUAGAUCUAGAAAUACAUUUUUUAUUGUUAAUUAAUAUUCUUUUAUAAAUCAAUAAAAAUAAUUAUUAUAAUAAAUUACUUCAAGCAAAAUUUGGUAUUUUCUAAAUAAACAUUGAUAUUUUGAUUCAUAUUAACGUGGGUACAAUCCUUAUUCUUUAGCUUGUGCAAUCUGUGAAUGUUAAUGCUAAAUCGCACUUCGAAAGAUCGACCCUGAAUCAGUUUGGAGCACAUGGGAAUUAUUGCUCCAAAUGCACGUAACGAUUUGGAAACAAUGGAAGACAUUGAAUUAGAGCAACAUGAAGAAAUUACUGAAAACAAGUUUGUUGUGACAGACAAUGAAGAGGUACCAGUUGAAUGUGCCAGCCUAGAGGUAAAUCUUAAGCUCCAUGAGGGUGAAAUUGUUGCAUAUGACAAUGCAAAUGUCCUCAUUGCCUUGUUCACAAGACCGGCCUAGGGGCCAAGCAACCCAAACAAGGACUUUAAACCUGUUUGGGUAUACAAAAAAAGACCUAAAAUAUUAAUUUGUUUAUAAGUACUCCCUCCGUCCUUAAUUAUAAGACCCUUUUGCUAAAAUUACGGGAAUUAAGAAAGCGGAUAUUUGUAUUAAAGUUGUUUGUAAUCACUAUUGUUUUUACAAUUUUAUCCUUAAGAGAGAUAGUUGGUUUAUGUUUUCCAUAUGCUACUUAUUGCUGAUUGAAGAAAAAGAUGUAUAAUAAAUAGGGGCAUGUAUGUAAAGAAAUAAUUAAUGUAGUUGGAAGUAACAAAGGGGUCUUAUAAAAAGGGACAAUUUUUUUUUCAAAAGGGUCUUAUAAUUAGGGACGGAGGGAGUAUAUUAUAUAACUAAUAAAUUACAGACAUUUGUAUAGCUUAACCGAUUAUCAAAAAUGUCUUAAUUACUCUUGGUCAUAAAUUCAAAUUUUGGUCUUCACAUAAUUGAUUUUAUAUAAAUAUUCUCUUGAAAAAAUAUUUUUACAAGCCACAUUAAAUUUUUUGUUUUAGGCCUCUUAAUCUGUUGGGUCGGCCCUGCUUGUUCAACAUCGAGAGGGUUAGCGAGACCGUCUGACCUAUUGAUAAUUUGGUCAUAAUCACAACUUUUUGAGAAGAUAAGGGGUCAAAAGAUCAUAUUUUUUUCUUAUGUUAGGGGCAAAGUGAUGUGAUCCUAAGAUGUUCUCCCUUUACAAGAAUAAUAAAUUCAUUAUGGAAUAAAAGAAUCAAAUUAUUUUUGGUUCAAAUUGUUAUUUUCGUAGGUCAUUAUGUAUCUGUCUUGUAUUCAUCAUAUCUAGAGCUCUGGAACUCCGAUUGAGGUGAUCUUUGAAGCGUUGGAAAGGGUACAAAUUCAUCUACAUUUCAUAUGUUGGACUCAGAAGCAAAAUCGGCAUAUAUCAUGGUGUAAAAUGGGAUUAAACUGGAGGACGUGAUUAAAUGAAGGAGCUAAAGCAAAAGAGGUGAAACACAAUUAAUGUAGUUGAAGAGCAUAAAGUGGAGGAGAGAGGACGCUAAAAAUUGUCCAAAAGUAACAACCAUGAGUGUGUAACUUUGAGAAUUGAUUCAGCCACCUAAAUCAAAACCAAUAAAUUUGUAACAUUUUCUUGCAAUAAUUAGCCACAUAAGAGUUAUUUCAUUAAUCUUGAUAUAAUUCUAAGCUUUUCAGCAUUCUAGCCUAUUACCUAUAUAAAGGGGGCAAAAAUAAUGAAUAACAGGUAGAAUUUUGAUUAAAAAAAUACACUUUGUGUGUUGUGAAGCUUUGUCAGCAUUCUAGCUUUUCAGUUUUGGUUCUUUUUGAAAACUUGUCAGGGUUGAAGGUUAACUACAAUAAGAGCAGCUUGUUUGGUAUUAAUAUUGAGAAUUUGUGGUUGUUAGAAGCAGCUUCUAUUUUGUCGUGCAAAGUGGGUUGUAUUCCUUUCAUUUAUGUUGGCCUACCUAUUGGGGGCGACCCUAGACGCUUGUCUUUUUGGGAUCCGAUUAUUCUUCGAUUAAAAUCUAGACCGUCUGAGUGGAAAAGCAGAAAUUUAUCUUUUAAGGGCCGCUUGAUCCUUCUAAAAUCUGUCCUAUCUUCACUGCGUGUCUACGCUCUUUCCUUUUUCAAAGCUCCCGCAUGUAUACUCUCUUCCAUCGAAUCUAUUCUUAUUAAUUUUUUUUGGGGUGGGAGUGAGGAUAACAGGAAAAUUGCUUGGGUUGACUGGAACUCUAUUUGUAUGAAUAAGGAGGUUGGUGGUUUGGGGGUUAGGAGAAUAAAAGAAUUUAACAUAGCUCUUCUUGCUAAAUGGUGUUGGAGGUGUUUAGUGGAUAGAGACGGGUUGUGGUUUAGAGUCUUAUUGUCCCGUUAUGGUGAGGAGAGAGGUCGACCUAGAGAGGAUGGUAGGAUGGGGUCGGCGUGGUGGAAGGAAAUUGUUAAAAUUCGAGAGGGGAUAGGUGUCGAAGGAGGAAGUUAGUUUGAAGCUAAUAUUAUAAAACAUCUUGGUAACGGCCUUAACACUUAUUUUUUGUCUGAUUGUUGGGUGGGGAAUGAGACGUUGAUGGAGAGGUUUAGGAGACUUUUUGAUUUAUCAGUUCACCAGGAUUUGACGGUGGGCGCCAUGCACGCCUUAGGUUGGGGAGAAGAUGGGGAGGCUUGGAGGUGGAGACGUCGUUUGUUUGCCUCAGAGGAGGAUUUAGUGGUGGAGAUUAGGAAUUUGUUAUCUAACAUUACUUGCGUGGCUUUGGUGACCGGACACUAUAGUUGGCUACACGGUUCGUGGAGCGUAUCAAAUGCUUAUGAGGCAGGAGAUACAGGCUGCUGAUGUUGCUUCGGAUGCACCAUAUGGCACAAAAAUGUCCCUUUGAAAGUCUCUAUUUGCGCUUGGCGUCUCAUCUGCAAUAGAUGGCCGACAAAGGACAACAUGGUGCGUCGAGGUGUUAUUUCUAAUGAAAGUCAACUUUGCAUUUCAGGAUGUGGUCAACAAGAAACAAUAGAUCACUUAAUAAUUCAUUGUAAUUUUUUUGGCAAUCUUUGGAAACUUGUAAAGUCUUGGAUUGGUGUUUAUUCAGUGGACCCUUAUCAGGCUACGGAUCAUUUCCAUCAAUUUAUGUACUCUUUAGGUGGCUAUGCUCCUCGUCGGUCUUUUUUACAUUUGAUUUGGUUGUUUGUUUAGGGAUAGGCUGAGGUUUUAUUUUCAUUUCUAAAUUUUUGUUUUGGACAGGUUGUUAUUUCGUUGUAACUUUGUUUUGCCUCUUAUUAAUUGCACUCCUUGUGCUAGGGAGCAAGACUUUUUGUUGUUAAUAUAUAUCUCAUUUUGGCUUGUUAAAAAAAAAUAAAAUACCCUUAUUAAUUAUAUGUUGGAUAAAUUUGGAUGGAUAAUAAAUUGUUAAAGUGUAAGUAGCAAAUGUAUGUAAUAAACAAAAGACGAAACUAAAUAAUUUUGCAAAAGAAUAAAAUAAAUUUAUUCAAUUAAGUUAUGUGAUUUUUUUUAUAGAUGUAUGGUUUUUUUUUAAAUAGAAUUAAAAAUAAAAUAAUUUUUUAUAGAAUUAAAAAAUAAAUGUGCAGUUUUUUUAUUAAAUAUAUGUGAUUUUUUUAGAGCAUAUAUGUGUAGUUUUUUUUUAAAGGGUAUGUGUAGUUUGUUAUUAUGUUAGUAUGAUAUACGCAUAAUAAACAAAAACACAAAAUUAAAUAAUUUAAAAAAAAAAUUAUUAACUCAAUUUUUUUUGUCAAAUAGCUAAGUUGUUAGAAAUUCAAUCUCUUCAAGGUAAAGAAGAGGGGUUCGAGUCCCGAGCUCUGUAUAUAUUUAUGCAAAAUAUUAUAUUUAGUUUGUUGAGUUACCUAUGUCGAAUAAAAGAUAAAGUGAAAUUGAAGGAAAGUUGAAUUCAUAAAAGGAUAGAGCAAUAUGUAACCAACUUUGGCUUGAUAACUGUACAUCACUCUAAGUUUCCACUCUUAUCAAGCACAAUUUUGAUCACUACCCCAUCCUUUUAGACUUCAAAAAUUGUUCAUCAUCUUUUUCUUCUCAAUUCAAAUUUAUGAAAAUGUGGACAUUACAUCCGGAUUGUAAAAAUAUUAUUGCAGAUUCUUGGAAGUUGAAUGUUGUAGCCACUCCAAUGUUUAUUCUAACUCAGAAACUGAAGGUUUUGAAAGAAAAGCUCAAAGCAUGGAAUAAAGAUAGUUUUGGAAAUGUGAAUGAAGGUUUUUGUGCUUCUUCUUUUUUGCAGGUUAAUUCUUUGGUGGAAGAUUGCAUCCUAAAUCUUGUUAACAACUACUCAAACAACAUUUUAUCAAUUCUACGUUCAGAAGAUGAAAUUCACAAUGCAGUUUUUUCCCUCAAUAGAGACAGUGAUCCCGGACCAGAUGGGGUUCGGUGCUUUAUUCUUUCAACUUUAUUCGAGCAUUAUCAAAUCAGAAGUCAUCAAUGCAGUGCAAGAAUUCUUUCUUAUAGGGAAGAUGCUCAACAAUUUCAAUUCAAACACUAUUGUCCUUAUCCCUAAGACAAACAAUGCAGACACUGUUAAUCCGUUCAGACAAAAAACCUUAACAAACUUCAAAUAUAAAAUCAUCUCUAAGCUUCUUGAAGACAGGCUUGCUACUAUCAUGCCACAUAUUAUUUCAAAGGAGCAAAGGGGCUUUAUCGAAGUUAGAAACAUUAAAGAUUGCAUCCUUCUUACCUCAGAAGCAGUUAAUUUACUUGACAAGAAAUCAUUUGGAGGUAACAUAGCAUUCAAAAUUGAUAUUGCAAAAGAUUUUGAUACUCUUGACUGAUCUUUCCUUUUAAACGAGUUAAAAGCUUUUGACUUCAACUUAAAGUUUUGUGGUUGGAUUCAAGCUAUUUUAGAAUCAGAAAAACUAUAUGUUUCAAACAAUGGCAAGCUGAAUGGAUUUUUCAACUGUAAAAGAGGUGUGAGACAAGGUGACUGUAACACCCCAAAUUUUCCAUAUUAUAUAUGUGUGUUCAUGGUAUAAAUCUCUAGUUAUUAUUGUAAGGGAUUUUAUUUGUACAUGUUUUUUUUUGUCUAUAUUGCGACAUCGUGUAAUUAAUAAGAAGUGUGUGCAUAUUUUAUUUUAAUUAUUUUAGAAAAAUGAUAAUAGUUUACUAUGAGUAUUUAUGAGUCUAAAAUUUUAGUCAUGGGCGAGUGGAUUGACUGAUUAGUAUCUUGUUGACAAAAAAAAAUAUUAUUAGAUAGAACUGUUAUUGUUAUUACUAAUUAGUAAUUACUAAUAUAGAAGAAGAAAAAUCGAUGACAAAUGCCUAUGCCAAAUAAUCCUAAAAUAAGGGGACACAUUUAUUAAUAGAUAUUGAGUGACGUGGAAGGCAAGGAUGGGUACCAGGUUAACCUAAUUUACCUAGUAUAUAUAUAUAGGGAGAACAAGAGCCAUAGCCAUCCACAGUAGAUCAAAUUAGCGUACCAACGUAUAACCCUACUAUGAUCAAAUUAGUCUUAAAUUUUAAAAUGUUGUUACUGUUAUGACGUGAAUUUUGAUGAGAGAAUGAUGGUGAAUAAAUUGAAAAGAUGAAGUGGAAAGAUGAGAAUUGAGGAAAACUAGUUAGUUUGUUUUAUUUGAGUUUUUAGUCUUAAAAAGAGAAUAAUCCGGUAGGUUAAAAAUUGGUUAGUGGUUGAAUGAUAGGUUAAUCACGGAGAGUGAAGAUUAGGGUCGAGUUUGGCGAGUUUAGGGUCGAAAACGAAGUUAGGAAAGUUGUAACCGAAAGCAAAAAUAAACACUGGGACUUUUCUGUUCAGAAUUAGGAUUGUGUGUAUUCAUGAAAGUUGUAGAUAUGCGUUUUAGCUUUAAUUGUGCAUUGGUCUGACCUCAUUCCAAAAUAUAGAACUCAAGAUAUGAUCAAAAUACUACACAUGGGUCAGCAGGGUCGUGCUCUUUUCUAAGGCUUAGGAAAAUCACUUUUUAACUAUUUUAUGUUCUGAACUAGGUUUCGAUGUAAACACAAAAGUUGUAGAUAUGGAAGUCAGUUUUCAUGUGGCUUUGGAGUGACUCCAAUAGAACGUCAAAAACUUGAGUUAUGAUCAAAAUACUACACAGAGGUCAGCACGGUCGUACAUUCUGUGUAGGUUUAGGAAAACCAACCUUUUCACCCCUCCCUACAUCGAAUUUGGAUUUAGGUUCCUUCAUCAAAGUUGUAGAUAUGGGUAUUAACUUUCUUUUAACUUUGGUUUGACCUCAUUCGGGCAUAUUGAUGACGUUCAUUUUAUAAUGAUGAUGAGAUUGAUGUUACUAAUUAUAUUGAUGAUGAUAAAAUGCAUGUCUAUUUUAUAUUGAUGAUGAUAAUGACAAUGUCUAAUUUAUAUUGACGAUGAGAAUGAUAAGGUAUAAUUAUGAUGAUGAUUUGAAUGAUGAUGUCUAAUAUACAUUGAUGAUGAGAAUGACGAUGUUUACUUAUGAUGACGAUGAUGUGUUUUGUCUUGAUGUUGUGCAUAAUAGGAGGAGUCUAGGUGUAUGAUUGUGAUUUAUUGAUGAUGUUAUAAUCUUUUGAUACUUGAAAAGUCUGUCUCAUGCAUGCAUAUAAAGUUGUGUCUAGGAAUCAUGAUGACGAAAUGACGACGAAAGUCCAGUAACAUAUCUCUGGCAAAUUAUGACGAUGAAAGUCCAGUAACAUACCUAUGGCAAAUUAUGACGAUAGGUGUGGUACCACAUUCAUAUAGGUCUUAGGACUGAGUCCAUAUGCAUAAAAUUUGACGAUGAUUUGUGUUUGGUGAAUAGGUGUAAUUGUGUGAGACGAUGUAGAUGAUUAUCUGUUGAUGUUCUUAUGAAGAUGGUUAUUGGUUACUAUAUGUUUUGUGACUUGUUUGAAAUUGAAUUAUGACAUUGUGUUUGUGAAGUUUUUUUGGUUCUUAAGCUGAAAUGAUAUUUUCUACUAAUAUGGAUUGAGAUGAUAUAGUAUAUUCUUCAAGGUUCUGGAGAUUAUGUUUGUGAUGUGAUAUGACUUUGACUUAAUUGCUUACGUGUUCUUCUCAUUUUUAUUUAUACUAUUACAUGUUCUCGGAACUCACCCCUUCGUUUUUUGUGUUUGCUGGCUUGGCCCUGCGGUUGCGAAACCGUAGUUAUAUAGGUUAUGAGUCUUGGAGUCAGGUACAUGCCUUACGUGAAGAUUGUCUUGUGUCGUCUGUUAUUUUAGGGCCGGGAAAGCACCGCUCUGAUGGUGACACGGGAAAAGGGAUAUGCUUACUUAUUUCGUUUUGUACAAAAAAAAAAAACCAUUGACUAUGAUGUAAAAGAAAGUAUUUUCAAAAGCAAAAGAUUCGAUGUUAAUAUUAUUAUGAUUUUUAAUGAAGUGAAGUCUGAAUUAUGUUUGUUAUGAGUCAAUGUGAUAUCCUAAAUCUUGUGGAAGAAUUCCUAUAUUAUUAGAGAAGUUUUUAGCUGACUCUUUCCGCUGCGAAUCGAACUCUAUUUUUAAUUAAAUAAUAGUAAUAAUUAUUUUUGGGAUUUAGGGUGUCACAGUGACCCCUUGUCCUCACUUUUAUUUAGUAUUGUUGAAGAUGUGCUAAGAAGAGGCAUAUUAAAAUGAGUAAACCCUCAUUUGGGUCCCUGAAAGUGCACCUCGCUAUCAGCCACAUCCUUGGAUCAAUUAAAUAAACCAAAAACUCCUCCAAUGUAUGUUCCGUCAGUCAAAUGCAUCCAAAACGUUAACUGAACGUUAAGUGUGAUUGGAGAGGGACCUGAAUGAAUGUAAUCCCUCCAUCUUCUAGAAAAAAUUAACAAGUUCAUAUUUUUAUCUUCCUUCAUACCCUCCAUCUCAAAACAUUCCAAAAGACAAAAAUAAGUUCUUUACAAUCAUUAUCUCUGCUCUAUCAACCAUCAAGUCUGUUAUCUCUCAAUUAUCGGCUUAAUAAUUGUUCUGUAUUCUUUUGCAGGAAACAAAUGCCUAAACUUGGGUAAUAACACACCUCCCUACAUGCAACAGGUUGCAUGAAGAAGUGAGCAAAAUCUAAAACGUCAUCGGGGGUAUUGAAGUCAAUGUAAGCUCUAGAGAAUGAUGAUGAUGGCGAUGAAUGCUUGUGGCUGAAUGAAAGAAAGAAAGAAAGUAAGAAAAUUGAAUUGAAUUAAAUUGAGCAACAAGAAGAAUAGAAUUAAUAAAAGUACGUACCUGGUGAUUUUGGGAGGAUGGAAAGGGAGCCAAUUGUAACGACUAGCGAAGGAAGAGUCAAUUAAGGGCAUAAGAGAGUCUUGUGUAAUUGUUGGAGGCAAGUGCCGAAUCACCACCUUCGUACUAUCCGACAUCACCCUACUUCGAUUCAAUUCAAUUAUUGGAUUGGAUCACAUCUCCGCUGCUUCUCAAUUUCGAUGGAAUCAUUCAAUCAGAAAUUAUAAAUAAAUUAAAAUUGAAAUUGUGUGCCCUAAUUUCACCCAACUUGCCGUAACCACGACAGGAGAGGAACAAGAGUGUUGUUUCUAUUUUGAGCAUGAACAAGAGGAAAUUUAAGAUUUUUUAUUUUUAUUAUGGUUUUGGGUUGUUGGAUUAUGGAUUUUGAAUUGAUGAUGAAGAAGAAGAUAAAGGGGUAAAUCAAUUUUGAAUUUUGAUUUUGAAUUGCAUAGGUGUUGGUGAGCAUGAGUUCAUGAGUAGUGUUGAAGAAGAUGAAGGAAUUGAGAACAUUGAAGAAGAUUGAAGAAGAUGAAGGCAGAAACAUGAUUGCUGUCAUUUUGGUCCCUAGUCUAUGAGUAUAAUGGACACAUCAACACAAUUAACACCAAGUUAAUGUUUUGGAUGCAUUUGACUAACAAAAUAGACAUUGAGGGAGUUCUUGGUUCGUUUAUUUGAUCCGGGGAUGUGGCUGAUAGCGAGAUGCACUUUCAAGGAACCAAAUGAGGGUUUACUCUAUUAAAAUUGGUACAAGAAGGAAAGGUUGAUCUAAUCAGUGGCUGUAGACAUCAAUGUAUCCCCUCUCACACACUGUAUGCUGAUGAUGUUAUGGUAUUUUCCAAAUUCUAUCCCUGCAUCAAGAAUGCAAAAAAAAUUUCUAUCAGUCAGGUUUCAACAUAGGCUCCCUUCCCUUUACUUAUCUGGGAGUUCCUGUAUUUAAUGGUAAACCCAAAGCUUCCGAUUUAGAGAGGUUUCAGAUCCCAGACUAGGUUGACUGUGGCUUUUCACCCAAGGUUUGAACGGUUUGUGGCGUGUUUAAUUCAUUUUUGGUUGUUGAACUAUGGAAAACGUUUCCUUUGAUUGUAGUUAUAGUCUAUGACUAGUUUAAGACUAUAAAUAGCCUUGCAUUGUUCAACAAUUUUAUUCAUUCUUUACUUCCCAUCCUUUAUUCCUUUUUCUUAAUCUUUUUUUUAGUUUUUAAUGAGUGUUAUGGUCACUGCUGACCAUUCAUAGAAUCCCGACAAUUGCUUUGCAGUUUAUGUGGCGAUUCUACGUCAGUCAGCAGAGAAAUUUGACAUCAAAUACAACACAAAAAAUAUAGUUCAUAUUAUCUUGGAUUGUAAAAUCUAGGGCUGGCAAUGAACCGAGACAACUCAAAUAAAAUUCGGAACUCGACUCGGUAAUUAGUUCGUUUAACUUGGUUCAUGAACCAAACGAGCCGAACUUGAGUUAUAUAUGGUUCGGCUCGUUUGGUUCAUGAACUUACUAUUCUUUGAUACGAAGGUGGGGAUCUAUUAUUUCACAAUUGUGGAAUAUUUUUUAGAAAAAAAAAAAAUGUUAACAGGUCAAAAAUAUGUAAUGUUUUUUAAUAAAAUAAUAAAAUUUUAAAUUAUGUGAUUCGAGCAAACAAAUUGAACCUAACGAGUCGAACCGAGUAGUUGCUAGUGAAUUUUAAAUGAGUCGAACUCGAGUCGAGUUUCGAGCUGAACCAAUUCUUAUCGAGUUGAGCCGGACUCAAACGAGUUCAACUCGACUCGACUCUUUUCUUGCCCUAGUAAAAUCCAAAAAUACCUAACAAUCUGUUUCAGAUCUUAGAAUCCAAACUAAGGGUAUUUUAGAGAAAAAAAAUAGGGUGCACGAGUAGAUGAUAUGGUGGGAAAAGUAAAAGCCUCUUUUUUAGUACAAAGGAUUACGAAGUCCAUUAUUAGCAAAAUAAAAAAUGAUUACAAAGCUCAAAAGAAUUCUCUUCAGAGAAAAGAGCCCAAGCAAAACUAAACAACUAAAUGAAAAUUACAUAAUUCGUUACUUAACUUAAUUUGAGGUAACAUUUUCGUCCUUUUUUGUUUGUCUUGAUUUAGUCUUUUAUGUUAUAAAUGACAAUAUCUUGAUAUUUUUUUAAGCGAUUUUUUCCAAUGAAAUCUGAGUUUCUUGGUUUGUAUGAUAAAUAUUUUAGUUUGUUUGAGUUUGAUGAGUUUUUGAUGAUAUUUUUUGAGUUUUUGAUUUAUUUGUUUUGGUAAAAAAGGAUAAUUAUUUUGACAUUUUAUAACAUAAAUGACUAAAUCAGGACAAAAAAAGAUAAAUGACGAAAAUGUUACAUAAUAUUAAGUUAAGGGACGAAUUGUGUAAUUUUAUCAAUUGUUAUGACAUACAUGUCUCAUAAAUAUCAUCAAAGAAAGAAGAUUAUUAAGCUCAACGAGAAGGAGUCUCGAGAACAAUAAAAUUCGAAGUAUCUAUGAUAAAGAUAAAAUUAGUAGCCAAUCACUACUUAAUUUGUUGUAUUUUCACCAAGGAUGAUUAUCUUAUAUGUGUCAACUACGAUUCAAGAGAUUUUUGAUAUGUCGAAUCAACAAUGGAGUAAUCCCAUUAAUCUUGUAAUUAUCCGUAAACAAUUUAGAAUCAUACAAAGAUUUGAAAUUCCCUCACACCAAGCUAGCUCCAAACCAAAUACAAAACUUACUUUUUUGCAUGAAGUGCUUACACUGUCCCAUAUAAUGUACAAAGCCUUCGAGCCACCUACCAUCGUUAUCUGGAAGAGUCGUGUCAGAAUUUCCUUUGCAAUGCCAUCACAAUUGAGUAUGAUCCAGAUACAUCCCUCAUAAGGACGCUUCCAAUCAAUGAAAAUUGUUUCAAACUAUUGAGGAUCAAUGUCAUGAUGAUUAUGGAUGCAGACUUCGAUGGUGCUAGAAAACAUUUUGAUAACACUCGAUGGAUUAGCUAGUCUUCGAAAACUAUCCUCGAUAUUUUUUCUUACCACUUCCACAAAUGUCAACCAGUAGUCAUGAAAGUUGUCUUCUUCCUAUAAUAGGAAUCUCCACUACAAUGCUUGUUGAAGUUACUAAAAAUACAAUUCCUUAAAUAAAAAUGAAAGAAGUUAGUUUUUUUUAGGAUAAGAGAAGUUAGUUAUCAGUUUGGAAGGUACAUGUCUGAUCCAUACAUGAGGUGCAUAAUUGUUUUCUUUGAGCACAAUUGUAGUCUCACCCUCUAUCCUACAACAAGGGCAGGUAAGAUCUACCCUAACACCCCAGCUAUUUUUGAUGUAAUUAGUUCAAAUAUAAUCAUAAGCUAUCAUCUAUAUGAAGGAUUGAAUAUGACGGGGAACCUUUUAGUUUCACAAAUUUUUAAUGUCCCCUUAUAACCGACCAGUUAACACAAAAAAUUAUGAUUUCGAUUUUUUAAAAGGGAAAUGUUAAUUUGUGUCCUUAAGGCACAUGUUAAGAAUUUCAUUAAUAGAAAUUAUGUAUCGGAAAUUGUGUUAAUUUAUUACUUAAAAAAUUUAAUAUUAUUUUUUUUCAAUUAAUACUUACCAUUAAUGACAAGAAUUUAAUGCUUAACCUGUGCCCAAGUUAACAUAACCCUGGUAAAGAUCCUCUCCAUUUAUAACUUUUUCCAUUUGUUGCAAUUUGGAGAGAGAUAGACACAAAAAAAUAAGUGGUGGGUCCUAUCACUAAGUGGAUCCCACCAUCAUUAUUUUCUAUGUGUCUAUCUCUCUCCAAAUUUCAACAAAUGGAAAAAGUUAUAAAUGGAGAGGAUCUUAACCCGACCCUGGUAAAGAUCCUAGGAAUUUAAAACGAUAGAAAUGAAGAAACUAUUUUUGGGACCUCAUUUAUCCAUCCAAAAAAUUGACAUUCUUCUCAUACCUAUUUUUCAAAUAAUAUUGCUUUGCAAAAUCAUCCCACACACUUUCAAAAGUUUACCGAACAGCUAUUAACAAAUAGAUAUUUCCUCCUCUCAUUAAAAUAAAAUAUGUGCAUUAUUUACCUUAACUUAUAUAAGAUAAGAUAAGAUAAAAUGUUGUUGUAAAUAUUUUUUUAAUUACUAGUUAUAAAUAUAAAGAUUUUAUUGCUAUUUAGCGAUGUUUAAUCUCUGUCUAGAAAUUUGAGAAUAUGUGAGAAAAUAGAGUAAGUUCCUUCCUUCGAACUUUUCAUAUACAAAAGUCAGUGGUUGAACUUGUGAUCAUUUCGUUAGGAAUUAAGCCGCUUGUCACUUGGGUCAAUGAUAGUUUUUUUGUAAUCGAACUUUAUCAAUGGCACGAGCUUCACAAAUUACCAUAAUUUUUAUUCAAUUAUUGAUCAUAUUUAAUCAGCAUUAAAUAUUUGUCAAAAGUAAUCAGCUUAUAAUAAAACAAAGAUCGUGUUAAUCAACUUUAUCAAUGGCAUGAACUUCACAAAUUACCUUGUUUUUUAUUUAAUUAUUGAUCAUAUUUAAUUAGCAUAAAUAUUUGUCAAAAGUAAUCCGCUUAUAAUAAAAGAAAGAUCAUGUUUAACUUGGAAUCAAUCUUCUUAAACUAACUUAAAUAAUUGAGAACAUUAUUACACAAAUUUAAACUGCAAAGUACACAAAUAUCCAUUUAUUUGCAUCACACAUAAUUUAAGACAUAAUCUUCAAGACAUGACCGACACAUAUAUUUGAUACAAACGAAGGAUCAAGGGAAAGAAAUAUGCAUGCUUAUGCUACAUGCCAAAAUACAAACUUCACACUAGCUUUUAUUUUAUCUAUAUGCUCACAUUUAUCCAUAAAAGCCAACCCCAUUGAACCAUAAUUCAAAUAUCUUUAUGACUUAUAGAACUACCUUUUCCCCCUUGACAAGAUGACCAUCAAUAUCUCUAGUGCUUUUGCUAAGGUAAUCCAUCCAACCAUUUGGAGUAUCAAUAUCCUCAUUAUUCUUCUCAUAAUCAAUACUCCAUCUAACAGCAGAACUUCCAUCAGCCUUGUUAAGCACUUCUAAGAUGAGCUUAAAUACCUUAUAGUUUUCAAUAUCUCCACCAAACAGCUUGUAAGUGAUUUUUUUGUUCUGAUCAUCAACUUCUUCAACACUCUCAUUGCAUGUGUGUACCUCGCCAUCUGUUAUUACGUCAGAAGCAAUUAAUACUAAUAACAAUAAAAUACGUUUUUCAAAGGAAUUAAUAUAAUAAAUAUUAGUUGCACCAGAAAAUAUUAUAAUAAGAUAAUGAUAAUGGAUGCUUUAUUUCUGCGUUAAAAAAUAAAAAAGAAAAAAAUUCAUUAUCAAACAAAUGCCUCUAAUACACUCUUUAAAGAUCUUAUAUGAUGAUAAUGAUGAUUUUUAAGGAGUAUUUUUUUUUUUAUUUAGAAUCGUUAAAGAAUUUUUAUGAGUGCUCGUUGGCAAAACCCUAACAAAGCUCUUUCUUUUGUAGAAGAUUUUAUUGUUUUCACUUGAAACAUAUUUUCUAGAUAAGUGUAUGACAUUGUAACUUUAACCCGAAAUACAAUCAAAUCUCACAAGAAAGAGCAAUGCUAUAAUAAGUUUCCCUUUCACAUUUUUUUAUGAGUUAAUGCAUUUUUUUGUCCUCAAGAUUUAACUUAGUGUUAUGAGCUUCCCUUUAUAUAACUGUUGUAAAAUCCCACUUAUAACUGUUGUAAAAUUACAAUUUGAGUUACUAUUACUUUUUUUUUUUGCACUCGACAAAAAUAUAUAAAAACUACUCAAACCCAAGCACACAUUGCUCCCAAGAAAGAUCGAUGAAAUUACAAAUCAUGGCACUAUUAGUAUUAUUAGCAGAGAAAAUUUAGAGUCAAUGUAACACCCAUAUUAAUAAUAGUUUCACUUUUCCCUCCUUAAAAAAAAUAAUCUCUUUUCCCGCAUUAAAAAAUAAUAUUUAACAAUCUUGCUUUGUUUGGAUGCAUCUAGUCUGGUAUGAACCUUACAUUUUUUAUUUUUUUUUUGACAAGAAGUAUGAACCUUUCUAUUUUACAGUAAAUUUUAUUAACAUAUUUAAGUACUAUUUUUAGAGAUCCAGUACUUCACCUCGUGUGCAAUGAUUUCGAUAUCUCAAUUUUUUUUAAUGAAUUUAACUUUUUAUUUUAACAAUUUAUAUAUCUAAAACUCUUCAAAAAAAAUUAAUCAAUUAAAAAAAUUAUAAAUUAAGUCUAAAAAUAUUGCCUUCAUUGUAUAACACAAUUUUACACAUAUAUUUAUUUAAUUCGUAAAUUAUAACUUUUCUUAGACAAAUUUUAUUAUAUUAUUUGCUAUAUUAGUCUCAAUGAAUCAAAUCUCUAAUCUUCAUUAUAGAAUUCAUGCAGUAUUCCUUAACUCACCAAUCUUCUUUAUAUUACUAUAAUAUUAAUUAUCAUUCAAAAAAUUGGUAAUAGAUAACUUUUUCAAAUCAAACAAGGUGAUGAUUUGGUUACCUAUGACAUAAGUCCAGUGUUUAACCGAAUCAGUAUGAUGCCAAUCUUCACCCUCAUGAAGCUUGGUAUGAUGAACUCUUUCACAAACAUUUUGCACUUCGUGAAGUUCUGAUGCAAAUAGUUUGAAGAACUUUUCAGCUGGUGUUUUGAUCCCAAGUUCAGUAAUAAGUUUACCAGCAAGCACCAUUUUUGGAAAGAUACUAAAUAUAAUACAAGAAAGAGAAGAAAGAAACAAAUAAGAGAUGGUUUAUGAUAUGAGGAAAGUGUAUGCAACCAAUACCUUAAAUAGAAAUUUGAUUACACUAUUGACUAAGAUAUAUAAUAAUAAUAGACACACCAAAUUCAAUUAUGCAGUCCACUACUUUCCCCACCCAUGACAAAGCAUGAUCAAAUAUUUAAUUUAUUUCGUUUUUUGAUAUUUUAUAAAUUUUAUUUUUUAUAUUUUGUAAGAUUUGUAUUUUUAUAUAUUAAAUUUUUUAUUUUUUAUUUCUGUAAAAAGGAAAUUGUAAAUUAUUCUUUUUUUUUUAUUUCAUUUUAAUCAAUUAUGUUUUUUUUUUUAAAAAAAAAAUUCAUAUGCAUUCUGAGAACUUUGUUCUUUAGAAAGUUUAAGAGAGGAUUUUUGAAACUUCCAAAUUUUGGCACAAAAUUUAACAUUUUUAAAAUGACGUUCUUGAGUUUUAAAAAUUGACCUUUUAAAUUUGAAAUUUAUGGCGAAUACUUGAAAAAUUUGAAUUUAUUUUAAAAUGUUUUUGACAUUUUCUGAGAAGAAUGUUCGACAAAAACAUUUCGAGGACUAGUGUACCUCAAAAAUGUCAAACAAAACAUGUUAAGAGAUAGGUUAAUGUGUCAAGUGUGAGUUAAAGUUUUACAUUGAAUGUAAGAGUAAAUAUUGAGCAACAUAUAAGCAUUAUAAUCCAUAUUCUUAUUACCUUAUUUAGUGUGUAGAUGUUGUGUGAAACUCACUUGUGUUGAUUCUUUUAGUUUAAAUGAUACGAUCAAACUUAAUGUAGAGUCUUCCGAAAAUGGAUUUUUAAUUUUUGGAUGUCAUUUCUUUAAUUUUUUUAGCUUAAAAAUUAUAUUUUGGAUGUCAUUCUCUUUUAUGUGAAUCAUUUAGUCAAUCUUUAUUAAUUUAUAUUCACUCCCUCUUGGUCUUUGGUGGCAAGUAAUAAUUAAAAAUUGCUUAUAUGUUAUGAUGAUUGGACAAAAUAUGAGUUGAAUUUAAUGGUGGUGAGUUGACAGUCUAAAACAACUUUGCACAUAUAACCAAUCAAAACAGUCUGAAAUUUAUUUUGAAGCGUCAAUCCACCAUCAUUAAAUAUUUUGAUGAAGAGAAAGUUAAUGUCAUGAAACUUACUCCCUCUGGUCAUUAUUAUAAGCAAAAAUCAACUUUUUAGGUUCAUUCAUUAAAUGAUGUAUUUGGUCAAUAAUAUAGACUAAAUACAUCAUUUAAUGAAUGAACCUAAAAAAUUGAUUUUUGCUUAUAAUAGUGACUAGAGGGAGUAUAUGGAAAGUUGCAUGUUUGGGUUAAGAUGUGAUGUCAAACUCUCUUAUGUGACUUCUCUCAGUCUAAUGUUGUUGAACUAAAAUGAGUUUUGUACAAUGCCUAAGUUUUGAUGAUAACAAUGUAUAAAAGAACAAUUUGAUAUGCUAAUUUGUGUUCAAGUAUGCAGGAUCAUAGAAUUAAAUUUAAAAUAGUAAAUCAAAUUUUUUGUUUUUGAAAGAACAAGAUUCUGAGCACACUUUAAGAACAUUUGAAUUUUGAGAGAAGAUGAAGUUCUGGACCAGAUUCUGAAGGAUACAUUACAAGCCACUGAAGGACUCAGACUCUGAAGACUUGGACUCUGAAGUAGUGAAGCUUUUGAAGGAUUCGGACUCUAAAGGACUCGUCAGCAUCAGAAGACUCUAGCUAGUUUGGUCAUCUUCUUAAUAGGUCGCUAUCAGACUCUAAUAGUACAAUUUGUCCUCUUCUAACUACAUGAAGAACCAAACAAAGAACUUCAAGGAUAAUUGGAAUGAAACAUAUAAUUCCGUAUGAAGCAAAGAAAUUUCAAAUGAGAGUUCAAUGACAUUAACCAAAUUAAGAAACACACCAACGUCUAUGGUCAAGUUUCUCAACGACUUUAAGUAAUGUGUUGACACUUCUCUAAUGUCUCUCAGAUUUUCCUCUAUAUAAUUAAGGAGCUGAAGAAUCUAAGAAAAAUAAAAAAAAGCACACGCUACAUAUAUUGAAAGUGUAUUUACUGUGUCAAAAUCAAAGCGCAUAAACACUUCGUUUUUAUUUUUACAAACUUUCAUAUGUUAGAAGUUCUUAAGAGUUAGAGUCAAAACUGAUUUGUAUUGUUUACACAUCUGAUUGUAUAGCAAGAGUAAAACCAAAACAAUAUUUUAUAUGAUUAAAUUAGAUGGUAUAAGUCUCUCUCUCUCUCCCUCCCUCCCUCCCUCCCUCUCACUGCCUCUCUCCCCCUCUUCCUCUAUUUUAAUUGGUCUCUAAAAAGGGUCAUUUACGGUAACCUCCACCUUUUCUCUUCUCCACACUCUGUUCUUCUCUCUCUCACACUCCGGUAGUUCUGUGCUGCGAUCUUCUUCAUGGUUUUAAUUAGAUUUGGUUCAUUCUAUUUUUAAAGGCUGAUUCAUUAUAUUUACCUUUUGGGUUUUAAAUAUUAAUCGACAAUCCAAAAGGCUUUGGGUGUUAGUGUUGCAUAAGGAACCAUAACAAUGUGACGAGUGUUCGUCGUCGUUGUUCCUAUUCGUCGGCAACGUUCCUGUUCAUCGGAGUUCGUUGAUGUUGUUCUUCGUCUAGAAAAAAGUGCUUGUUUUUUUAUCUGAGUUUAGAUGUUAUUCAUUUCAUACUAUUGUUAAAUUGGAUUUUUCAUGGAAAUAGGACAUCAACAAAAUUAGGGAUAACAAGGUUGAGAUAUGAAUUGGUGAAGAGUUUAAAAAACCUUUAAAAAAAUACAGAAAUGGAAUAAGUGGAAUGGAUUUCGAUAGAGAAGAAGGAAGAAGGAUGGGGAAGGGGAAGAGGUAGCUAGUAAAAUAUGAAGGAAGGAGACGCCAGAAAAAACAAGAAAAUAAAUCAUGUGUGAUUAAUUUAAUAUGGCACUUUUAAUCUAACCCACACAAUUUGAUCUAAUGGCUAUUGAUUAGUCCUCUCAUCUCUCACCAUAAGAUACUCCUCUCAUUUGAUACAUGCUAUAUAUAUAUAUAUAUAUAUAUAUAUAUAUAUAUAUAUAUGCAUGUGGGAAAGGAAUAGAAGCCUCCUUCCAUGAAAUCACAACCAGCUAGCCCACCUUUUUUACUUUGUUGUCUCUUAGUUUGACCUUAUCUAGGCAUGCCACCAAAAUACAAAUGCAGAUAUCCAACCUAGUUUAGGCUACCCAGAAAGUCAUCACAUUAUGAUGAAUUGUUUUGUUAAUUUUAGAUAUCAUUUGUUUAAUUUUUCUAUUUUAAAUUUUAGUUUUUGGAUGCCAUUUCAUUUGAUGAUAUUUUUCUUAUUUAACAUCUACUAUUUCAAUUUACAGCAUUUCUUGUCUUUACCUGAGUUUGAUGAUGGGAGAACUAUAGAUAUGUUAUGGCAAGUUGACAAGAUACAUACUUAUUAGAUAUUUUUAAGUUAAAAUAUGGUGUCAAUCUUACUUGUGUAAUUCCUCUUGGCCUAAUAUAAUGACCCAACCUAGUUCUCCCAACCUUGUGUAAUUCCUCUUAGACAUUUUUUAAGUUUGAAUGUCAUUUGUUUAAUUUUUUUAUCUCAAAAUUUAGUUUUUUGGAUGUCGUUAAUUCACUUUCAUGCGAUUUUUUGAUUCAACCUCUAUAAUGUUAAAUUCCUUCACAUUUCAGCUUUAGUGAAAUUCGACAAUAUAAAUAUAAGAUGUGUUCUACUGUUUUGAAAAAUACAAACUUAUUAGAUAUUUUGAAAUGAUGUGACAUUUUUUUUAAUACGAUUAAUUUUUUGUUAAAAUAAUUACGCAAAAACGUCUAACUCUUUCAACAAACUCGUCAUGUAAUUACCGACAACUCACUUUAUUAUCCAUACCAACGAGAUUCAUAAAAACAUGAAGGAACAAAUUAACAAGAUUCUUUCUACUUUCUUUUGACUAAAAACCUUCUUAUCUCUUUUAAAAACAUUACUCUUAUAAAUGUUUAUUAUUGUAAUUUGGCUCAUUAUCCCAUUACCACUCGGUUCCUUUUUUUUUAUAAAUUGGAUAACGUAUGAAUAUAAUUGAACAUUAUGAAUAAGAUCGAUUCCGUGACUAAAAAGAAAACUGCAGAUUCAUAGAUGGUUCCGAUGACGUUUCCUUUGAUUAAUAAUCCGAUUGUUAACUUGCUUCUGGUCUAGCCCUAUUGACUGUGCCAGUUCAAUCUUAUCAGCUUCCUGCAAAAUCAUGCUAAAUAUGUUUCUUUCUUACUACUUUUGAAUGAUUCAUUUUUUUUAAAGUUUACUAAAUGGGUAAUAUAUAUAUAUAUAUAUUGCAACUUUUUAAGAAGAAAACGACUCUUCUUCAAAAAAAAAAGAAGAAGAAAACGACUCUAUAUUAAUCAUGCCUGCUACCCACUCUAUUAUUGUGCUUUUGAGUAAACUACUCCCACUAUUUUAUUGGAUCUCGCGCGAUAUGAUUUGCUUUCUGCAAUUAAAAGAUAUAUCACGUUGUUAAUUUUAUAUACUUGUUGAUCGUUGAUGUGAACGUAGUUUCUACCAAAAAAUAAAAUGUGUGAUAGGGAUGUUGUAAUUAGAACUAUUAAAGAAGUUUGUUUAGUCUAACUUGAUCCGGUCCGAAAGGUUCGACAAUAUAAAUAGUUUAGAAUUAUGCUCUUUACCCAAUCAAAAUUGCUCGUUCCCAACUAAAAUUCACAUAAUGCCCAUGCGUGAGUUAAUUCCGUGAUUUAACUCAUGCUUGAUAUAUCAGUAGCUGCGUGAGUUAAGUCACGCAACGUGAGUUAAGUCACGCAAAUUAAACACUAGUGUGAGUUAACUCACGCAGGGUUAUUUUUGAAAUUUCAAUUGGAAAUGAGAAAAUGGUAAAGAGCGGAAUUCAAUAGUUUAAAUCAGCUCGUACUAUUUAUUAUCGGGCCACACAUUAUAGAGCAAGUCCAGUCCAUGGGUCAUCCUUGCUCGACCCAUUAAUUUAUUUAAUUUCAUUUUUUUUAUGUGACUUUGAUAUAUUACUUCCUAGCAAUUAUUUAUUUGCGAGGAAUUGAUUUGAUGAACAUGAAAGUGUAAAUAUUUUAUCCAAUAACAUUGAAUAUUAAUUAAACUCUAAAUUUAUUAACUCUGAACUGAAUUAGUAAUUUAUAAACUUUAAAAUUUUAAAAGUUUUAGCUAAGUUUAUCCAUUUUUAUUAAAUUCAUUUGAUUUAAUAUAUUUUUGGGAAAAUUACACAAUUAGUCCCUUAACUUUAUUUUAGGUAACACUUUCGUCCUUUAUCUUUUUUUUGUCACGAUUUAGUCCUUUAUGUUAUAAAAUGACAAUAUCUUAUCAUUUUUUAUGAGAUUUUUUUCAAAGAAAUUUAAUUUUCUAGACUUGUAUGAUGAAGAUUUGCAUUUGCCUAUGAGUUUGAUGAUUUUUUUUUUUGGAGUUUUUGAUUAUUUUUUUCAUAAAAAAGGAUAACUAUGUUGUUAUUUUAUAACAUAGAGGACUAAAUCGUGACAAAAAAAAGAUAAAGGACGAAAGUGUUACCUAAAAUAAAGUUAAGGGACUAAUUGUGUAAUUUUGCCUAUAUUUUUAUUAAAAAUUCUUAAAUUUGGUGAUAAUUUUUAAAAGGCUUUCAUUCUUUAUUUUUUAAUACAAAAAUGCAACUGAAAAUGUUGAGAGUGCACCAGUCCGAUGGCCUAGCCCGCCCCAACCAAGUAUUUAGAUAGACUAAAUGUGUCAAAGCUAAUAAAACUCAAUGGGAUAACUUUUUUAUGCCCACCCCGACGUUUUUGUUAUUCCAUACGUUUAGUCGGGGACGGACAUUAAUUAAACGUGUGCAAUGCCCACCCCGAACACGGACGGACACUCUCGUGUUCGUCUAUCCAUUUUUUCUAUUGCACUAACGUAUAUAACUCAAAGAGCACUUAUACAUACACACCCUUACAUUUUAUACAUGCAUCCAACAUCUUCUUUUCUCUCUAUCUAUCUUUUCCUAUCAUAUUAAUAAUCUAUCACAUUUAAUCAUUUCACUCUCUUUAUUUCUUUCUCUCUAGGAAAUAAAAGGCAUAGAAAGAUUAAUUGAAUAGUGGUCCAUAAAUUGAAAUCAAGGUGUAUAUAUAUGUAUUCUUUACCAUUCAUGCGCAGCAUACUAUAAGUCGAACGUGAUGGCUUCAGAACCAAGAAAGAGAGGGCAUGACCCGUACAACCAAGUUCAACAAUACUUAUGUCAUUAACAAUAGGUACGACACUAUAGCAUAAUAAACAAUACACAACAAUUAAAGCAAAGUGUCGUAAAGAAAUAACAUAGUAGAUUUGGUAACCCAAUUCGAUGCAACGCCACUUACAUCUGAAAACAUCAAUGCCAAAAAAGGAAAUUCACUCUUAUAGUAUUGGUUCACAGUCUUAUGCAAACACCAUUCUUGCCAUAAGACUAUGAACCUAGGGUUGUUUGCAUAAGACUAUGAACCAAUACUAUAAGAGUGAAUUUCCUUUUUCAGUAUGGAUGCCUCCAGAUGUAGGUGAUGUUGCAUCGAAUUAGGUUACCAUAUCUCAUGUUUUCUUUCUUUACUGCACUUUACUUUAAUCAGUGUUUAUUGUUUAUUGUGCUAUAGUGUCGUACUUGUUGUCAAGGACAUCAGUAUUGUCGAACUUGUUGUCUAAGACAUUAGGUAGAACAUUUGUCUAACGAGUGCCUUAAUUUUAGUAAAUGUGGAAAAAAAAAAUUGAAGAAAGAGAAGGCAUGACCCAUACAACCAUUUUCAUGAAACCUUUUUCAAUCUCUCUUUUCUCUUGUCUUUGCUAAGACUUUGUUUGAGAGUUUGGAGGAAAGAGUUUUGGAAAAUAAAAAGGAGCAAGAGGGAGAAAUAAUAAACAAUAGGAGAAGAGGGCUUUGUGGAUUCAUUUUUUAUUCAUUCAUUUGGGGAACUCGGAAAUUGUAUUGGGGAGGGUUUUGGUUGGUUUCAAAGGGUUUACAAGAAUUUUCAAAUUUAAUAUACAUUGUUAUAAUAUAUUUUUUUAAGAGUUGUUAUAAUAUUCUUAAAAUUAAAAUAUAUUUAAUCAUUAGUACAUGAGCAUUGCUAUUGAGUACGGGAGAUUUAAUCACGGAAUUUGACGAAAUGGAAAACACACUAACCAAUCAAGGGUAAAGUUGUCAUAUAAAAAUGGAUUAAGGAUAAAACUGUAAUAACAAAUACACAUCAAGUUCAAUCGUUGUUUUUCGUGAAAAUGGCUCCGUACUAACUAGCAUUUCCGUUAGUACAUAUCAGUUUAUCAUUCUCUAAAAAAUCGCACUUCCAAAAUAUGUGCAAGAUUUUUCCAUUUUUCUAUACGUUUCCCAACCCCUAAAUCUCUCCAUUUCCCUCUCUCACACCCAAAACUGAAACCACUUUUCUCCAAUUCCUUAACAUCCAUUGUAUCCAUCCAUCUACUCAUGCCCACAAACUGUCACCCCACUAUGAAAAAUUAAAAAAUCAAGACCAAUCUUAUCCUUUACACACAAUAUUAAUUAAUCGAUAUAAUUGUGUUGAAUAUAGACAAAUUAUCAUGUUUCCAAAUUCCAUCUACCAACAAAUUAUCAACAACCUUUGCAUUGUAAAACUCUACAAAACGAAUUUCUGGAGAUUGUUAUGGGGUGUAGACACAUAAUUUCUUGUUCUCCACUACCUUUCUGUCCAUAGAGAAGAACUUGAACUCAUCUCAAAGAAACACCCCAAAGAUAAGCUUACAUAAACUCACUGCACCAAAAAACCUAAUAUUAUUUUAAAAAAGAUAUUACAAACAAUUUAAACAAAAAUAUUCUUCAUUAACUACUAAAACUAUAUAUAUAUAUAUAUAUAUAUUCUUACUACUGUUGGAAUCCCAAUGACAAAAAUGUUGUAUUUUUUUUUUUUUUUGGUUCAAUAGCCUAGUGGCAAAUAACAAACUUUUGAAAGUGUGGAAAAGUGGGAAAUCCGAGGUUCGAACCCGGCCCUUGCAAAUAUUCUCCCUGUUAUACUUGUGACCAAUUUAUUAUUUAAGAAAAUACUCUAAGGUGUGCAGCAAUCAAACUACUAAACCUUGAUAUUGUUUAUGGGGAUGACAAAAUCACAUUCACAUGAAUUACUUCUAAGAGAUUAAAAUAAAUAAGUCCAUUGGAUCCCAUAUAGUUCUCUGAAAAUUGAGAAUAAUAGAAGGAUAAACCAAGUAAAUGGCAAAUAGAAAAGCCAUUUAACAUUGAACUUGAUUUAACUAUUGUUCAUAUUCAAAUAGUUAAGAAAAAUUGUGAAAACAAACCUAUAAAGGUUUCUCUCAAUUCCUUUAAACCGUGUCUAUGAGGGCAUUAAGUGUGGAACCAAUUUUUUAACAAUCAACCUUCAAUUGCAGCACAUUAAAGAAGUGAGAGAGAUUCAGGUCAUGAGAAAGACACAAGAAAAGGGUUUGAAUUGUGUUAACUUUUUCUUCUUUUAAACAAAGUUUAAAGUUCAGCUUCUGAUAGAGUUCAAAAUCUCAAACAAUAUUCAGAGUUAAAUGCAGCGUAUAAGCACGACAAAACAAUUAUCCUGGUUCCUUCCACAAUCCGGAAGUAAUCCAGUCCCCUUGUCACUUACAAGAGAUUUUUCAUAAUAAUCACACAAGAUUACAAUUGCUCAAGCACACAAGCAAGAGACUUUCAAUGCUCAAGCACAUAAGCAAGACUUCUUAUGAAUAGAGAUUACAAAGAAAAUUGUUUGAGUUGAACACUUGAUAUACAAUCAGUGGUGUUCACAAAAUACAACACAUUUCAGACUCUAAGACUUAUGAAUUUCUAAGGUGUGAAAGUUUAUAAGAAAUUCUAAGUGUUUGAAUGCGUAUUUCAAUUUGACAGAGUAAUGAUACUUUGAAAAUAUUGCAAAGUCUUGUAAUUUAUUCAAGUCUUCAAUCCUUUAUAUAGAGGUUGAAAAGAUACGUUGAAGAGCGUCAACGCAUCAUUUGACUCAUUAGAGAAGCUUGAUCAAACUGUUGUAUUUUUCCCAUUAUUUUUUAUUUAUUUAAAUAAGUGGUAAUUAUCAUUAAGGGCCCAUUAUGAUAAUUAUUCAUUAUGAUAAGGAAUUAACCAUUCUUUUCCUAUAGAGACACAAAUGUAGCUUCGUAUAAUGUACAUGAGAAUGUUGGAGGUAGUCGUCGUACUAUAGUUUGUUGUUCUUCAUUGAAAAUGACACACAUUGACUCUCUGAAACUUUAAACAUCCGUAGCUGCAUCUUGCAGAGACUUCUGUACGUUUGGAUCUUCAGCUAUCCAGAGUCUGGCCUCCAGAGUCUUAGUAUCCAGCUUUAGGGUGAUCUAGCUUUUUGGUUUCCUUCAGAGUCUGACUUCUUCAGAUUAUGGUUUGCCUUCAAAAUUUGACUUCUUCAUAUUCUGGUUUGAUAUUUAUCUUCUCUUGAAAAUUCUUUGCUCUACAUUGUUCUUUCAGAACCACUACAUGAUUAAGACAUUAUAAAUUUUUUCCUAUGGUCCUGCACACUUAAACAAAUAUUAGCAUAUCUAAUUGAUCUUUUAAUACUUUGUGUUGGAUCUUUGUAUAUUGGCUUCACUUUUGCCUAAAACAAAUAUGCAUGUGAGAUGUUGAACACGAUGUGCCAACAUCUUGGCAUGGUUCAGUUGACCUGCACCUUGCCUUGUUUUACGCACGCGCUAUUUUAUCUAAGGAAUCCACAUUUUUAUUCUUGUUGGUCAAGUUGCGUGUUUUUAGCACAGGAUCAGAUCGUUUGUGAUUUCCUAAGAAUGAGCUAUCUACUUAGGAAAGUUUGGAGGUGAUCAAUAUGUUCCUAAUAAUGUGCCUAAAUAUUAGGAGUUUCCUUUACUGGUUCUGCUUUUCGUGAAAUGGAUCACCGAAUUGUUCCGAAGCCCAACAAUUUUACUGACCCGUAUUGCUUCAGUAUUUAAAUAAGACUGGAAGACCUAGAGAAUUAAUUCAAGCCGUCAUUUGAAGAAUAGAUCAUGUAGGAUUUUGAGUCUGUUAUUUGUGAGCCUUUCGUGUAUCAUCUUAAUGCAUGUUUAGGACUGUGUUUGAGUUGUAAAUUGUGCACUACUCCAAAGCUUUUAAUUAAAGAGUUAGGUAGUUUGUGAACUGCACCAAAGCUGUGAAGUACGGUGUUUAGUUAUUUUGUUUUGAAGGUAAAUUCAUUUGAUUGUAUUUGUAAUUUGAGAAUCACAGGGGUUGUGAUCAGUUGUAAGGGAGUGAGAUGAGAUCUCAGAUCUAGGAGUUCCUAGGUUGAAGUCAGUACGGGUCGUUCCUAGGUCAUUAGUGCAAACGAGGAGUUUGCUGAGAGCUAUUGAAUAAGAACUACACUAGUGGAUUUCCUUCUUGGCUUGGUAGCCCCCCAGAGUAGGUGACGUUGCACCGAACUGGGUUAACAAACUCACUGUGCCAUUUACUUUUUUGUUUGUUUCUUUACUUGUCUGCUUGUUAGCUUAAUGUUCCAAACAUAUUGUUCAACAUUUGUUUUUGUGUAAUUGGUGUUGCAACAUCGCAUAGAACAUCCUAAAGCUAACGUUCCUGAAUUUCACUUUGUUAUCAUCAAAACUCAAGAGGUAUUUUUUAAAACUCAUUUUAGUUAGGGAGAGAAAUAUAAACGUAUCCAAUUGCAUAUCAUUAUUAAUGUUUUGAAUAAUUGUGUAAUGACCCAAAUAGGCCCAAGUGAUAGAAUAGGCAUUACAAAUUGCUGCCUUUACAUGAUGAUGAGAAAGGGAAAGAAUUUGGCACGAAUAAAACAAUUUAAAUACAGUUAAAGAGAAACUACAAUUACAAUUUAGUCAAGACCAUGGUUGUCAAAAUCGCAAGUCGUAAAAUCGCAAUCAAAAUUGAAAGAUUUUACUCCUAUAAGAUCUCAUAAAUAGGAAAUGAAAGACAAAUAAGGAGAAGAAGAAACAAGCGGAUAUAAAAACGGAUAGAGAAGAAAGUCACACAAAGGUUAUCUCGUGUACAAUGUGUCUUUGGCUACCUAAGUGUUCCCUGGAAAAUAAAUUGUCUCUUCUCUUCAUGAUUUUGGGGAGUUAAAUUUUUCCAAACAUAUGAAGGAUAUAUUUUCUUGAAGCAAACAUAUGAAGGAUUUAUAUCAUGCCAUUGUCAACUCUAAGUUGUUUAUACAGUGCAUUCAUCUUCUAUAACUAUUAAUUAAGGAAAAACAUUGUUUUGCUGUAGCGUUUUUUACUUUCCAAGAAUACCUUUAUUUUAUUCUUCAAUUUUAAUUUUAAUUUACACAAUUUGAUGAUAUGGACCGGUAAUAACAGCUUCCAUUGAAAUGUAGGGAUAACUGAUUUGAUGCCCUCAAUCAAACAAAAACUGGAUGAAAAAAAAAAUAAACAGCCUCGCAUCAGAAUAGAUGUGAAGUUGAAACAUGGAAUUUAGUUAUAAAACUGAUAUCAGGAAAUCUGAGAGGGAGGAGGGAAGCCCACAAAGGAAGGGAGCGGCAUAUAAGUUGCGGCUUCAAAUUGCGCUCUCUGCAUAUAAAAUUGUUGGUCGCUGGAACAACCAUAAGAAAGUGCUCUUUCUCUAUCUCAACAUCUCUUUAUGUCCUUUCUCGAUCUCUCUAAUCUCUUUAUGUCCUUUCUCGAUCUCUCUAAUCUCUUUUUUUCUAUCUAAAUUAUGUUCCGCAUCCUUUCGUACAAUUGCAUUGUUGAUUCUUUGAUUUCCUUUUUUUUUCUUCAAAGAAUGGGAAAAUGUUAAAAAUAAAAAGAGUUAAACAGGAAAAAGGAAAAUAUUUAUCGCGUGAAACAUCAUUUACUUAUUCAUGUUGUUUAUCUGCUCUAUUCUUCAGUUUCAGUGUGAAGGAUAGAUUCUUUGUUCAAUAUUAUAUUCUUCAUUUUUUUCCUAUUUAACAGGAAAGUGAAAACUAAGAGGGAUAGCACAGAGAGUUGAAUGAGAGACGGGAAGAAGGAGAGACAGGGAUUGCAAGUGGUUACAUAUCAAUAAAUUAACUAAUCGUUGGAAAGUAUUCCAAGAUGAAAUGGAAAUGUAUUACAUUAUAAUUCUGGAAGUUCUGUUUCACUAUAUAUAUGUAGUUAAUUCCAUGAAUAUUUAGAUAAUCUUUUAUUUAUAUUUCUCCAAUUUUAGUAUGUUAGAAUCAUUAUUGCUUGCAGCAUGGUAACUGUGUACAUUUACUUCUUUUUAUUUUACCUUACAACUGUUACAUUAUUUUACGUGGAGAAACAACCUUAAAGAGGGGAAAUUGGUGGCAAUGCAGAGGGGCUGCUAUCAGCCAAGAUAGACAGAGAGGUUUCCUCAUCGCUUUCAAUGUAUGCUACAAAAAAUGGUCAAAACGUCAGCUUUUCUAAGCCUGGACAGGGUGCACGACCGUGCUCCCUGGGGACAUGACCGUGCGCCCCCAAAACAAAAAAAAUGUCGUAUGAUGAGCAUCGUCGUGCUCCCAAGUGGCACGACCGUGUGCGUUUGUCAGGUGUCAGAAAUCGCAGUUUUGCCAUGAGUUCGCUUAAAGGGAGCUUCCCAAAACCCCAUUUUCGACCUAGAACUCAUCAAACUCGACCCUAAACUUUAACCCAUGAUUACCAUAUCAUUCAAAUACCGAUUAAUUAUUUAUUAACAUAUUAGAUUACCCAUUAUUUUCAAGGCUAACAACUCAAUUCAAAAACCUAAACUUAUUUCCUCUAUUCUCAUCCUUCAACCUCAUCUUUUAAUUCAUUCGUCAGCAAUCUCUAAUCACAAUCUCACAUCAUAACAACAACAUCCUACUCUAACCUCUUUACAACCCCACAAUAAAAACAUAAACCGGCCCUAUAGAUGAAUAGAUUCUCCCCUUACCUCGAAUCCAUAGAAACCUUCGGUUUGGCUCGGUUCAAUGCACUAGGGUUCCGUUUCUCUCCUUCUGCUUCUCUUCUCUCUUUCCCCGGAUCAACAAAACUGAUUUCUAAUCCCUAACAUUCUCAUUUAAACAUGGUCUCAAUAUUCGUUAUGGUUUUCCUCCUUUCCUACGCGCUACAAUUUUACUUCUUCCCUCCCCCACUUAUUUAAAUAUUACUCUCUGCAUCUCCGACUCUUUAUUUAUCUUGUUUGGAUUUCUCUGUUCGUUUCAUUUAAUUUCUCAAACCACUCCUCACUCAACAUCGUUAUAUUAUUCUCUUAUCAACAACAACUGAUCAUAUAUAUAUAUAUAUAUAUAAAAGCAAAACAACACCACUCAUAAUAUUAAUUAAACUUAGAAAAUUAGGGUGUUACAAUUCUACCUAUACAUGAGAAACUUUAUAAAAUCACCAUCAUAAAUUUUUAAAAAUAAGUGUAACUUUGGUCCAUUUUUGCCUCAAUCUUUACGGUCACGACCUUCAUUUUUCGUCUUCAUUCUCUUCAUUCAUUGCCUUGUCUAUCUCCUCCAUAUCUCCUAUGGUGGUCAUCUCUCUCAAUAUAUAUAUGGGGUUUGUUAGGAUACACCCACUAGUUUUUGUUAAGGUGUGUUUUAGCAAAGAUAUAACUAAAAAAUUGUAAAAUACACCUUCUAAAACAUAAGUGGAUGUAAGUUAGCAACUCCCACAAGCAUUUGUUAAAAUACAUCCACUUAUUUUUUAGAAUGAGUGUUUUAACACGUCAUAACUAAAAAGUAGCUAAAUACAUCCAAAGGUGCAUGUUGCUAAAACACAUCUUCAUAAAAACUAGUGGGUGUAUCCUAACAAAUACCUAUAUAUAUAUAUAUAUAUAUAUAUAUAUAAACUCAGUCUACAAAAUAAAACUAAAAACUUGCUCAACAACAAACUAAUUUAAAAUUAGAUAGUGUUUGAUUGAACAUAUGUUGCCACUUCCAAAAUUCAAAUUUGAUAAAAUUAAUUUGUUUAAACCCCAUAUCAAUUUAAAUUAAAAAAAUCCAAAACACGGUUGCCUUUUUUGCUUAAUGUGUGAUCUAAAUUGUGAGAUAGUCGAUGUCAUCAAUUUUAUAUGAAGUCCAAAACUUUGUUUAGUUUUACUAACACUCUUAACAUGUUCCGCAACAAAAAAAAAGGAUAGAAAAAUCCAAGAAGCAUGACAAAUGGUGAGACUUGUUGUAUAUGUAGAACAAACAAAACAUAAACUUUUUGUUCUUUUAUCCUAUAUAUUAAAUAUAACACCCUUUAAUCUAUUAAUAAAAUGCAAUUAGAAAGAAAACAAAAGUGAAAGACUUUGAAAGGAAAAAUUAAUAAAAGUAUGGUAGUAAACUAGCUUGGAAACCCGUGCCAAGCACGGGCUAGAAUUCCGACUAUUAUUUUUUAUUUUUUUAUAUAAAAUUUAAUUAAACGGAAAAUUCAUUAUUUUAUACACAAUAUAUCAAUAAAACGCAUCGUUAUCGUAUUUUCGAUUGCGUAUUAUAUACAAAUAUCAAUGUGUAUAUAGUUAUUUGGAUUUUCGCAUCGUUAAACAGGAAUGAUUUAACGGAUGUAACGUCGAAAUAUUAGUAUUUAAUACCGGAAUAUUUUACACGGAUGACAAAAAUUAAUAACGGAGACAUGAGUCUUGUUUUUUUUUUUUUUGUUGUUCUGCAUAUAACUGGGGGUAUUAGAGUCUCGAGACCUACCACUGCAUAUACAAUUAAUUGUCCCCACCCAACAAAUUGUCUCUCUACCAAAUGCCCUUAUAUCUAGUUUAUUUCAAAUUUCAUGAUUUCUAUAGCGGAUACCCUUAUAUAUACAAAAUUAAUAUCGUGCAUACACUUGAUUCAUCUUAACAUCCAACACGAAUUUGUAAUUAUUCAAUCGCGUAACAAAUAAGUAUAACAAACAACGACAAAUACACCAACUAUCUAUCACAUUUUUUAACUAAGCAUAUUAUAAAAUAACCCAUCAACAAAAACACAAAUAAAAAAGGCUUGAAAAAGGGACUACAAAAUUGUCAUGUGCAUGCACAUAGACAUAGGCGCUCCAAAGAACAAAGAAAAAAAAAGACGGAUAUAUAGCUGAUUGUAUAAAAUAAAAUGAAGCAGAACGACUUACAUUAAGAAAAAUGAGAAAGAUCAUAAGGAUACUAACAUUAUAAAUAACAUUAAAUUGAAUAUGAGAAUAUUGGAGUUGCUCUAUCAAAUAAUAGAAAACUGAAGUCUCAGUAGAUAAACACCUUAAUUUAUCAGGCAGUGUUAAUUUCGCAGCCGAAGAGAAGGCUUGCACCUAUUGCAAUUGGUCAAUUAUAUUUUAAUACCAUAGAAAUUCCAUUAACGUCAGCUUGUGUACAUCUGAAUGAUAUCAUAUCACCUGAAGCACUAAACCAGCACCGGAAGGUGCAUGAGACCAAAAAUAUUGUGAAAAAGGGAUAAAAAUAUAUUACUCCAUGUAACAUAUUAGUCUCUAUAACAAAUCAAUCACUCAAUCUAUUCUUUGCACAACAAUAAAUGUCAUUGGAUUUUAUACAAUGAAAUAAGAAGUUUGAUCUCAACUGUUAGUUGCUGAAUUAGUUUAUCUACAUGACCAAUCCAUUACUCUUUCUUUACGCAACUAUUAGAAUGGUUGCGAGUAGCAACAACCAAUUCAUAUACAAAUAAUAUAUAUAUAUUACAACCAAGUUUAAAAGAGAGAAAAAAAACUCAUACCCACCUACAUCAUCAGGAACGACUGGUUAAGCGUUUCGAAAAAUAUCACGGUACACAACAUUAGUGGUCUCAGUACACACGCGAUUUUCUUCAUCCUGUAUAAGCAUUUUCAAUCCUUUUUUGGAAGUGACUCUGGACACAGCGACGUACAACUGUCCAUGAAUAAAAACCGGUUCGGAAAGUUAGAUUUCAACGACUGACCCUGACUUUUAUUUAUUGUCAUUGCAAAACACAAAACCAACAGGAACUGUCUCGUAGUUAAUUUGACAGGAAUUUUAGGAUCACUUGGAAAUAAGUUCAUUCUUGGAAUAAUUACUUUUUCACCAGCAUUUUUUCGGUGAUAAGAGUUGCACCGAUAAAGUUCUUACAAAGAUUGUCUACAAUCAACCUAGUCCCAUUGCACAAUCCAGUUGCUUGGUCAAUGUUCCAAAUCAACGUAACUGGACAUCCAACUGUAAAUCUCAACUUGUUGUUUGAAAUAUCGAAAAACUUCAUACUGUUUAAUAACUCGGUGGUAAACCAUUCGCUUUGUACCUCAUUAUUCUCGUCUGAUUCACAAACCAAAUCAAAACUGAUAUACUCCUUUUCGUCUACUGGAACCAAUGAUAGGAGGAAUUUGUUUACAUGCUCAAUUGCAUCCAGUGUGGGAGCAAGUAUCCCCCUCUCUUGGAAAAAAAUCCGAGAUCCUUAUGUUUUGCAAAAAAUCCGAAUAUACAAAAUGAACCCGAUAAUGCAACGGAUCAGAGGAAUCUUUUAUCAGCAACUCCUCAUGAAUGAGUACGUUAAUUUCUCCACUCUCGUUGGCAAAUCCUAUUCCAUCUCCAAUUGAAAGCAUCCAAUCAACAAACUUUCUUAUCUCAUCUUGCUCGGCACGAACGGUUGAAGCACGUAAACGCAUAUUUGUUGUAAGUGUGAAAAUAUUACAGUGACUCCACAACUUUGAUGAGUUGAUGGAUGAAGCAAGUAUGUCUUGUCUGCAUCCUUUUCUUAUCACUGGCAAAAUUUGUCUGAAAUCAUCGCCCGAAACCACAGUAACACCCCAAAUGGUUUGUCUGUAUAAUCGACAACAUCAUAAGACAUUAUAUCGCGCAUGGUUCGGUCAAAUGCCUCAAAACAAUAACGAUGCAUUAUUGGUGCCUCAUCCCAUAUUAUUAAUUUUGAACAUAACAGUUUUGUCGCUCUCUUUAUCGAAUCCAUAAUUUGACGCUUUGUACCUCAUUAUUCUCGUCUGUUUGCAAACCGAAUCAUAACUAAUAUAUUCCUUUUCGUCUUCUGGAACCAAUGAUAAAAUGAAUCCGUUUACGUGCUCAACUACGUCCAGUGUGGGAUAAAGUAUCCCCUGCUCUUGGAAAAAAUCCAAGAUCUUUAUGUUUUGCAAAAAAUCCGGAUAUAAAAAAAAAAAAAAAAAUCAAGGGGCUGAAAAAAAUCUUAAUAUUUAUGGAGAACAUUUACAUAAUUAACCAUUUUUUACUGUAAAAUUUUGUUUUUGGAUGUCAUUCACUUUCAUUUUUUUUUUUUGUAUUCAAACUCUAUUUUUUCAAACUCCUUCGCAUAUGAGCUAUGAUGUGGUGUGACAAUGAAAAAUGUACAUGUGUUAUGAUGAAUUUACAAAAUACAUGUUUAUUAUUAGACAUUUUAAAAUGAUACAACGUUUUUUUAAAUAAGUAAAUUUUUUGUAAUAAUUACCAAAAAAUCUUCAACUCCUUCAACAAAACCACAUAAUUACCGAUAAUUCAAUCUAUUUUUUAUACUCUCACGGACAAAACACGCACUACAUAUUUUUCACCUUAAUGUUUCUCCCAUGUUCAAUUUUCUUCUUCUUCAUGUUUGUUUUAUUUUUCUAUCUAGUUUCCUUUCUCUAUUCUCAUGGAUGAAAGGAAUAUAAACCUCCCUUCAUGAAAUCACCACCAAUCAACUUUUUUAAACAUGAUGUACCUAAUUUUGACCUUAUUUGACUACGUUACAUAAUUAUGGACGUAGAUAGUCACAUUAUUCAUUAGGAUAUGUUAAUGUGUCAAAUGUGAGUUAACAUUAUACACUGGAUGGAAGAGUAGAUUUUGAACAACAUAUAAGUGAGAUGACCGAAAUACAUAAUGUCUUAAGGUUUUAUGUAAAGAUGUGGUGUCAAACUCACUUGUAUGGUUGUUACCGACGUAAUACGUUCAUCUAAGAUGUGGUGUCAAUCUCACUUGUAUGAUAAUUUAUUUUGUUAGUUUUCAGUUGUCAAAUGUUUAUUUUUUUUUAUCUUAAACUUUAGUUAUUGGAUGUCAUUCUCUUUCAUGCUAUAUUUUUUUUGUUAUUCAACCUCAACUACUUCAAACUCCUUCACUUUUAUUCUUUGGUGAAAUUUGACAAUGAAAAAAAACAUAUGUGUGUUGUUGAUUUGACAAAAUAAAUACUUAUUAAAAAUUUUAAAAUAACGUGGCGUUUUUUUAGUUAGUCUAAUAUUUUGGUUAAAUAUUUACUAAAAAAUGUCCAACUCCUGAAUCGAACCAGUAAAAUUAUCGACAAUUCAGUUUAUUCUUUAUACGUUCCCAUAAAAGCACACACUACUUUAGGAUGCUAAAGUAGAUAUUACAUAUAAGUUAGAUGACCAAUAUACUUGAUGAUUUAAGGUUUUGGUUCAUUUUGUGGUGUCAUUUUUUCAACUCCUUCAAAAAAUCCACAAAAUUACCAACAACCUUUGGACAAUAUGGUUGAGAUAUGGUUUGGGUAAAAAAUCCCAAUUAGCAUGAACAAUUAAACCAACAAACUCUUUUAGUAAAAAAUCAAGAUGAGAUAUGGUUUGGGUAUAAGGGAUAUUUCAUUUGUCAUUAUUAAUUUGAAAUAAAAAUUCAUUUUCUUGUUCAAUGCGGUUUUUCAACUUAAGGGUUUAAUCUAGUAGUAGAAGGACAAACUUUGAAUUUCGAGAUUUUGAGUUACGAACUCAGCUAGUAUCCUUGGAGAUAAGUAAACAUAAAUAUAUUUGUGAGUGCUCUUUUAUCUCUAAGGUGCAUGUAGAGAAGGGUGGCUAUAGAAACACCCUAUCUCUAUUUACUUUUGCGAGGGACCCCUAAAUAAAUUGUAUAAAAAAAAUUGUUGAAAAUUCGUAAAAUUGAAAUUUACAAAACCACUGAGUUAUUGCUAAAAUUUAAUUUUUGAUAUCAUUCAAAUCUCCUUUUAAAUUGUGUUUGUUACUAUUAUUUCUUUAAAAAAAGUUCCUUUAGAAUAUGUCAGAGAGACUUUAGGCCUUAGGGUGUGUUUAUUGCAAGGUUUGUAAUAUGACUCCUAGGAACGUGAGAUUAGAAAUAUGCAAUAUUUCCACGUAUGUUUCAAGUUUUGAAAAUUUGUUCCCAUGAAUAUUAUAUUAUGAGGAAUGUUAUUUACACAUGUUUUCUUCUAUUGUUAUUUUCAUACUUAAAGGAUGGGAAUCUAAAAUUUUCAUGGUAAUAAAACUCAAUUUGCCAUAAAUUCUCACUACCAUUAACCUUUAUUUCCAUUUUUAUUUUUUUAAUUAAUUAAUUUCUAAAAUAUUUCAGGAAACCUAAAUUUUUACCAAGCAUGGGUAGGUAUUUCGUUUCAAGGACUGUAAUAUCUUGCCUUGAAACAAACACACCAUUAAUUUUUCAUAAAAUAAAUUGAGGCUUUUGAAAGACUACUAUCAUAAUCUACAAUUUACAAUUUAAAAAAAAUGUCAUUUUUAUUAUAAAAAAUUUAGGUGAGUUAGACUCUGGAAGACACAUAGAGAUCAAGAUAUGUCUCAUGACUCAAUGAGCACUUACAAAGUUACUCCCUAUUAAAGAUAUCAUCACACUAAUAGUGGUGUUUGAAUCCACGCCCUUGAGGUUGAGUCAACUCGUUAUUAGCUGAGCCAACCUUGAUUAGAAAUGUUAUUAUUAGUAUUAAUAGCAAAAAUAGUGAUUCAAAACAUGAUAUCAUAUAAUGAUAUCAUUUAAAUAACUUUUUUUUUCCAUCUGACCCAAUAAAUGAGACAUUUAAUAGAAACAUUUUAAUUUAAAUGGUCAUAUUAAUGAGUCUUAAUUUAUUUUAUCAUGAUUAUACUUAAUAACAAAAAAAAAAUAAAAAAAAUAAAAAAAUUAAAUUAUUCAAAUUGAAGUAUUCGAAAUUUAAUGAUAUUUUAUUUUUGAAAAUUUAGCGAUAAUUUUUUAAAGUACAUGAAAUAUUCCUUUUUAAAAAUUGGAUGUGAAACAAAGAUAAAAAACUUAAAAUAUUUUUGUUUUUAGUUUAUUUAAAAAAAAUAAAAUAUUCAAUAGUUUUUUCUAAGUAACCUCAAUUAUUUAAAUUUCAACAGUACAUCAUUUUUUAUUUGCUAUAUAAUUAAAAAAAAAAAUUAUUUCAUUUAAUUUAAGGCUACAAUUAAGGAUCUUAUUUAAAGAAUGUUUUAUUUUUUUUGUCUGACCUAUUAAACGACAAAGUUUAAUAUUUAUAGAAUCAACCCAAUUCAAAUGACACAUAAAAUUUAAUUAUUUUAAAUUAUAUAAAUAUAAAAUUUCAAAAUUUAAUGACAAAUAUUUUUCUGUAAAUUAAAAUAUUCUAUUAAAAGAAUUGAAUAUAAAACAUUGUCUUGACUAAAAAUUAUAUUGUUGAUGUUGAACAUCUUGAAGUCGUAGAACGUAGACACAUGCUCUCCAAUGGAACCCUAAGAAAGUAGCAUUAACAAUAAACAAUUAGAUACAAAUAAAAAAGAAAAUCAACCCCAUAAUCUACAACCAAGUGAUUAAUCUUAUAUGCUUUUAAAACACAUAAAAUACUCAUUUUUACGACGAAAAUUUUGGGAGGAAUAGACACAUGAAAAUAAUGAAAAACAAAGUGUUAAAAUCAUUGCGUAAUCAAUUUUGAUUGGCUGGUGAAAACUAAAUGAGUCAUGGUCCGUCUUGAUUGGCUAAUAAAAAAAUAAAUGAGUCAUCAUUCACUUUUGAUUUUUGGUUGGAUUUGACAAUAAAAAAUUGCAUGUGUUUUACUAAUUUGACAAAAAUAAAGGGUUGUUAUAUUUAUUAUUAAACAAUGUGACAUUUUUUUAUUUAGUUUAAUUUUUUGGUAAAAUAUAUACUAAAAAAUUUCAAACUCCUUCAACAAACCUGUAAAUCACCAUGAAUUAACUCUAUUCUAUAUACUCUCAUAGACAAAGCACAAACAUUCUAUUUUUUUUCCUUAUCAUCUCUCUCAUUUUUGAAUUGCUUUUUUGUCUUCUUUCUUUUUCUAAUUUACUUUCUCUCUUCUCUUCAAUAAAAAGAAUAAAAACCUUCAUCCAUUAAACCACCACCAACCCACUUUUAUAGCAUGUUAUGUCUUCUCUAAUCUUAUUUGGUUAAGUUACCAAAUUACAAAUGUACAAAGUCUUACAUGUAAAGGAGAUAUGUUAAUAUGUCAUAUAUGAGUUAAAACUCCAUAUUGGAUGCAAGCGUAUGUGGUGAGAAACAUAUAAAUGAGAUGGCUCAUAUACGUGGUGGGUUAAAGAUUAGGACGAAGAUGUGUUGUAAAUUUCAUCUUUGUGGUUAUGCUUAGCCUAAUACGAUUAUCCAUGAGAAGACUUUUGGUAUUUGCUGGAAAUUAACCAUGAAAAAUAUUGAUGUGUUACUUGAGCUGAUAAAUUACAUAUUUAUUUAACAUUUUAAAUGAUGUGAUAUUUUUUUUUUUAAUUAAGUAAAAAAGAAAUGGUAAAAAGAAAUGUCAUAUUAAGUAUUCCCUUAAUUAAGGGGUGUGAUUGUAAAAAGAAGUGGUAUACUUAUUCAGUCAUUUAAAUUGAAAAUAAAUCAUACUUACAUCAAAUUGAAUAAAAUAUCUACAUUUACGAUGAUGUGUAUUAUUUAUUUUUUUAUGAACGAUGAUGUAUAUACUUGUUAGUAAGCAUUCCAUUAAAAUUCACCAAAAGAAAAAUAUGCUUGUUGAUGGACAUAUUCAAAAUUACCAAAAAAAAAAUAAGAGAAUAUAUUUUGAAUUGUGAACGUUUUUCAAACAAAAUAAACUUGUUAUUUUUAAUUUAUUUAUUUUUUUAUAUGUGAAAGUUUAGUGAGUGAAUGUCUGUCCUUACUCCUUGCUUAGCAAAAAAAAAGUUUAGUGAGUGAGACUCCAAGGACUCGUCUGAAUUAGGGUAGAUUUUGAGAUUUAUCAAGCUCUAAUCGAGAUGCUUACGUAUCACCCAUCAAGAAGUUUUCACGUUAGAAGUAAAAGCAAAACUCACGACAAUUGAACCAAAUCUUCGUUGAGUAAGAAUAUAUGUUUUUGAUACUAAAUGGGAGAAAUUCCUAAAUUGAAAGUUGAAUUAGGAAAACAUGUUAGUACCACUUGAAAGACAUUUAUUAAUCAAAUUAGUAAACGCCCACAAUUAAUAUAUAUGGGCAUAAUUUGACCCAAAAAAACAAAUAUGGAUAUAAUUGAUUUUUCGUGUAAAUGCUGAUAUAAAAAACAUUUAAUUUUUUUGAUAUGAAAAACAUUUAAUUUAGAAUGGUACCAUAAUCAUCAUGGAAAAUUUUAAAUAUUUAUUUGAAUAUUUUGUUUUAUAAAAAUGAAAUAUCAUAGCAUUAAAUGAGGUAGGAAAUGAGAGAUCGCCACGUGUACUUUAUAUAAUAAACAUUUGUCUUGCAUUACAUUAUUUUUGUCAAAAAAAGUAAUGUAAGACAAAUAUUUAUUAUAAAGAUAAAGAUUUAUAGUGUGAUUGAGAAUGUGCCUAGAUUGUCGAUAUAUGUUGAUUUAGUUGAUAAUAAAUUGACUCAGAUCUCCGUUGUGUGAGUAUGAUUCUCACUAUCAGCGUUAGGACAUUCUCGAUGGAUAAUACAUAUAUACGUUUGUAAUCUCUCUUUGAGCCUUGAGGUUUUCUCUUUGGACUCAACUCACCUAAAUAAAGAGAGAUAUUGACACACAAAAAACCUCACCUAAAUAAAAUUAUUAUAAAAAAAAGACGAAUAUGUUUUUUUACGGGAAAAGAUAGUAUGUUUAUAUGAGUAAAAAAAGAAACAUACUUGUAUGGUGCGCCUUUUUUUUUUUGUUGCUAUUUUUUAUUGUUAUGAAAACAUUAAGAUAUAUUAAUUUCCAACUUUUAAUCUCAUGAUAUAAAUCAAUGCAAGAUUUUUCCUAAAUAAUUCCUUUCCAUUUGAAAAAUAUGUACACUUGAAUGUCUAUGAUUAGGAAAAAAAUGUGAAGACCAAAUGUUGAUUGCAAUUAAAUUGAAGAAAUCAAAUAAGAAAAAGGGGACAAUAGCCUUUACGGGUUUUCAAGGAAAGUAAUGUCAUUCAUUUUGCAUAUUAAGUAACGCUAGCAACACACAUUUUAACAUACAUUUUUUAACAGACUCUCUUUGAUUAGUUAAAACUCACAUGAGUUCCACUAAAUCUAUAUGGGUCUCACAUGAUUUGGUGGGACCCGUGCACAUUUUAACUAAUAAAAAAAGUAUGUUGAAAAAUGUGUGUUAAAAUGUGUGUUGUUAUCAUUUCUCUUUUCAUAAGACUACCUUUUUAGAGGUUUUAAGAGAUCAUUUCAUUAAUUUUAUUUAUAGUAUAAAUCAUUAUAGUCAUUAAUUUCGAUUAUUAAUAGCACAUGCAUAUUCAUUCGUUCGCAGUAACAAAAAAAUAAUAAAAAAUUCGUUAGAAAAUAAAAAAACAUGCAUAUUCAUUCAAUAAUAAUAAAUGGUUUUAGCAAAGAGCAUAUACAUUAAUAUACACGGUUUUAAUUUUUUUUUCUUCAAUUUACUAUUAUUUUGUUGCAUACAUUGAUACACCAUAAAAAAAAACUUGUAAUAUUCGGAAGAAAUAAAAAAGAAUAUUGUAAAUAAAUGCUAAUUUUUUUUACAUCAUGUUCAUUUUUUAAGUGUUUUGAAUCUGAUUGGCUUGGAAAUUAUCAUUGGCUUGAAUGACUUAUAAUAUAAAUGAUGACAUAUAUAAAAUACAAAUGUCUUUUUCAGUUAUUCAUAACACAAAAUUCAUAAUAAUAUCCUCCACUUAUUUGGUCAAACAAAUAUCGUGAGCUUAACUCAGUUGGUUUAUCUUGCAUUUUUUGCAAAAAAAAAAAAAAUACCUUCCAUAUUUAUCCUGCAUGAUUGAUGCAUUUAUGUGUAUCAUUAAUCAUUUAGUAACAAAAGUCAUUUAUCUUUAUUGAUACAUUUAUGUGUAUCAUUUAGAAACAAAAAGAAGGUCACAUUUAUGCAAAAAUUAAUUUAUAUUUCUUUGGAGGGGACUAAUUAGCUAUAAUUUUCUUUAAAAAUAUAGUGGAAAAAAUCGACUAUGUUUUUGUUGUUGGGGUUAACCCUCCGGUCAUGGAGGAAAAGGACCUGAGUAAUUCUUGCAAAGAAGAAAUUAAAGUCUUAUCAAGAAUUAUUUCACAAAAUAAUCAAAAUCAAGUUUUCUUAAAUAAUUUAUCUUUUAGUAGAGCUCGUUAACCACUCUUGUCCUAUUAAUUGUUUCAAAUUUACAAUUAUUUAAAAUGAUUGUACUACCCCUUUAAGAUCGAAAAUAAUGUUGUGAUGAAAAAACUAAUCCGAACAAUAUUAUACGUAUAAAUGACAUAAUAAGAAACACCAAAUCAAUAUUUGAAUUGAAAUAUCUAAAGGUACACUAUCCACUCCGCAUAAUUUCACAAAAUUUAGUUUGUAUUCAUGUUUCCUUGUCCAAUAAGCUCCAAGAUUUGUAGCGCAACAUCAAAGUAGACCUUUCCUUCAUUCAAAUCCUUCUGAAAUUUGUAGAUCAUAUUUAUUCAUACAAUAGCAUGAAUUUUGUUACCCUGAAAAUGCAAGUAGUUAAAUAGAAGGAAAAAAAAACGGAACUCUGGAUAAAAAAAUAUUUGAAGGAAAACUAAAUACAAAAUUUUCACACCUACAUGCUAUAACAAAAAGGCACAUAAAUACAACCACAAUGAAAAACAAUCAUAAAAAGUACACUCUAAACCUAAAUUAUGAACACAAAAUGUCUUUUAUUUUAUGAGAGGAAGAGGUAGAUGGAGAUAAUGAAAAACAAAUUGUUUAUAUAUAGAAAAAAAGCAUGUCAUGAUCAAUUUUGAUUGGCUCAUAAAAAAUAAAUGAGUCAUGAUCUCUUUUGAUUGGCUAAGAAAAAAAUUAUGAGUCAUGAUCCAUUCUGAUUGGUUGAUAAAAAACAUUAAAUGUAAAUUGUGUGUACAUAAGAAAUAACAUUAAAUGAUCUUUUCAUAAUAGGUUGCCACGUGUACUUUUAAAAAAAAAAAUAGUGCAAAUAUAUAUAAUAAAGAUAAAGAUAGCCAUCCAAUUAAUCCACAAAAAGUAAACACUUACAAAUUAGAGUUCCUAAAAUCGUGUCACGAAAUAGCCAUCGUGACACGUUUUAACCAAUGUCGAAUGAACCUCAUCAUGUGCUUCAAAUCGUGACACGUUUUUCAGUAAUCGUGACACGAUGCCCUCUUUUCAGUUUCUUCAGUUUUUUCUCUUUUGCUGCAUAAGUUGCCUUGUGAACUUCAAUUUGUGAUCAAAAUACAUAUAAAAAAAGACUCUAGAAAUAGCGAAUGACGGACUGUCAUCACCUCCUUUAGACUAAAAGGUUUUAAAAGAUCAACUCCCUGCGACAAACUUAAAGAUUUGAAAUUAAAGUAAGUUUUUCUUGGACAUUAGAAACCCUUUCCACUUAAUGACCAUUAACAUUUAUAGAGUAGAAUGCAAUAGAUUGACAUCUACAAGAUAAAAAUCCAUGCAAGAAUUUAGAAAUCCCUGUUUCAAUCAACACAUUCUUGAUUUCUAAUAAUGCAUGCUUGAAUUGAUUCUUGCCAAAAAGUGUAAAUUUAUCCCUGUUUCAAUCAACACAUUCUUGAUUUCUAAUAAUGCAUGCUUGAAUUGAUUCUUCCAAAAAGUGUAAAUUUGCAGAUAAACAAUGAAGCUCCUCUACCUCAUCCCCCUUUAAUGCACUAACUUCAGCUUUUAAAUUUAAAGAUGAAAUGCGGUCUUUAACAUCAAGGAUUCUGCUUUUCAAAUUUUGGGUAUAUUGCUGAAACCAGGAUUUUAGACUACCUUUAAUCAACUUAAAUUUUCUUUUAACGCAAAACUUCUCCAACCUCACACUUGAAAGGAAUGUCAUUACUCUUUAACAAACUAUGAUAACCUAGAAGGUCCUCCCAAGGGCCAAGGUCCCCAAUUCUUCUCAUCAAUAGAUAAAGAAACCAGACAAUGAUCNCACUGAUCACGAAGGAACGAGUGAAGAGAAGAGAGAAAGAAGAUGAAGAUCUAAACCGGCAAAGAAGAAAAAAGGAAUCAAACCAGCAAACAACAUCGAUUUAUUUUCGAUUUCCAGCAAAAGUCAACAAACAAGAUCAAAUCGAAGAUUUUCGAAGAAUCUUUGAUUCGAAAUUUUCCAGAAAAAUCACAGGUAAACUCAAACCUCAUCUUUUCUUUCUCAAGAACAAUAAUAAGAACGAAUCAAUGUAGAUCUUCAAAGUUUCAAAGAGUUUCUUUCAAAAAAACUGAAAACCUAAAAAAAAAAAAAGAUUUCAAAACCGUAACAAAAAAUGUAGAUCUACAAAGAUUCAAGCCUUGCAUGUGAUUUCUAGCUUUAGAUUCAUGAUUAGAUUGAAAAGACGAGUGGUUUAGGGUUAGUUUGGUUUAGAUCUGGAAAAUUAGGUCAACCGGAACCUGGAGUUUCUCGCCGGAGAAGAUGAAGAUUCCGGCGAACCUUGAAGGUUCUGGCCGAUCUUCAUCUUUCUCAGCCGUUUCUUUCAGAAACCGGCUAAGGUGAGAAGAGAGAGGGAGGAGAGAGGCGAGAGCUUCUCUCACUAGUUUAGGGUUAGAGAGAGAGAGAGCAUAGAAGAAUGGAAAAACCGGCGUGAGCUCGCUUUUAUAGACCCCUAGACCGGACCGGUUCAAGACCGGUCCAAUCCCUUGCAAUCUUGAGCGUUGGAUCUAGGGUUUCCCUCCCUGGAUCAAUCCAACGCUCCCUUUGCUUCCAGGCUUUUAGGUUUUGGGCUUGGGCCUUUUUCUCUCCAGUUUCCUACGUUUUUUUUGCUUUUUCCUGCUAUCUGCACCCUGCUUCUUUGCUAAUUGAACCUCUGCAUGCUCAAUCUUUUCUCUAAAAAUUCCUAAAAGAUUGUUAUAUGUUUCUUAGUACAUUUUAACACUUUUGUGAUAUUUUUCAGUGGUUUAAAAAAUGAUAAAAAUGUGUGUGUUAUUUCUUCUUGAUCAAUUUUGUGUUUGAUCUAAGUUUGUGUAUUUUUGUGGUAUAUUUUCUCAUAAAAUGUUGGCAUGUGAUGUGGAUGAUUGGUGUGUAAUUUCAUGGUGAAUAUGUUGCUGAUCACAUGUAUGUUUUGCUGAUUGUGGAUGUGGAUUUUCAUGUCUUUCUUGUUUUGCAAGCAAUGUGUGUUUUUAUCAAGAAAUAAAGUGCAAAAUAUCUUUAAAAAAUGUGUCAUGAUUCUUGGCUUGAAUAUGUCCUAUUUAUUCCCACAUUAUAGCUCAAAAUCAAACCCCUUUAACAUUGCUAUAAUGAGGGGAUUAUAGGUCAUGUGCAUGUCUAAGUGUCAUAACCAAUUUUAGGUAUAUUUUGCCANAAUCUCUUUUGAUUGGCUAAGAAAAAAAUUAUGAGUCAUGAUCCAUUCUGAUUGGUUGAUAAAAAACAUUAAAUGUAAAUUGUGUGUACAUAAGAAAUAACAUUAAAUGAUCUUUUUAUAAUAGGUUGUCACGUGUACUUUAAAAAAAAAAUAGUGCAAAUAUAUAUAAUAAAGAUCACUCACUCUCCUUCACAGAACUUCCCUCUCUUUCUACUUCAUCCCUUUCAGAAACAAAAAAAAUAGAAGUCAAGAAAGUAGAAAAAAGAGAGAUAAGAGAAGAAGAAAUUUUUUGUUAACCUCCUCCUUGGUUCUUCCAAUUUUUUGUUUUAUUGAAGGAAAUGGUUCUUCCAAUAUUUAUGAGUAAACUUACCUUCACAAACCAACCGUAAGUUUAAUGUGGUCAUGAUUCAGUUGGUGGUUUUGAUGUGAAGUUACACAUAGAAAAAGUUUGAAAUGGUAGUAGGGGUAUUUUUCAAUUUAAAAAAAGGCCACACCAAAAACAAAAUUUUCCCCCUUUAUUAGAUGUUAUAGAUUAUUGUCCUAGUGAGCUUAACUCAGUUGGUAUGGACAAAACAUAAUAUAUGCAAGGUCCGGGAUUCUAACCCCGGCCACCACAACAAAAAAAAAGAUGUUAUAGAUUAUUAAUUGUCGUCCUUCCCAUCGUUUUUGCGCCAAGAUCAUAUAGGUGCAAGUAGACCCAAAAAGUUGGAAAAACGCAGUCUCGUGUGGUGUCCCCAUUACAAAGGGUGGCUAUCUUCUCAGUCUACAUUUGUCGCCGACGCCUUCGUCUUAUAUUCUUCAUCCGCCUUCUCUCUCGUAUGGUUGGUUGUUUCCCAUUUCCUUAACGUACCUUCUCUCUCUCAUACAGUGUGUAGUUUAUUAUUUCUUACUUUGGUCGCUACUCCUUGUGUUUGAUAUGCUAGAUGAUGGGUUGUCCCUCACAUUAUAUCAUCAUUAUAGGCAUAGCUCUCCAAUUUACCAUAAACUAAGCCGCUAAAAAAAGAAAAAUUAACACAUAUAAUUUCAUCUAUGAAUUAUCUACACAAAAACAAUGAAAAUAAAGUAGAGACAGAGAGAAAGAAUGGGAUAAGAAAUAGAAUGAUAUAAAAGAGUUGGGAAGGAACUGGCACCGCUAGAAACUCUCGAUUUUCCUGCGGAAUACUUGCGGAAAAGAGUGAAUAAUCCGCAGGAAACGUGUUUCCUGCGGAUUUUGCCAAGGAUUUUCACUCCCAGGUAAUACCUUCGUGGGUAAUUAUUUCCUGUGGAUUUUAGGAACCGCAGAAUAUAUUCCUACGGAAAUUUCCUCAGGCAAAGUGAAAUAUAUCUGCAGGAAACCUUUGGUCAGAGUGGGAGUAGUUUCCCUGCCCGUGAAUGUUUCGUGGGAAAAUACCGCAGGUAUUCCGAACGGGACAUAGCAUAUGCUUCUUUUUAAAACCAUAUAAGGAGUAAAAUAUCCAAAAAUAGCAUACACUAAAAAAAAACAAUGGCAAUAUAAACUUGUUCAUUGUAACAAAAAUACUAGUCAUAAAAUACAUCAAGUCUCCAUAUGAAGUUACAGAAGGGAACAUGAUUCAUGUUAUGGAAAUAACUACAAUGUAAUUUUGCACUGUCUUAUGCUCUUAUUCUUGCAGCGUGCUCUUCUGCCAAUUGUUUCUCAAACCUUGUAGUUUCCCCUUCAACUUCAACUCAAUCUACAAAACCAUAUUCAAGUUCACGUACCCUUGUUUCUCUUUCCAUUCUCAAUUACAUGACAAGAAAAACUUCAGAACUAAUGCAGGUGCCUUAUUUUUUUCUGUUUUAUCAUCAAACAACAAAAUGAACCCCCACAACUUGAAACUCUUCAAUUAAAACCAACAUGCAAAAUCACAAAAUGUCCUUCAUGUUUCUGCAUGUUUUGAUUGACAAUGAGUUUGGUAGAGUCAUAGUCUUCCACCGUGAUUUUAGCAAAAACUAUACUUUGAAACUUCAACAAAAUCACAGUGUACCUUAAUUUUGACAAAUCCCAACCGUCUGAGUGGGGAAUGUCCAAAUUAUAACUUAGAUGUGGUCGACCAGAUAAAUCCUGAAAAAGAAAAGAGUUAAAAUGCAGUAGUGAAGUGAACAAAACAAAUUAUUAGUUUCAGAGGACUAUGAUUCACACCUGCUAUCACAAUUAUUGUAAUGGCCUGAAAAAUAACGAAUACAUACCAGUGAAACGUGUAUCAAUGCUUCAUCAAGAGGAGCAGAGAAGUCUCCGAACGGGUUAAUUCCUUUUCUAUCUCCAAGGGCUUGCAACAAAGCCUGCAGAUGUCUGAUGUAGUAACAGAAAACUUAGUUUAAUGAGAUAAUACACGAUCGCAAUUUCAAUAAGUUCCAUGAUAAAUGCAAAUCUUAUUCACUGUAUAAUAAAUCAUGCACAUCAAUAAUUACGUAAAAUCUUGAAAUCAAUAAAGUGAAGCAAUUUUGAGUUUCAAGUUAAGAAAUUGCGGUAUUACGGUACGUUCCGAAAGCAAAAGCAACAUCUUCAUUCUUCAUUUGUGUGAUGAUCAUCAAUGUGGCCUUCAAGUGUAUGUCAUAUAGUCCAUGUGAAGCAAGUUGCUGAACAAUCACAAUCAAGUUUAGGUUACUUCAUUGAACAAAUUUUAUUUUCUAUCAUGAACAGUUCUUAAUUUGCACUUUGAAGUUAGCAUCAAGAAAGCAGAAAGUAAUUUCCUAACUAUGAACAAUGAUCAGAUUAUGACUCAGAUCUAUCCAAAAAAACAACUCAACAUCACAAGACUGUUUUUCAUUCCACAAAACUAUCAUUUUCAUUCUUGUUUUCAAAUAUUUGUAUAGAAAAAGAAAAAAUAGACUAUAUUUGCAUAUGAAACAAAGAAAAAAAGAUAGAUUUUUUAAUUAAAAAUGAAAUCAAGAAACAUCUAAACUAUUCCAGUCAUCUGAAAGUUCUCCCAUAUCAAACCCUGAUCAUUGUUAAAUAACAAAAUGUAAGGUUAUAAUAUAUACUUAUCUGUGCAUACUUAACAGUUAUACAACUAGAAAGUAAUAUCAAUCUAAAUCUAAGUGAUUAAGUAUCAAGUUUAAUUCCAUUGCAGCAGUAAUGAGCAUCAUUUCUUAUGCAAGCUAAUAAUGCAGGAACAACAGAAAAUUGUGUAAUCAUAACUGUUAUACCCUGAUUUUGGACCUAAAAAUACUCAUUCAAAUUUCUUUUCUAACACUGAUACUUGUCAAUUCGCUGUUGUUUUACUCUGAAUCUUUGCUCUCUUUUCAUCUGCAUAUUUUACUAUCUCUGUCUCAAAGUACGUUCAAGCUCGAUUUUCUUGCAUAAAAUUAUUCAAAGUGUCUUUUCUUGCAUUACAAGUCAUUUAAGAACUCUCUGAAACGUNNNNNNNNNNNNNNNNNNNNNNNNNNNNNNNNNNNNNNNNNNNNNNNNNNNNNNNNNNNNNNNNNNNNNNNNNNNNNNNNNNNNNNNNNNNNNNNNNNNNNNNNNNNNNNNNNNNNNNNNNNNNNNNNNNNNNNNNNNNNNNNNNNNNNNNNNNNNNNNNNNNNNNNNNNNNNNNNNNNNNNNNNNNNNNNNNNNNNNNNNNNNNNNNNNNNNNNNNNNNNNNNNNNNNNNNNNNNNNNNNNNNNNNNNNNNNNNNNNNNNNNNNNNNNNNNNNNNNNNNNNNNNNNNNNNNNNNNNNNNNNNNNNNNNNNNNNNNNNNNNNNNNNNNNNNNNNNNNNNNNNNNNNNNNNNNNNNNNNNNNNNNNNNNNNNNNNNNNNNNNNNNNNNNNNNNNNNNNNNNNNNNNNNNNNNNNNNNNNNNNNNNNNNNNNNNNNNNNNNNNNNNNNNNNNNNNNNNNNNNNNNNNNNNNNNNNNNNNNNNNNNNNNNNNNNNNNNNNNNNNNNNNNNNNNNNNNNNNNNNNNNNNNNNNNNNNNNNNNNNNNNNNNNNNNNNNNNNNNNNNNNNNNNNNNNNNNNNNNNNNNNNNNNNNNNNNNNNNNNNNNNNNNNNNNNNNNNNNNNNNNNNNNNNNNNNNNNNNNNNNNNNNNNNNNNNNNNNNNNNNNNNNNNNNNNNNNNNNNNNNNNNNNNNNNNNNNNNNNNNNNNNNNNNNNNNNNNNNNNNNNNNNNNNNNNNNNNNNNNNNNNNNNNNNNNNNNNNNNNNNNNNNNNNNNNNNNNNNNNNNNNNNNNNNNNNNNNNNNNNNNNNNNNNNNNNNNNNNNNNNNNNNNNNNNNNNNNNNNNNNNNNNNNNNNNNNNNNNNNNNNNNNNNNNNNNNNNNNNNNNNNNNNNNNNNNNNNNNNNNNNNNNNNNNNNNNNNNNNNNNNNNNNNNNNNNNNNNNNNNNNNNNNNNNNNNNNNNNNNNNNNNNNNNNNNNNNNNNNNNNNNNNNNNNNNNNNNNNNNNNNNNNNNNNNNNNNNNNNNNNNNNNNNNNNNNNNNNNNNNNNNNNNNNNNNNNNNNNNNNNNNNNNNNNNNNNNNNNNNNNNNNNNNNNNNNNNNNNNNNNNNNNNNNNNNNNNNNNNNNNNNNNNNNNNNNNNNNNNNNNNNNNNNNNNNNNNNNNNNNNNNNNNNNNNNNNNNNNNNNNNNNNNNNNNNNNNNNNNNNNNNNNNNNNNNNNNNNNNNNNNNNNNNNNNNNNNNNNNNNNNNNNNNNNNNNNNNNNNNNNNNNNNNNNNNNNNNNNNNNNNNNNNNNNNNNNNNNNNNNNNNNNNNNNNNNNNNNNNNNNNNNNNNNNNNNNNNNNNNNNNNNNNNNNNNNNNNNNNNNNNNNNNNNNNNNNNNNNNNNNNNNNNNNNNNNNNNNNNNNNNNNNNNNNNNNNNNNNNNNNNNNNNNNNNNNNNNNNNNNNNNNNNNNNNNNNNNNNNNNNNNNNNNNNNNNNNNNNNNNNNNNNNNNNNNNNNNNNNNNNNNNNNNNNNNNNNNNNNNNNNNNNNNNNNNNNNNNNNNNNNNNNNNNNNNNNNNNNNNNNNNNNNNNNNNNNNNNNNNNNNNNNNNNNNNNNNNNNNNNNNNNNNNNNNNNNNNNNNNNNNNNNNNNNNNNNNNNNNNNNNNNNNNNNNNNNNNNNNNNNNNNNNNNNNNNNNNNNNNNNNNNNNNNNNNNNNNNNNNNNNNNNNNNNNNNNNNNNNNNNNNNNNNNNNNNNNNNNNNNNNNNNNNNNNNNNNNNNNNNNNNNNNNNNNNNNNNNNNNNNNNNNNNNNNNNNNNNNNNNNNNNNNNNNNNNNNNNNNNNNNNNNNNNNNNNNNNNNNNNNNNNNNNNNNNNNNNNNNNNNNNNNNNNNNNNNNNNNNNNNNNNNNNNNNNNNNNNNNNNNNNNNNNNNNNNNNNNNNNNNNNNNNNNNNNNNNNNNNNNNNNNNNNNNNNNNNNNNNNNNNNNNNNNNNNNNNNNNNNNNNNNNNNNNNNNNNNNNNNNNNNNNNNNNNNNNNNNNNNNNNNNNNNNNNNNNNNNNNNNNNNNNNNNNNNNNNNNNNNNNNNNNNNNNNNNNNNNNNNNNNNNNNNNNNNNNNNNNNNNNNNNNNNNNNNNNNNNNNNNNNNNNNNNNNNNNNNNNNNNNNNNNNNNNNNNNNNNNNNNNNNNNNNNNNNNNNNNNNNNNNNNNNNNNNNNNNNNNNNNNNNNNNNNNNNNNNNNNNNNNNNNNNNNNNNNNNNNNNNNNNNNNNNNNNNNNNNNNNNNNNNNNNNNNNNNNNNNNNNNNNNNNNNNNNNNNNNNNNNNNNNNNNNNNNNNNNNNNNNNNNNNNNNNNNNNNNNNNNNNNNNNNNNNNNNNNNNNNNNNNNNNNNNNNNNNNNNNNNNNNNNNNNNNNNNNNNNNNNNNNNNNNNNNNNNNNNNNNNNNNNNNNNNNNNNNNNNNNNNNNNNNNNNNNNNNNNNNNNNNNNNNNNNNNNNNNNNNNNNNNNNNNNNNNNNNNNNNNNNNNNNNNNNNNNNNNNNNNNNNNNNNNNNNNNNNNNNNNNNNNNNNNNNNNNNNNNNNNNNNNNNNNNNNNNNNNNNNNNNNNNNNNNNNNNNNNNNNNNNNNNNNNNNNNNNNNNNNNNNNNNNNNNNNNNNNNNNNNNNNNNNNNNNNNNNNNNNNNNNNNNNNNNNNNNNNNNNNNNNNNNNNNNNNNNNNNNNNNNNNNNNNNNNNNNNNNNNNNNCCACUAAAAUAAAACCUCAAACACUUUCUCCCCCCCAUUCUUAACAUAAGUAAAUUUCCUUUUUCAUAAGGAGCAUUAAAAAUAAAGCGUAGACAUAAACUAAGAAAACGGCUCCUAUAGAGUACUAUAGUCACUGCGGGUGCCUAACACCUUCCCGUAGUGAAAACGACCCCCGAACUUAGAAUCUAAGGGUUUUUUCUCAAUUUCGCCCUUCCCAAGAAAAAAUAGAGAAUAUCAAAGAUUGAAAGGUUCAAGCCUAAUUUAUGACUUGACACCCGAAAAUCGCGAUAACAAUAACCUAUAUUGAUUUAGCAUUGACACAGUUGGAUAACCUUAGUACACAAAUCAAUGAAAAGUAAAUAUAGAAUCAGUCCAUUUGUUGUAAUAAUGAAAUAAGCAGAAAGUAGAAUUUCAGAGAGAAGGCUAAAGACAAAGCAUCAUUAAGAUAUACAUAAAUACGAAAACAAAUAGAAAAUCUCAUAAAAGAUGCAUUUACAUAAAUUAAGUUAUUAUUGUUCACUAGGUGAGAAGAGAAACUAACAUCUUUAGACGUUAUUUCAUUUCAGUGUUGUCGUUAGUAAUCCCGUGUUAAUAUAUGCAACAAUACCUGUGGAAUUUCCUAAGGAAACGUUGAAAUAAUAUUCGUCAAUAUAUCGCAGGAAAAUCCUCAGCUAAAUAAAAGUUACCUGCGGCUUUUUCAGCGGCGUUAGGAUUCGCAGGAAACUUCGCAUGAAUCCUCAGGUAUUCCUGCGGAUUACUUUCCGCAAACAUAUCCGCAGGCAAAUCGAGAGUUUCUGAAGGCGUGGAAAUUGCAGUGAAUAUGCAUACAUGGUUGCAAAAUGAACUACCACAAAUGUUUCUCCACAUUUUGCCUUUCACUUCCUUCCUUUUCUUUGGCUAUGUGGUGAAACACUAAUAUUAACUUCUAAUUAAUGUUGUUAUUAUUUUAAUCUAUCGUUUUUUUAAACAAACCCAUAUUUAUUCAAUCGGUUUCAAAAUUAAGUUUCAAUGGUUUUUUUUAUCAUUUUUUUUAGGGAAAGAAGCUUAUAGCUUUUCAUUAUUAAUCAAAGUAUGUAUACAAUGUGGAAUAUUAGGAUGAUAAUGGAAACUAGCAUGAUUUAGUGUUUCCCUAGCUAGAUUAUGGGCAACACUAUUGGCUUGUCUCCUAAUGAACUUCACAUCAGAGUUCGCUAAAUCAGUCAUUAAUAGGUGUCUACAAUCGUAUAUUAUGGCCAUGAAAUCUGAGACACCAUCCCUCUUAUAGAUACUUUCUUCCACCACUUUUGAGUCCGUUUCGAAAUUCAUAUUUACCAAAUUUAGGUCUUUCGCCCAUCGCAUAGCAUGUAGGAGUCCUAUAGCUUCUCCCAUUUCCACACCAAGUAAAGGUGUGAAACACUCAGUACAGUUUAUAACAUGAUUUCAAGUUUCAUCUCGAAUACAAGCUCCAAAUCCUACUUUAUUGAGAGAAGCAAAAGGAAGCAUCAAAAUUGUACUUGAAUCUCCCGACACUUGGUUUUGACGACUUACUUAUGUCGAAGUGCAGGUUUCCUGACGAGCUGCGAAUCCUUGUCUCUUGCGCGGUCUUCCAACUAUCUAGGAAAGCCACCGCUCGGUCACCAAUCUGUUGGGUUGUUUCUACAAUAUUAUUCCACACUUUCACUACAAGAAACAUUACAUUUUGUCAGGGAUUUUGACAGGGGCAUGAAACCCCUGGGAAAUAUCCCACGGCCUAAGCCAAGGUAAAUCCCUGGGAAAUGGACAUUGGGGAAUCCGGGACCACAUUGCAGGAGGGACUCACAAAUGCCUAUUGGGAAAAUGGACAUUGGGGAAUCCGGCCUAAUGCUUAUUGUUUAAAAAGGAGGGACUCAAAAAUAGUAUAGUACAAUAAAAUUGUUUAUUUAAAUUAAAACUAUGUUAGAAUUAUUUUUGUUAAAUUAAAAUCUGUUUUUUAAUAAACUAAAAAGAGUUUUCUAAUAAAAAGUAAUAAUAAAAAAGUAAUAUACAAACAAGCCCUUUUAUUUGAACCAAUUAAUUGUAUUUGGAAAACAAAUUAAAAAAAAAAUCAAUUUUUUUAUUAAUUUAAAUACGUUUUAUUAAUUAAAAUUAGUUAUAGAAUAUUUAAUUAAUUAAUAAAAAUUCGGUUUUAUAAAUAACAUAUUUUAAAAAUAAAAAAAAUAUACCAUUUGCCAGGGGUUAAACCCCUCGCAAGUCCUUGAUUUUUUGCUGAUCUGAUUUGACCUUCCAUCAGUCAAUCAGUGCGUCAGUCAGAGCAUACUGCACAAUAGGAAAAAGUGAGGGAAUAUGCCAGGGCUUAUGACAGGGACAAAGUCAAGCCAUAUACCAGGGGUUGAGCCCCUCGUUUUUUUCCCAGGGGUGUAACCCUUGACAAAAUGUUUGCGACGAGCGCUUUUGCCAAUACUUCCGCCCCUGGAAAAUUCCCUCACAAAUGUCCCUUUUCCCAGGGAUUCUGUCCUUUUCUCAAGGAUUUUGCCCCUGGAAAAAGGUAAUGUUUCUUGUAGUGUUUGUUGUUCCUGUGUUUCCAUAAGCUUCAAAGGGUAACCGCAAAAAUCUGCUGUUGAGCGAUGUCUAGCUAUUGGAGUAAGGAAAAAAUUAUAUCAGCACUAAUCAGGUACCUGAAACUUAUGAAAUAUUGAUAAAUUAUGUCAAGAAGAAAAUAUCUCAAUGGAAUGAGAUGGAACCGAAAUGAAGUCAAAGUCGACGUGUUUUUGAAUAUAAUAUAGCGCUAUAUGUGAUAAGUAAUAAUGAGGAUCAUGGUUUAAAGUCUAUUAAAGUUAUAGAUAAUGAAAAUAUUUACAAAUGAAAAGAGAAAAUUCUAUUGAAAUCAAACUCACUUCACAAAGUAGACCUUGUUUGGACUCGUAGUCUGUGUAACGCCCUAUUUAAUUAUUUGAUUAUUUUAUUGGGUUUAGAGUCUAUUUAUAUGAUUUAUGUGAUUUAAAUGAUUAUGUGGUGUGUUGUUGUUUUUAUUAAGUGGCUUAUUUUAUUAUUUAAUAGAAUAAGAUUUGAAAAUAAAAUAAUAUUAAGUUGAGGGGGCUGUUUUGGAAUUUAGAAGAGUUUAGUGGAAUAAGUGGAAAUAAGAUAAAGAGAGUUGAGGAAAUAAAUAGGAGAAACUAAGGUCAGAUAGUUUUUUCACGUGAAACCUGCUUUUGGAGAAAAAGGGAGAAACCAAGAGAAGAGGAGAACCAAAGAGGAGAAGCUUUCGAUCGAUUAACCUAAGGUAAGGGUGGGACUAACUUUCUCUAAUUCUAAGUUGUAUGAUUCUGAAACUGGAUUUAACAAGUUGUAGGUUGUAGUGUUGGGGAUUUGAGAAUUAGGUUUAAAAGUUGGAAAUUGAUUAAUUAAGAGUGGGAAUCUGUUGAAUUGAUGUAGAAAUAGUGUCCAGACCUUAGAUUAUCCAUAGAACAAUGAUUAGAAUCAGUUUUAAGGUUAGAAGCAUGGAAUUAAUUAGGUGAGUUUUUGGUGAAAACUGUAUUCUGCCCGAGCUGACAUUCAUCGCCCGCCAUAGCGAGUAGCUUCUCUCUCCUCGCGCGUGAUGAUCUUCAUCGCUCGCCUUGCGAGUAAUUCCCCUCGCCUCGCGAGUGAACCCAGUUGUCGCUCGCCAUUGCGAGUGAAAUCGCUCGCCAUAGCGAGUUACCCGGUGAGAAAAACAUGAUUUUUGUGAAUUAACGUUUUGGGUCAAGUUUUAGAUGGAUUUGAGUGCCUUAACAUGUUUAGAAAUGAUUAGGAAAUUUUUUAGAUCAAAUUUGGGCAUAGAGAAGUUAAAAAUGUAAUUUUUGAGUGAAAAAUGUCAAACUCCCGAGAGCCAUCAGUUUUAGCUCGCCACAGCGAGUAGCUUACUCGCCAUAGCGAGUACCCCCUUUUCUGAACUCGCCAUAGCGAGUAGAGUGGCUCGGCUCGCGAGUUACUCAGUGGCAGUCAGCCUUAGUUAGAGUUCUUGCGAUCUUUGUCACACCUGAUGUUAUGAGUUGGUCUUUGGGGUAGAAAUGGAAGUUGUUUAUAAAGGUAUAGCCUUUCAGUGAAUCUAAAUUAAAAUGAUUAAUGUUGUUGGUUAAUGUGAAAUACAUAUAUUAUGUGGAAAAAGUAUGAUAUAGAAAAUAUUGUUGUUCAUAUCAUUCAAGUUGAUAUUAUUAAUGUUGCUAUGUUGCAAGUUGUUUUAUGUUGUUGUCUCUGCUGUUGUUGAUUAUUGAUAUCAUUAAGUUGCAAAUGUUAGUCUAAGUUGCAAAGUUGUAAGUUGUUGUUCCAAGAUAUUGGAGUCAUAUAAGUUUCUGAAGUUGUCUAAGUUGUAAGUUGCUGAGUCCAUGCAUGCUCAUUAAAGUUGAGAGCUUGAUGCCCUGUGAGCCUAUUUGCUUUUUAAGUUGAGGGCUUGAUGCCCUGUGAAUAUAUUUAUGCUCUAUAUGUUGGGGGCUUGAUGCCCUGGUUGGUACCACAUGCAUGAUUAAGAUGUUGUAGUUGCAUUGUCGAGUUGAAGUUGUUGUUGUCGCAUUGUCGUUGUUGUCAAGUUGUCAUCUAUCAAUGAGUGGUUAAUGAAGUACUAUAUGAAGAAUUAUUAUUAUUAACUGAUGAUGUUUUUGUUGUUAAAUGCAUUUGAUGAAUUAUAUGCUUCUUAUUAUUGAAUGUGAAAUUUCACCCCUUCUGUUUGAAUGUUGCCUCUACGUGGGUAACGUGCAGAUAACUAAGGAUAGCUGUUGAAGUGAGUUGACUCUCUCACGAGUCGUCUUAGGGUCGCUCUGAUACGUAACGGGAUGGGGAUCUUACUUGUUUUCCAUGUGUUACGUAAAUGUUAUGAUUUUAUGUUGAAGAUUUGCCUAGACUGGAUUUUAAUAAGUUGUUUAAGUUGAGGCCGUUGUGCCAUUACGAUGUUUAAUUUAAUGUUUUCCGCUACAAUGAGAUUUAAAUUGAUGACAUGAGAUGAUUGAAAUAAAUAGUAAUUUUUCUAUAAUUAUAUUUUAAAGAAGUGUGGCAUCCUGUUUAGUUGUUUACUCUGAUUUUAUGCAAAAAAAUUCAAGUUGGGAAAACGGGGUGUUACAGUCUGCACACUUGAAAGUGUGAAAUUAAAUGGAUAUAUAUGAUUUUUCGCACGAAAAGGAAAUUAGAAUGGAUAUAUAUAUAGAGUCUGAUAUGUUCACCUGAAGUUAAUAGGUACAUGUCUACCAUUUAUCUUUAAGAGACAUAUAUUCUGUAAAGAAAUAUUCACCUGAAGUGAAUUCAAGAACUUUUUCAUACUUGAUUAAGUUCAGUACGUAGCACAUAAAAUGCUCAAAUUAUAUGAAAGAUGUGUUACAAUUUAUUUUUAUGGCUCACUUGAUAGUGAUAGUUAUAUGUAACUCCCCGAAGGAUUUCAUUUGCGUAAGACAUACAAUCAAAACUAUUGAAGAGAUAGCAUCAUUUGUCCAUUUUAAGAAUAUGGAAAUGAAUUUCUUAUAAUUGAUUUUAUGAUGAUCAUAUAAAUAUUAUUAGAACUCCUGAAGAGAUUCUAAAAUUAAUUUGUCAUAUAAAGGUCAAUAUGAACAAAUCUAGUUGAUUAUGUAAUAUAAUGAUUGUGAUGUCACUUGAUGUGAGUAAAGAUCACGUCCUCAAGAAAAUUAUGAACAAUUUGAAUUGGUCAGAAACAACAAUAUCAUCCUAUCAUUUGAAAAUGUUAGCACUACAUCAAGGAAAUAGAGAAUGCUCUUUAUUAAGGAUUAUGAUUUCACAUAUACGAGAAAGUUGUGGUUUUCUAGUUUUAUAAGGAGACUCUUUCUACAACUUAAUAUGAAGACAAUAUCUCAAGAAAUGCUAAUUUGGAGAAGAGCAUGGAGAUAUGCCAUAUCUUUUUACAUAGUCACCGUCAAGUAAAGGUUUUGGACAACCAGCAUAAAAGAUUAUUUGACUGUCAUCGUCUCAUAUAUAAUUGUCUUUAUGAGGGGGGGAGACAAAAAUGUGUUCUGCACUAUUUUUCCCUUAACCGUGAUUUUAUCCCAUUGGGUUUCCCUGGUAAGGUUUUUAACGAGGCAGAUUAAGACACAAAAGGUUGUUGUGCUCUUUUUCCUUCACUAGAAUUUUUUUUUCAUUGGGUUUUUCUCUAGUAAGGUUUUAAUGAGGCACAUCCUUCAUGGACAUCCAAGGAGGAGUGUUAUGAAUAAAUGAAAAUAUGAUGUGGAUGUCCAUUGUCCCUAGCCCUUCUAUUUUCCUUAAUAUUUCUGAGUGAAUGCCUAUAUUCAUAGUUAAUGACACUUAGUCCUAUGGCUCUUCAUGUACUUGUAACUUACCACAUGUGUGUCCUAUAAAUAGGACUUAUAUCUCAAUGUAAAGAACACACUUGAGAAGAGAAUAAUACAAAGUACUUUCAUCUUCUCCUUCCUCAUCUUUUUUGAUCUUGUGCUUUUACUUUAUUUUUUAACAAUAGUGGAUGUAUCUAAUAAAGGAGUAAUAAGUUGUAUCUAGAAAUUUGCAUUAGGUCUUAUUUAGGGAGAAACAAAAUCUCCGAAAAAGUCAUAUAAUUAAGGACAUAAAGAGAGUAUAUAUAUAUUGUUAGUUUAGGGUUUUGUAUUAAACAUUAAUCUAGGUUAAAAAUAUCUACACUCGGCCUUGUGAUACACAAUCUAGAGAGGUCUAGUUCAAACUCGGUAUUCCCCGUUUAUUCACCUUAAGGGUGAAAUUACGACCACUAGCAUAAUUGACGAAUAAUUUUUCUUUUAUCUUGCGACUCAGGGCCCUAAAUUUACCAAUGGUUUAAAAGUUUGAACCCCCUAACUCAGGAUCCUGACUACGCCACUGCCCGGGACCCAUGCUAGGUGUUAGGGUGAAUAUUGAAAUUGAAGUAAGUCUCACAUUGAAUAGGUUUCUGGGAUGUUGGAUGUAAAAAUGUGUUUACGUACCCUUAACCUUUGAGAUAGCUUCUAAAAUGAGAUUCAAACCCGUUUCACAUAUUAUGCUAUGCUACUUAUUCCAAGCUGAAAAUGUUAAUAUGCAAUGAGAAGGAUUUAAAUUUGGUUUGCAUACUGUUGUCAUGAACUCCAAUAAUUCCAACAAUCUUUUAUAAAUUGCAUAUUUUUCAAAAUGAUCGAAUCAUUAAAGGCUCAAAUAUUCAAAUAAUUUUAGCCAAAAAUCUAAGAUAGAUAGAUUUAAUAUACUGACAAGUUUCAGUGGGACGGAUCUCUUUAUUAUGCGAUGAAAUCGUGUACUUCUGGACUUAUCAAGGGCUCUUGAGAAUAUAAUUAGUUAUGAUUAAUAGUUAGUUUAGAAACAUAGUUAAUAUAUAAGUCAUAUGGUUAACUUAUUUAUGCUAUCUUUUCGGUUUGUAUAAUUUCCACUAUCAUCAAUACAAUAGGUUUAUAAAUACUGCCUCCGUCCCAAAUUGUAUUUCACUUUAAAAAAAAAAAAAAAUUGUCAUAAAUUGUAUGUCACUUACAAUACCAAUGAAACAUUAAUGUUAAUUUUUCUAUUAUAUUCUUAAUUAUUUAUUACUCUUUCUUCUUUCAAUUCUUUCAUUUAUCUUUCUCAUAUCAUUUAUUAAGGACAAUUUAGUAAGACAACUCAUAAUUCUUUUUCCCACACAAUAUUAAUUAUAUUUCUUAAUAUAUGUGAAAUGCUCAAAAUAUCAUAUAAUUUGGGACGGAAGAAUUAUCAAGUCUCAAAUCAUCAAGUCUCAUUAGGUUUAUAAAUUGCAUCUUUUCCAAAAAAAUCAAAUCAUAGAAGUCUCAAAUAAUCAAAUCAUUAUAGCUAAAUUAAAAUCUAAGGAAGAUACUCCCUCCGUCUCAAAAUAUAAGCAAAUUUUACUUUUUAGGUUCAUUCAAUUAGUGAUGUAUAUGGACCACAUACAUCACUAAUUGAAUGAACCUAAAAAGUAAAAUUUGCUUAUAUUUUGAUAUAGAGGAAGUAGUUUUAGUACUCACAAGUUUCAAUGAGAUCGAUCUCUUUAUUACGCGAUAUAAUUGUGCACUUCUGAACUUAUCAAGGGCUCUUGAGAAGUUAGUUAUGAUUACUUUAGUUAGCGUAUAAACAUAGUUAGUGUAUAAUUUAUAUUGUCGACUUAUUUGUGAUCUCUUUUCAAUGUAUCAUUUACACUAUCAUCAACACAAUAGGUCUGUAACUAUCAAGUCACAAAUCAUCAAGUCUCAAUAAAUUGAAUAUGGUAUAAAUUGAAUAUUUUCCAAUAGGUUUAUAAAUUGAAUAUGGUAUAAAUCGAAGGGAAAUGUUAACUUGUGAUUUAAGGGUACAUGUUAAGGUUUCAAAGAUGAAAAUUAUGCAUCAUAAAUUAUGCCAAUUUACUUCUCACAAGAUUAAACUCUAAUGUUUCUCAAUAAAUAUUUGCGUUUUGGCUCUGUUUGGUAAAAAUAAGCUAUAAUCUAGUUGAUAGUUGAAAAACUCGCUUAUUAAAAAUAAUAUGUUUGGAAAAAUUAGUUGUUGAAGUGACUGAUUAAUAUAAAAUGACAUAAAAGGAUUUUUUUUUCCUUUAUAAAUUAUACAUAUAAUAAUUUUUACUUCAUGUAUUUAUUUUUAAUUAUUUAAAUUUAUUUUUAAUUAUUUUCAUCUCCAAAAUGAUAAAUAUAUUUUAUGAAUUCAAUUUGACAUUUUUGAUUGAACAAUUUUUUUUUGAUGAAUUUUAUUUAAAUAAAUUGCUUUACUAUUAUUUAUCGUAAAUUAAAAUAAAAAAAAAAAGUGAACAACAAAUACAUAAAAAGCGUGAGAUGACAUAAAAAAAUGUUCCCUGGAAAAAGUGAUAUAUAAUGUCCACUAAAAGAAAUUGAUAUCAAACGUAGGUAGUAAGUGGGUAGUUUUGUUUAUUAAAAAAUAAUAAAAUUAAAUUAAUAAGUUUUAAAAUUGGAAGAAAGUAUAAAAAGUUAAAAGCUCAAAAACUACUUAAAAUAGCUUUUUAAAAAACAUCAUAAGCUAAUAAAAAAAGCUUUUUACUAAACAUGUUUCAUUCUAUUAAAACAAAUUUAUAAAUUAACCCCAAAAAAUUAUAAUAACUUAUUUGUAUUAUCAAACACAACCUUUGUAGAAAGCUUAACAUAGCAUGACCCUUUAUUUAUACCAACUACCGUACCGACUAUAUUAUUAUUAUUGGACCUCGCGCUCCAUGAUUUGCUUAGCGAAAUUAAAAUGCAUAUCACGUGUUUUUAGAUUACAAAAGAGAAGAGAUCUUAGAUUUGGUAUAAAAAAAUCGUAGAUGUCAUUUGAAAAGAGGAGUAAGAAGCCAGAAAAUAAAAUUUAACGGAAAGUGACACUUUUAAUUUUUGACAAAUUGACGACACAAUUUUCGGGUGGCAUUUAGCCUGAAAAAGGAAGUUUCUUUUCCACUAUGGGAAAGUCCCUUUCUCCAGGACAGCUGUAGGUUACAACUGGUUAUGUCAAAAAAAAAAAAAAAAACUCAGUUUAGUUUUUUUUUAAUGUUGUUUGUAACAUUGCUAUUGCACCUCUCACUUUCUCACAACAGCACCUAACCCACCUUUCGUUUCUACGAAAAAAGAACACUAGCAGUCGGUCACACUUAACCCAUUGUUCCUCGUCGUUGUUGGGAUCGUUCAUCUCUUAUUAAUUUUUUUCAUGUUAGUUAUACAAAGUAGUUUGAAAAAUAGAGAACAUGGAAAACAAAGUACUAUGAAAUAUUUGAGUAUGUUUGUAUGCAUGAAUACAAAAUUUGUGAAACAAUGGAUUUUUUUUUAAUUAUAUUUCAAACAAAAUGAUCACCGAACCAAACCGACUAGUUUGAUUUGGUUUUUCUUUUAAAAAACAAUAAAAAUUGAACCAAACUGAACCAAACCAAACCGAUGAAGAUGUCAUUGAUUCAGACAUUUUUUUGACUAAAAACCGAUCCAAACGAACGGUUACACUUCUAGUAUCCUUAAUGUUUUUUCUCUCAUGUCUCACAAGUGUAUUCAAUAUCACCAUUUAAUUUUUUUACUCUUAUUUUUAUAAUAAGGGUAAUGUUAACUGGUGUCUCCGGAGCACUGGUUAAAGUACUAAAAAAAUAAAUUAUAUAGUAGUUAUUGCAUUGAAAAUUCGGUAAUUAAUCUAUAAAAGUCAAAAUAAGUGUACUUUUUAUGUAAUAAUUUCAUUUUAUUGUAUCCUUAACUAGUGGCCCGAGACACCGGUUAGAAUGAUCUUAAUCCACUCGCCUAUUUUUUAGUCAAUAUAAUGGUGAGAUUUAAUACACAUGAGAGACAUGAGAUAUUUAUUUUUUUUAAAUAAUCCAUUCUCAUUAGCAUGAUUUAUUUUAAGCAAAACUAACAUUACCCUUACCUUUUAGUAGACAUUGAUUUUCAAAAUUCUAGAAAAAUGACAAUGAAUUACAAGAAUACUGAAACUUGUCCUCGUGAGCUUAGCUCAGUUGAUAAGGAUAAUACAUAAUGUUUGUAAGGUCUGGGGUUUGAACCCUGAACACCAACAAAAAAAAUUAUACCAAAACUUCUUUUUCACGAUAUUUCCAUCGUUGACGUUAACUUUUUUCCCUGAUUAACCCUCCAUUUGUUGUAUAAAUAUAGAGGAAAGAGAUAAAGAGAACAUGAACUUGACAUAUAAACCUGGUUAAUGAGAUAAAUAUAUUUUUAGUGAUUUAGUUUGAGAGGAAAUAAAUUAGGGUUAAAUAUGUUUUAAGUCUUUACAUUUUGCGUCUCUUUGAAGAAUAGUCCCUACAUUUUAUUAAAUGUUUUUAAAAUCCUCACAUUUUAUCUCUGUUAUCAAAAUUAGUCCCUAAAGGUGAGGAAAACACAGGGGGGGUAAUUGUGUUAGCUUUUUCUUCGUUUUCUCCUAAGCUGAAGGAUCAAUUUCAAAUCCAUUCCAUGUAAGUAAGAACAUUAUUGCAGGUAGAGUUGUUAUCAUUGGCUUGUAGCAGAGAAACAAAUUGAGUAGUGGAGAUAGUGGUUAUACACUUCGUACAAUUGUACUUUGUCAACGCUCUUCAAAGAACAAGCAUCUAAUGCCUUCAAAUCCUUUCAAAAUAGUUGUUGCUUCACUCUUACAGUCUUCUGCAAUGCUUAGACGAGAUUAAAUCCAUUGAACAACUUUUGAAGCUUUAACUCUUGCAACUCCUAAUGAGCUACAACUUCUAGUGAUCUUCAGCUUCUGAUGAGAUGCUUCUGAUGAACUUGCUUCUAAUGACGUCAUUACUUCAAGAGCACUUUGACUUUAGGAGCACUUCUCUUCAGAUGCUUCAAGCUUCCUUUCUGUUGAUUCCUUUGCUCUCUUUUAUUCUUCCAGAACCUAAUAAUGAUUCCAAAUUUUUGUCUAUGGUCUUGUACACUUGAACAAAUAUUAUCAUAUCCAAUUGACAAUUUUUAAUACCUUGUUAUCAUCAAAACUCACAAAGGUAAUGUUAAACACAUUUUGUUCCAACAGUCUCUGCUGUUAAUUCUUUAACGGAAUGCUGAUGUGGUAGUUAGUGUGAUCAAAUUAUUUUAGGUUUAAAUACUCCCUCCGAUCUCAAAUGUAAGAAACAAAAAAAUAAAAUUAGUGGUCUUAAAUAUAAGAAAAAGUAUAGUAAAACGAAUCUAUUAAAUGCCACAAUUCUAGGUUUACCCUCAUUAAACCCACCUCAUUGAUGUAUUUACUACUCCAAGACAAGGGUAAAACUAGAAAAAUAUCACUUUUUAUAAUGACUUAAAUGUGGUCAAUCCACUUUCUUAAUAUGUGUGCAUUUUUUGUUUCUUACAUUUGAAACUGGAGGGAAUAUGUUUUUGAUCCUUACAUUUUGCGUGACUUUGAAGAAUAGUUCUUAUUAUUUUAGGGAUUUUAAAAACAUUUACUGAAAUGCAAAUACCAUUUUUUCAAAGUCACGCAAAAUGUAGGAACCAAAAACAGAUUUAACUUUAAAAUAAUUAGGACCCACUAACUGCCACAUCAAUAUUCUGUUAAAGAAUUAACAGCAAAGACUAAUUUUGAUAACAGAGAUAAAAUGUGAGGAUUUAAAAAACAUUUAAUAAAAUGUAAGGAUAUUCUUCAAAGGAGCACAAAAUGUAAGGACUAAAAACAUAUUUAACCCAAUAAACUAAAAUUAAGAUGAGGAAAAAAAUGAGUGUAUAAAUAAGCUCACAUAAAUAUUCUUACCUAUAAAUGAAUGGUUGCAUUGCAAGCCAUAUUAAAUGAGACUGCCUCUUAGAGUGUUAGCCUUCCACGUCCAACCUGUUAAAGAGAGAAAUGCUCCACAUGCUUAAAUUAGGUGGUAGAGGAGCCAUCCCCAUCCAAUUACAUAUUAAUAUCGACAACUUGUAACACUUAAUUUUGAACAUUCUAUCUAACACUUACUCUUUUAUUAGAUAAAAAUAACGAAUGUCCUACCAUUUUGUGUUGGUUUAAUUUUCAAAGUACUUACAAUGAUUUAAACUAAUAAUAAAGUGAGUAUUAGAGAGAGUGUUUAAAAAAGAGUGUUGCAAACAUUAAUCUUAAAUAGAAUCUAAUUUGUGUAUAAUAUUUAGAGAAAAAUUUGUAUACAAAGUACACUAGUUUUCGUUAUAAUUUUAUCCCAAAAUUAUUACAAGAUUAUGGUUGAUACCUAAAAAAGACAAACAAAAAAGAGAAAAACCAUAUCCAAACCGAUAUUCCUCUCCUCUGGAAUAAAAGAAGACAACACCACAUCCACACUCUUGGAGUCAUGGACAAAGGCAAAACCCAACAUCCGCACAAAACAACAAUGAUCACAUCAUGAUAGAGGAAGGUUUCAAUUGACGCCAAUAUCUGACCAAAACAUCCACUAUUAACCAAUCAUAUUGAUGGAAAAAAAAAUCUUUACUAUGACCUUGUGUUUUAACAUUGAAAAAAUAAUAUUGAUUCAUGUCUCUGUUUCCACAAGAGAUAUAGUAAGAAUAUUGGUUUAUAGUUAAGUCUAUGGUUGGACUUGGUCUAUGAAAAAUAAAAUGGAGUGAACUCAAAACUGUUGGAACAAAAUAUGCUUAACAUUACCACCUUUAAGUUUUGAUAAUAAUAAUGUAUUAGAAAUGUCAAUUGCAUAUGCUAAUAUUUGUUCAAAUGUGCAUGACCAUAAUAAAAAAUUAUAAGUCAAGUAUAUGUUCUGAAAGAACAAAUGAGAGCAAUGAAAUUUACAAAAGGAAGCUUGUGCUGCAAGAAUGAAGACAGAGUAUGGAGACAAAGAGCGUCUGAAGACCAUCAGAAGUUGUCUACCAGAAGCUGACGUCAUCAGAGAGUCUAAAGACCGUCAGAAGCUGGAGUUCAUCAGAGUCUGAAGAUUGGAAGUUGGAAUUAGUUAAAAGUUGUUAUUCUUAAUGUAAAUCAUUGCAGAAGGAAUGGAAGCCUGGAGCAACGACUAUUUUAGAGGAAUUAGAAGGCAUUGGAAGCUUAUCCACUAAAGAGCACAGGAAAAUGACAUAGUACAAUUGUACAAUCACUGCCUCCACUACUCCACUCCUCUUGUCUGCAGUAAUACAAGAUAUCAGUUGUGACUACGCUGAUCAUUCUCUAUUCAAGGAAUGAAUUUAAAAUUGUUCCCUCCUAAGACAAUAACCAAAUCAAGCAACAUAUCAUUGAUGAUUAUCAAGCUUCAACGACUCUUUUGAUGUGGUGGCAAUCAACAACGUCUCUUUUACACCUCUAUAUAAAGGAGUGAAGACUUGAAGAUUGUAAGAGACUAACACCAAUUUCACAAGUGCUAAAACUCUGCUGAAAUUGUUUUCACAUCACGUUCACUUAGAAUUUCUUAACAACUUUCAUAUCUUAGAAAUUCUAGAGUUUUAAGAGUUUGUAUCUAAUUUUUAUUGUGAAUAUCACUAAUUGUAUAUCAAGUGUUCAAACCUCAAACAUUUUCUGUAUAAUUAUGUUUGUUUAAAAGUAUCUUGCUUUUAUACUUGAACAUAGGAAAACUGUUGCGUUUAUGCUUGAACAUAGUAAGACCCAUGCAGUUGCGGACGUAUCACUAGCACACAUUUUCUUUUUACAUUCCAUUGUGCUACUACGGAGACUAGCACACAUUAAUUAUAACAAAAAGGGAGUAAUGUCUGCCAAAGAUUAUGAAUGAGAAAUCCAAAAAUGUGUUUAGCUCAAAAGUCAUUAAAAACAAUGAUAACUUCCCGUCGGGUGAAGUCCUUCAUAUUUGUAGCAGGGACAUAGGUUGGAUGGACCAUCUACAUUUUGUCUCCGCCUGCGAUGCUUUCAUUGUUUUUAAUUGACUUCACUAAAAUAUCACAAAAUUAAUGGGCUUAAUUGUCAUUUUAUAUAACUAAUCAGAUUUUACUUCUCACAAACAAACUAAUUAAUGCACGUCCUCGUGAGUUUAGCUUAAUUGACAGAGACAAUGCAUAAUAUAAACAAAGUUUGAGAUUCAACGGCGGAUACCACAAAAAAAAACUAACUAAUACACACUUACUUGUAUCCAUUUCCCCCCUAAAAAAGUCCUUUAUGUCAAGACGACUCCGGUUUGGUUUUUUAUGAGCUUAUAUAAGAAAAAUUGUUCCUUUUUCAUUCAUUUUUUCAUUUCCUUUCUCUCUUCUUUUCUUUCAACCGUUCCCUCUCUCUUCUCUCUCCUGUUCUUCAAUUGCUAUGAAGAUUCCGGUCAACAUGAGUUUUCCGGGCGGUGGCCGCCGACCAAAGGUGGCGGCGCCGCCGCGCCGGACUUCAAAAGUCCGUUUUUUAUUUUUUUAAUUUUCUUUCCCUAUUUGUAUUCUUUCUUUUCAAUUCCAAAAAAAAAGGGUUAAUUAAGUUUUUGGUCCCUAUAAAUAUCUACAGUUUUGUUUUUAGUCCCUAUAAAAAUAAAUCACACUUUUUAGUCCCUACAAAAUUUUUUGUUAUUGUUUUUAGUCCCUGUUAAAUUAAAAUUUGUUUAAUUAUGCUUAAACUUCUAAAUUUUUGAAAGAUUUUUUACGUACAUGUUCAUAACAUCGUAAGACACGCUUUUGUAAAAAAUUUUAGUUUUUUAACAUGUAAUGAAUUAAAUAUGAAUUUUUCUAAAAUCCAAAUUUUCAAGAUUAUAUUAAUAAAAAUUUGGACCUAAUAAUAAAAUUUUAAGUUACUUUUUUGCGGAGGAACUUUGUAUAAUAUUCUAAGUAAGUAUAUAUGUGAAAAAUAUGUUACAAAUUUAAAAAUUUAAGCAUAAUUAAGCAAACUUUAAUUUUUCAAGGACUAAAAGUAUAUGUUGGUCCCUGUUAAAUUGAGAUUUGUUUAAUUAUACUUAAAAUUUUAUAUUUUUAAAUGAUUUUUAACACACAUAUUAAGAACAUUAUAAUAAUCUCUUUUAUAAAAAAAUUAGAAUUUUUUAACAUGUAAUGAAUUAAAUAUAAUUUUUUUAAAACGCCAAAAAUUGAAGAUAUUACUAACGAAAAUUUGCAACUAAAAAUAAAAUUUUGAGCUAAUUUAUUGUGGCGGGACCUUUUAUAAUGUUGUAAACAAGUAUGUAAAAAAUCAUUAAAAAAUUUAAAAUUUUAAGCAUAAUUAAACAAAUUUUAAUUUAACAAGGACUAAAAACACUAACGGAGAAUUUUGUAGGACUAAAAAGUGUGAUUUAUUUUUAUAGGUACUAAAAACAAAACUGCAGAUAUUUAUAGGGACCAAAAUUUUAAUUAACCCAAAAAAAAAAAAAUCUUUAAAUUCCUUCUUUCAAUUGUUUCUACAUGAACCAUCAAUUUUAUAAUUAAUUAUUUUGCCUUAUUCCAAGUCUCGUGCUUCAUGGGUUGUGGAACGACAACUUUGCAAUGCUUCACUUCACCUUGUCUUAAAACUCGUGCUUGGGGGACUAUGGAAUGACAACUUUGCAAUUCAUCACUUCGUCUUAUCCCAAGACUCGUGCUUAGGUGAUUGUGGACCGUUAAUAUAUAAUUAAAGGCACAACUCCCUCCAGAACGGCCCAAACGCCCUGGGCACGUGCUCCGAAGGGCGCCACGACGUAAGGCUUUUAGAAGCAUCUAAACACUCUAAAACAUGACUUGGGGCCCAAGUUGCUUGGACGCUAAUUCGUUGAAAAACAAGCUCACGAAUGGCUAUAAAUACCCCUCUUCAGAUCAUUCUCAAGACAAUACCUAAACAGUUCUAAACCCUAAUUUCAAUAUUAUACUCACCGCAAGUACACUACAAUUUCAAUUUCAGUUUCCUAAAAUAAUAUAUAAAAAAAAAAAAAAAAACUAAUUCCCUUCCCACUUAUAUUUUGUCUCUACGGUCACUCCUUCUCCAUAUUCUUAGUUCUUGCCGACAACACCCUCUGCCUUCUUAUUCUUAUUCUUCUAUUUUGGAGAGUUUCCAUUCUUUUUUUUUUUUUUGGUAGAUAGACGAAAUGACAAAGCCAUUAUAAACUCACACACACAAGUGGAGGUACCGAGGUUCGAACCCCGGUCAUGGCAUCCGGCCUAACAAUAUCGACAUUUUUGAGAGUUUCCAUUCUACACACACAAAAUGUGACUAUAAUUCUUCAUCUUCUUUGUGUUGAGAUCAUCAAGUUCUCCAUGAUCACCAAUCACAACUCCAUUAUUUCACCUCUUCAUUUUUUCUUUAGAGAUGUUUGAAUGAUGGAGUACAGAGAGAUUCAUACAUUUUUUUGGGUAUUCAUCAUCUUCAUUUUUGCAGUUGAAAGCACACAUCAAUUAUUGAAAACGAAUGAUAGAACUUUUCAAAAUCCAAGUUAAGGUACAUGUUAAGAUACAAAAAAAAAAAAAAAAGUUUUUAUUGAAAAACAUAAUAUUUCAACUUUUAAGAAGUUGAAUGUACGACUUUUGAUACGUAUAUUCUUAUAAUUAAUUUCUUGCCCUUGAGAACACAAGUUAGCAUUUGUCUUCACAAUAUUACCGAUGUAAUUCUAUUUUUUAUGUAAUUAUCGCAGUGCAUAAACUGCAAAGCAUACAAACAUCCAUUUAUUUGCAUCACACACAAUACAAUACACACUUUUAAGACAUCACUGCCACAUUUAUUGAAUACAAACAUCACACUAAACAGUUGUGUGCCCAAAAGCCAACCCCAUUGGACCAUAAGUCCUUAUUUAAUAUAAUAUCUUCAUGACUUAUAGUCCAUCUACUUUUUCCCCCUUAACAAGAUGACCAUCAAUAUCUCUGGUCCCUUUGCUAAGGUAGUCCAUCCAGCCAUUUGGAGUCUCAACUUCCUCAUUGUUCUUCUCAUAAUCAAUAGUCCAUCUAACAGCAGAACUUCCAUCUGCCUUGUUAAGCACUUCUAAGAUGAGCUUAAAGACCUUGUAGUUUUCAAUAUCUCCACCAAACAGCUUGAAAGUGAUUUUUUUGUUCUGCUCAUCAACUUCUUCAACCUGCUCAUUGCAUGUGUGUACCUUGCCAUCUGUUGUUAUGUGAGAGGCAAUUAAUACCAAAAACAGUAAAAUACGGUUUAUUAAAGGAUUAUAAAAAAUAUUAGUAGUCCCUCCGUUUUAAAAUGAAUGUCGUUUUAGCAAAAAAAAAUUGUUUUAAAAUGAAUGUCACUUUCAGUUUUCAAUGCAAUAAUAACUUUUUCUUUACAAUUGUACUCUUCAAUUAAUAUUAUGUUACACUACUUCCAAAGUAUUAUUUUUUUCUUUAAUGAAAAACAAACCAAUAGUUGAUUAGAAUAAUUUGGUAAAAUUGCUAUGACAUUUGACUAUUUUAUUCAAUUCCUUAAUAUGUGUGCAAUUGGCUUAAGCAACAUUAAUUUUGAAACGGAGCGGGUAGUUUCACCAAAGAUAUCAUAAAAAAUUAAGGGAAAUGUUAACUUGUACCCUUACAGCACAUGUUAAGAUUCCAAAGAUGAAAAUUAUGCAUCGUAAAUUGUGCCAAUUUAUUUCUUAUAAGAUUAAAAUUUAAUGUUUAUCAAUAAAUACUUACUCUUUGUAGAAACCUUAACAUAUACCCUAAGGGCACAAUUUAUCAAGACAAAAAAACUAAUGAUAAGGAUGCAUUAUUUCUAAACUAAAAUAUUUAAUUGUUUUCAUUUUUGCAUAUUUUUGUCCUGACCUUACCGAUAAAAGUUUGAGUUUCUAUAAUCACAAGUGUAUUUGGUUAAGAUGUAUUGUGUCACAUAUAAAAAUGAUGUUGUUAGGGUUAGUCAUGUCCGAUGGAUUGCAUAUAAUAUUGUAUUUUGCUCUCAUUGGGAUUCAGUAAUACUCUAUAAUUGUUGCUUAUAAGAAAAUGACCAUAAGUUUUAGAGUCUUGUUAACCAUCAAUGAAUAAUAAAAUAGAUAUUUUGUUUUAAAAAUGUAAAUUUUUACAUUCGAUGAUGUAAUAAUUACAGUAUCAUUUUAAUAAAAAUUUAAUUGUUUUGGAUUUUUAACCAAUAUUUGGCAUUCACUACGUUUUAUUAACCCUAAGUUUUGUAAAAUGAAUUAGUAACCUUUCCUAAUAAUAAUUUCCCUCUUCCAUUCCGCAAUAUUUAAAAAAGAAAAAAAUGCAAUUUUUGCUUCGACGUUUAAAUUACUGUUAAGAGAUUGACAUGGUAACCUCAUAGGACAAAGUUUAAAAUAAAAUCAACAUAUGAAAGUUAUAAAUGACCAUUAGUGUCACCUUUUUUUUUAAAUGUUAACAAGUGCACUUGAUAAGAAAUUUUAAAUGGAAACUUUGUCUUAGGAUUUGUAUAUUCAACAUAUUAAAAAAUAAAAAAGCAAUUUUUUCUACAUAAAAGUUACUUCCUCCGUCUUUAAAUAUAAGCAAAAUUGAUUUUUAGUUUCAUUCAUUUAAUGAUGUAUGUGGUUAACAAUAUGGAGUAUCAAUUGUUUCUAUUUCUUGAAUUCUUAACAAGUGCCCUUAGGACACUUGUUAACAAGACCCUUUUUUUAAUUGACAAAAAUUCAUUGAAACUACUAAAACUCCGGCACAAGUUUUACGAGUUAGGAUCCUCCUCGUUUAUACUCUUCUUAAUUUCUUUCAUUUGAAGAUAUCAAGACAAAAAAAAUCUUAAAAAUCUUCUUCAUUUCAUUCACCACCUAUUUUUUGUGUCAAUCACUUUCAUAAUAGCAAUUUUCAUUUAUUUUUAUAAAUGGAUAGGAUCUCAACUCAAGUUUCACCCGGAUACGUGCCAUGAAAUUAAUAAUCCACUAGCACGGAAAAUCCAAAGUCAAGACUAUCCCUCAACCAUCCACUUGUAUGGAUCUAUACAUAGAAGUAUUGAUUUCCCAUAUCAGUUGCUCGGUGUAGCAAGUGUUGGAACCAUUAGAUCUAAAAAGAUAUAUUUUAUCUCUCAAAAUCUAAAUAAUUCCCACUAGAACUAUACCAUACAACUCAUACGGGGGAUCAAUACCUCUAAGCAUAGAUCCAUACAAUGCACUAAAGUACCAUUUUAGUAAUAAUAAUUUCUCUUUCUUAUAUUUUUUUUUAAUUUUACAAAUUUUCAAAUAUUUAACAUUCUUAUAUCUUUUGUAAUUCGUUAUUUUAUUUAUUAAUAAACUUAUUAGGGCGUACAAUCCGGUUGGUAUGUCAUAAAAAUAUUAUAAAUGAAGUCAAUAUAGAUGCAUAUUAUUGCUUCAUUGUAUUUUGAUUUUUUAUAUAUAAAUUUCUUUUAAUUGUAUUUUAUUGAUGCACUAACGUUAUUUUAAUUACUGCUGAAAAUGUCCUCGUGAGUUUAACUCAGUUUGUAUGGACAAUGCAUAAAAAUAUACAAGAUUCGGGUUUCAAACCCGACACCACCAAAAAAAAUUACUGCUGAAAAUAAAAAAUAUUAAACAUAAAAAUGUUUUUCAAAUCAAACAAGAUGAUGACUUGGUUAUGAGAUCGAUUGAAUUAGAAAGACAAUUACCCAUGACAUAAGUCCAGUGUUUAACCGAAUCACUGUGAUGCCAAUCUUCACCUUCAUGAAGCUUGGUAUGAUGACAUCUUUCAACAACGUUUUGCACUUCGUGAAGUUGAGUUGCAAAUAGUUGGAAGAACUUCUCACCGGGUGUUUUGAUCCCAAGUUCAGUGAUAAGUUUACCAGCAAGCACCAUUUUUGGAAAGAUACUAAAUAUAUAAUAUAAGAAAGAGAAGAAAGAAACAAAUAAGGGAAGUUUUAUGAUAUGAGGAAAGUGUAUGCAACCAAUACCUCAAAUAGAAAUUUGAUUACACUGUAUUAUACAAUUGACCCCACAAAACAUUAAAUUCAACUGCCCACUACUUGAUGUCUGAUGAGUAGAGAUCUUUCUAUAUAUUUUCAUUUAUUAUCUACUUCCUCUAAGUCGUUAUUAUAAACAAAAAUCAACAUUUUAAAAUUUAUUCAUUAAAUGAUGUAUGUUGUUUAUAAUAAUGAUCAAAUACAUCAUUAAUUGAAUAAAUCUAAAAUGUAAAGAUGUAAAUCAUUGAGAACCAUUUUAAUAACUGAAUUCAAUUAAUGAGUAUUGUUAAUCUUCCACUUAUAUAUGGGUCAUGCCAACGAGUCCAUUUUUGAUCCAUUUAAAUUUCUUCAAUUUACCCAAUUUCAAGUCAUAGAUGUGUGAUUUUGUAAAAAAAAAAAAAAAAAGUCAUAGAUGUGUGACAUGUGGAAAAAAGAAAAUCAAUGAUUGUGAUUAAAAGGCUUGGAAAAAGCAAUAAGCAUUGCCCUUUGAGUUUUGCUGUUCCCACAUGUUGUUUGGCUGUGCCACACGAGUAAAAUACCAAAAUACCCUUCGGCAGUUUGCUACCGAGGUUUUUAGGAAACCGGNNNNNNNNNNNNNNNNNNNNNNNNNNNNNNNNNNNNNNNNNNNNNNNNNNNNNNNNNNNNNNNNNNNNNNNNNNNNNNNNNNNNNNNNNNNNNNNNNNNNUGGAAAUACUUAGAAUUAUGCAGGACCUGCUGUCUGCAUAAUCAAAUUUCCUCGGCAGUUAACUACCGAGGUUUUUCUCGGCAGUUAACUGCCGCCGGUUUCCUAAAAACCUCGGUAGCAAACUGCCGAAGGGUAUUUUGGUAUUUUACUCGUGUGGCACAGCCAAACAACAUGUGGGAACAACAAUACUCUUGCCCUUUUUCCUUCUCCCAUAAUCUCAUAGUUGUCUCUCCCCCAUUAGAUUAAACCAUCUACAAAUUCUAAAUGAGUAAAUAAUCAAUUACCCCCCUAAAAUUGUAAGUUUCGUCAAUUACCCCCUUGAAAUUAACAAAACGUCAAUUACCUCCCUUGAAAUUGCACAACGUUAAUCAAUUUACCCCCGCCGUCAAAUUCUUCUGUCAGUGAACAUGAAGUUUUGCAAAUACCCCCCUAAAGUUUUGCACUUAUGUGCAAAAUGCCCCCCAAACUUAAAAAUUUAUGUUUUUUUCUUAUCUUGAUUCAAAAGAUAUUAAAGACAAACAAUUAACAGUUAACUUUAAUAUUUAAGCUUAAAAUAAGAAUAUAUCCUCUCAAAAUAACGCAUAAUUAAUAACUUCAUAUUACUUUAGCAAAAUACAUGUUUAGUUCAAUUUUUAAGAUAGAAUAAUUUUAUUCAAACUUAUCUUAAGAAACUGUUAGAAUUAAUUAUUCAUGAGGAAUGAGUGUCUCUAGCUUACUUUGUUGUGAAUUGCGUGUCUCUAUCUAAAUAAGUCAUAAUUUAUGGAGAAUUGAACAACCAAAUGGCAUAACAUAAACAAAAUAAAAUAACAGACCCCUUUAAGAAUGAAAGAGUCAUGUAAAGUAUUAAAGUUAACUGUUAAUUGUUUGUGUUUAAUAUCUUUGAGUUAAGGAUAAGAAAAAAAUAUAUAAAUUUUCAAGUUCGGGGGGCAUUUUGCACAUAAGUGUAAAACUUCAGGGGCGUAUUUGCAAAACGUCAUGUUUACUAACAGAAAAAUUUGAUGGAGGGGGUAAAUUGAUUAACGUUGUGCAAUUUCAGGGGGGUAAUUGACAUUUUGUUAAUUUUAGGGGGGUAAUUGACGAAACUUACAAUUUCAGGGGGGUAAUUCACUAUUUACUCAAUUCUAAAUCAUUCAUUCUAACAAUCAUAUGAAGCAAUUCUUCUUAAACAUUUUUUUUUAUUUUUUUAUAAAAUACAGAACCUCAACUUAAAAAAAAGAAUGAUUUUUAAUUUUAAUCCAUUCAAAAUUUGAAACAACCAUUUCAGCUCCUUGUCAAAUGAGUGAUGUAACGCCCACUUUUAUUUAAUUAAUUAUUUAAUUGAGUCUAGACGAAUUAUAUUAUAUUUAUAUAAUAUAUGUGUGAUUUAUGAUGAUUUAUGACGAUUUAUAUGAUUUGGAUCAUUCUAGAUGAGUUAUGUGUUUUGAUGAUUUUAUGAGGUUAUCAGACUUAUUUUAUUGUUUAAUAAAAUAAGAUUUGAAAAUAAAAUAACAUAUUUAGUUAAGGGUUGUUUUGAGAUUUUAGAGAGUUUUGGGGGAGAAAGUGAGAUAAGAUAAGAUUUUAGGAGGAGAUAUAAAAAGAGAAAACCUAGUUUUAGAAAAAUUAGUACGUACGAUCAAAACUUCGGAAAAGGAGUAAAAAGCCAUAGAAGGGAGAAGACCUAGAGGAAGGCUGCGAUUUCUUCAAACUAAGGUAAGGGUGAGACUAAUGAUUCAACAGUGUUAAUCUAUACAAUUCUGAUGAUCAAAUUAACAAUUUAGGAUUGAAUUAGAAAGUUUGUGAAAUUAGGGUUAAUAGGUGAAAUUGAUGAUCAAAUGAUAAUAAGCUGUUAGAUUAAUGUAGAAACUGUCCUUUGACCUUAGAAUAUGUUUAGAAUGAAAUCUGGAAUUGAGAUUAGGCUUAGAAUCAUGUGAGAUCAUGAAAUUUUCGUAAAAACUGCAUUAUGCCCGAGCCUGUAUUCAUCGCUCGCCCUAGCGAACGAUGAUCCUUGCCUCGCGAGUGAUGAAGUUCAUCGCUCGCCACGCGAGCCAUUUCCUUUCGCCUCGCGAGUUACAAGUUGUAGCUCGCCACAACGAGCAACCUUACUCGCCAUAGCGAGUAUGACCAGAGAGCAUGUUGAAUUCUGUACUUUUGAGUUGAACCUUAGAUGCUUUUGAGUGCCUUAAGAUGUUUAUUAAAGAUUAGAUGAUGAUUUAGAACGAGAUUGAACCUGGUUUAUCUUAGAACAACUUAAGUUGGAAUUAUGGCUUGUACUCGCCAUGGCGAGCAGAUGCUCUCGCCUCGCGAGCACUCCCAGAACUGAAUGCAAAUUAGUAUGUUGCGAUCUGUUUCGCAUAAAUUGAUUAGGGUUGGACCCUUAGGUAGUAAUGUGACCUAUUUAAGAUGUUAAUUGAAAUCUGUGAAGCUGUUUGAACUGCUAAGUUGUUUGUAAUGUGAUUUAAUGAUUAAAUGCAUUACUUGAAAUAUUAUUGAAUGAUCAAGAUGUUGUUGAAAUGAAUUGAUAUUGUGAAAUUAUGCUGUUGUUUUGAUCUGCCUAUGCUACUAUUGUUAUUUAACUAAGUUGCAUGAGUCAUUAUAAGAUGAAUAAGAUGAUGUUGAACUCCAAAUUAUUGGAUGUAUACGAGAUUAUGAUUAAGAUGUUUUAGAUGAUUGAGUCCAUGCAUUAGUAUACAUUUGUUGGGGGCUCAUGCCCUGGAGCUUUGUACUCACCAUGAUGGAGCAUUUGCUCAAAAUAAUGUUGGGGGCUUAUGCCCUGAAAGUAUAUUAAUACUAUAAUGCUGGAGGCUCAUGCCCUGUAUUGGUACCACAUGCAUAUAAGAGGUUUAGGUUGCAUUGUCGCAUUGUCGAGUCAAUUGAUGAAAGAUGCAAUGUUAGUUAUGAUGAUUGAAUGAAGUGAUUACUUGAUAUUUUAUUAUUAAAGAUGCAAUGAUGUUUAAGAUGUUUAUGUUGUUAAUUAUGAUUGUUGAAUUAUAUUGAUUAAUAUUAUUUUUUUGUGAAAUCUCACCCUUUCUGCUUGGAAAUGUUGCUCUUCGUAUGAGUAACUUGCAGGUGAUCGAGCUUAGUGUGUAGUGUUGCUGUCGUGAGUGACCUUGCCUCACUGAGUCCUAGGUUGCUCUGAUACGUAACGGGAUGGGGUUUAUGAUAUGCAUGCUUCAUUCUUUUACGUAUUCAUUUAUGAUGUUUAACUGAAUUUUUUGAAUGUUUUAAUGAGGCUUGCGUGCCAAGACUUAUUAUGACUUGAAUUUAAUUCCUCUGCAGUUUUGUCGAUGAAUGAUAAAUUAUUAUUUAUCUAUGUUUUAAGGUUUUUAAGAAUGUGAUAUCCCGUUAUUUGAUGAUUACUCUGAUAAUAUGUUCAAAUUUUUAUGUUGGAAAAAACGGGGUUACAAGUGACAGAUGAAUAUAAUUAAUUCAAAAUUAGUGGAUAUUACAUGAACAAGCCGGAGGCGAUUAUUUAUAAGGGUGGCAUUGCUUCACCCUUAAGGUAUGAUUCACCUUUCAUAACACUUUCUACAUACUCAAUCUCAGUUCCAUUACUGACUUAAGCGUUGGAGUGCUAACGUGCAUGCAUGCACCUUUCGUCCCACCACAAAGAGUCAUCGCCACCAUACUAGAACACUUUCCGCCAUCGCUGCCUCUAAUCCAUCCUCACCAGACAGAUCAAAUACCAAACUCAAUUCAAUUCGAAGUCACAUAUAAUCAUUCCACAUCACAACAAAUCACACCAAAGCAACUAUAAAAUUGGAUAAGAAUUUCAAAUAUUGCACUUGCACAAUAUACAUAAAAGAUGAUCCAAAUACUACAACAUAAAUAAUUCCAUGGUGCAAAAAGCUUAUGCGCACAACCUUUCAUAAAAUAGAACAGCAUAGCUCCAAAUACAUAAGUACAUAAUUCUCAAAGUAUAAAAAUGAACCAUGUUUUAGUCAAACAGUGAUCGGUUCGGUGACGAUUGAUGAAUCUAAAUGGUGGUUCCCUGUGCUUCAUUGCGACGGAGGUUGAAUCUUCAGGGAGGAGGAGAAGGUGCCUGCAGGAACGUUGACACUCAGACAUUGUGAAGGUGAGAAAAACACAAGAGGGGGGGGGGGGGGUUGAAUAGUGUUGGGUUUUUCUUCUUUUAAACUAAGUUCAAUGUUCAGAGUCUGAUAGAGUACAUAAUAAAGAACAAAGUUCAAAGUCUGAUGCAACAGAUAAGUAUAGUGAUAGAGAGAAGAGAAAGACACAAAGCAAUUAUACAUGUUCCUUCACAAUCCGGAAGUAGUCAUGUCCCCCUUGCACUUCCAAGGAGAGUUCACUAAAAUCAAUAUCUGAUUACAAAUGCUCAAGCACUAAAGCAAGUCACUUCCAAAUACUCAAGCACAAAAACAAGAGAUUUCCUAUGCUCGAGCACAAAAACAAGAGACUUCUAGACAAACACAAUUACAAAAAAAAAUGUCUGAGGUUGAACACUUGAUAUACAAUCAGUGGUGUUCACAAUACAAAUCAGAUACAGACUCUUAAGACUCUAGAAUUUCUAAGAUAUGAAAGUUGUUAAACCUUUUCUUUCCUGAAAUGUUUAUGAGUUCUGACUUUUUCAGCCUUUAGUCUUUCGACAUGUCGAACUCUGUCGGCCAACUGGGCCAUAUCUCUCAAGUGUUGAGUGUCGAGUUUCUUCCUAAUGGAAUAAUCUAGACCACCAGAGGCCAUUUCGACUAACUCAUGAUUAGGUACUUGAGUGAAAUAUCUCACCUUUAACAAUAUGAAUCUAUUAAGAUAAUCAUCAAUAGACUACUGAUGGUCCAUCUCAUUUUAUGUUUCUUCUUUUGUUUCAGCAUUUUUAUUAUGUACUUUUAUUUUUAUGUUUGAACAAUUUUAAUUGCUUUCUUGAAGUUUAACUCGGUUUUACCCCUCGUUUAUGUAAUUGUUCUUGAACUUGUUUAUUAUUUAUGAAUUUGCUUGUUUACUUGACUUUUUCCAUUUUAGUAAAAAAUAUUUGUUCAAGUGGUAUUUCAAAAGUUCAAAAGGAGGAGUGACUUUUGUUUCAAAGGCGAAGUGUACCGCAUUUAAAUAUAGUUAGCCACAACUCCUAGAAAUCUAAACACUGUAAGGUUCAUGGCCAAAUUUUAUUUUUCUAAUUUACUUAUAAAGAGUGUUCCAUCCUUUUACAUUUCUAGAAGUUGCAUUGUUUCUCUACUGUCGAUUGAUCUUUGUCAUUAGCACACUGAGGCAAAAGUGCUUGGUCCUGUGAGCUUUCUUGAAGCCUACCCUUAUUAUAUUUGAAAUGUUAUCCUUUUCUUAGCCAAAUUGAGCUGGUAGGUUUAAAUCUUUUUGUUCGGUGACAAACUAUAUUUGAAAUGUAAUUUUGAGUUAGGCAUUGUAGAAUGUUGCUAAAUAAUAAGUUUGGGGUUGCUAUUGGAAUUUGCAACCAACUAAGUUUGGGGUGGGGGUACUAGAGAAUAAAGAGAAAGAACUUUAUCAUGCAUAAUAUGCCAAAAUGGUGUAUUAAAAAAAAAUAGAAUGAAAAAGGGACAAAACAUUGAAAAUCCGAGUAACUUCAAGCUCGAUUGUCCCAAUUGUUACAAAAAAAAAUCUCUAGUACCCUUACAAGAAUUGUUGUUCCAAAGGUGAAUGAUGGAUUGAAUUUAUGCUUUAAAAUUCCGUAGGAGUGCCUAACUCAAAAUUUUGUGUAGCCUACUUAUCCAAAUAUUAUCUCACCUUCACCUAAGCCCCGUUAUAACCCUUUAAGACCUCAAAGUGUGCAUUGACAUUGAUUUUGAUUGACGUUUAGAAACUUUUCAAGCGUAUGGUAAUAUGUAGAUUGCAUGUCGACUGUCUGUGAACCCUUUCAUAUUUUUGCGUGGAGUUGUGAAUUGAUGGAUGCAUACAAGUCAAACUAGCUCAUCUUUAGGUAGUAAGGAGUUGAUCUUUUGGGUACUAUCACUUGAUCAGAUAAUUGUUAUUUUACUGUCGAUUGUUAAUUUUGCAAGGAAAUUCCUUGAGGACAAGGAAUGGAUCAAGUUUGGGGUUGUGAUGACAUCUCGUCAUUACAUAAUUUUAUAUGUAUUUUCAUCACAUUUUGGAGUUCACAAGGCAACUUAAGCAGCAAGAAAAGCAGAAAACUGAAGAAAAAGCCAAGAGACCAAAAUGUGUCACAAUUCAAACAAAACGUGACACGAUUCCACAAGGCCAAAAUAUGCAUUCGACAUUGGGCUAAUCGUGACACGAUUCUGGAAACCCUAAUUUCUGUGGGUUGUUACACAAGACAAAACGUGUCACGAUUUACUUAAAUCGUGACACUUUAUUUAUUCUGAAGUUUAAUCUGAAACAAGGGUUACGAAUUCUGGAGAGAGAAAGUGCGAUUUGCAGACCUAGAGACUGAGGAACGAGGCGAUUUCCUCCAUUCUUUACUAGUUUAUGUAUGUUUUAAUUCUUUCAUUGAUUAUGCUAUUUGUAAACUCAACUAUGAGUAGUUAAAUCUCUUAGAGAUUAGUUCUAAGAUGAGUCUUUGUAACCCUAAUUGAUCCAUGUUGUUGUGAAACUCUAUUUAUUGUGAAUGACAAUCUAGUUUUUAUUCAAUUCAAUUGUUCUUAAUGCUUUUUAUAUCUUGAUCAAAUAUAAACAUGAUUUAGUGAGAACGAAUGACUACUGACCAUAGCUUUCGACUUAGACCUAAUUGAAUUGUUCUAGUAAACAUGGUUAGUAUAGGAAUGGAUAAUCGUUUGUUAGUGAUAUAAGAUCAACGUGCUUAAACCUUCAAAGAUUAUUAGACCACCUAAGGAAUUAGGGGCUGUAGUUUGAGAAGAGGGUCGUAACUCAAGGGAUUGAUUAAGACUAUUUUGUUAACUAUCGUGGAACUAGAGAAUCAUUCAUAAGAAUAGGUGCAAUAUACCAAUUACGGAAACAUCGAUGAUUCGAAAGACCUAAUCUCAUCUCUCUCUUGUUCUUUAAAACCAAUCUUUAUUUUCUGUCAUUAUUUUUAUGCAAUCAAACCAAUCAACUGCCUAGUGGCAAAUCAAAAUGACCUUUUUUACAUCCUAAUUAAUAACGUACUAAAAUUGUUGCGAUUAAAAACAGUCCUUGUGGGAACAAUAUUUUUACUACUUCGAUAGUUUUUGGUACACUUGCCAAUUGUCUAUCACCUGCAAAGUUAAAGGUCAACCAAAUGUCGACCAUAUUAAAUGAGCCUGUCAAAAUUACAGGCUAGUAGACCCUCAGAUUCAAAGCCUAUACCAUUUGGUUUUCCUUUGAUUUGACUAUCUAAGAUCUCUUCCACCAUAUCAGUUCUUGUGGCCAUCAUUCUUACUUGCUUCUUCAAAUCCACAAGUUGAGAAUUUAGUUGAGUUACCUCAUUAUUGAGUUCAUAUAUUUUAAUCAGAUGAUCACUUCUUUCAGUCUGCAAUUGACUGAUGACCUUCUUUUGCUUAUCUAGUAACUUACAAACUUAUUCACUUUUACUAUAUAGAUCUUUGCAGGAUACGACCAGCUCUUCAUAGGUCAACUCUUCAUCAUAUGAUUCAGUAUCAGACAUGUAUCUUCCAGUUAGGGCAAUGAGAUUUUUAGUAGAUCCACUAUUAAAGCUAUCUUUGAAUCACUGUAUUCUAGUUAUGAAGGAAACCAACAAUUGAAAGAGGCUAAGGCUAACCUUUUGGUCAAACAAUAUGAGGUUUAAAGAAUGAAGGAAAAUGGAGAUAUUGAAACCAUGUUUUCAAGGUUUCAGACUCUUGUAUAUGGCCUUCAGGUUCUUAACAAAAGAUAUAUCGUACGAGGAGUCUUUCUACCAAGUGGAGGCCUAAGGUUACAACCAUUCACGAAGCAAAGGACUUGAACAAUCUUAGCCUGAAGAAUCUGAUAACCUCUCUGAAGAGUCAAGAGAUGGAGCUAAUAGUUUAUGAACCUGAUAAGAAGACCAAGUUUAUUGCUUUGAAAUCUAAUGGUAAAUCUUCUAAGGCUCUUUAAGCUGUUGAAUCAGAAGAAGAGACUCUUGAGCGAGACUCUGGAGAUGGUUCAAGCUGAAGAGUUGACAUUUCUGACCAAAAGAUUUGAGCACCUGAAGAAGUGGGUCCAAAUGAUCAAGCUACAAGGAUAAGAAGGAUGAUCAGAAGGGUUGCUUCCACUGCAAGAAGCCUGGUCACGUGAUUACUUGUUGUCCAGAUUUGCAAAAGGACAAGUGUAAGAAAGAAAGCUCUAAGAAGGAGAGUAAAGAAAAAUCUCAUGCCAACAUGGGAAGAUCUGGAAUCUGGCUCUGAUGGCUUCAACAUCUUCUGAUGUAGAAUCUAAAUUUGAUUUUGAAGAGGAAGAUGAGGUAUUUUUCGAACUCACUUGUGAUGAGUUAGUUGUUGUUGUUAAAGAUCUCAUUAUCCAUUGUAAAUAAAAAAAAAUUCAUUAACCACUCAUGAUAUGGUUUAAGAUCGAUCUUGGCGUGGAAACUCAUUUGUAUAUGCUAUCCCUGAGCCCCUUAUAAGUGUAGCUCAGAGAUGAGGUGAAAGUAUAAAAGGUUUCUGGUAUCGCAACACGAAAGUUAAAUCAUUUUAUUUCUCAAGUGUUGUGAUGUGUGUUCCCAUGGAGACAUUUUUGAUGUAUCGAUGGGAUGGUUACUUUUGGGGGAGCAAUAUAAAUUGUUGGAUCUGAUAGUGUAAGGUCGUAUUGUUUGAUCGCAAUUGAAUACCCCUAAAACAUUUUCAACCAUUGAUGGACAAUUCCUUCCAAUUUGAAUAUAUACCUUUAUUUGUUUUACUUUUUUGCUUAUUUAUGCCCCUAUUAGACUUCUUGCCAUUUAUCUUGAAGAUCUUUACGACUCAAAACUCUUGAUUCCUAAAAUUCACUCUCCAUUUCUUUCCGUUAGGUUCUCGUUUCCCCUUCUUAUAUUAGAAUUGUCAGUAGAAUAGAACAUUACUGUUAGGUCUAGAAAUCCCUAUAAUGCUUCGAUUAAAGCCCUUUUUCUAAAGACUGACCUGAAGUUUCGUUCAGUCUAAACAUUUAUGAUUUAGGGUUUGUCCACUGUGUUGAGUUAUUCUCCUUGAAGAAAAUGCUAUUAGAUAGGGAUCUAAGUGGCGUUGUGGAUGGGUUGAUAAAAGCAUUAUAGAUGUGUAACAAGGUUAAAUAUUAGAUUAAUUCUAUUAGCACUACAACGAUUUUCUUUAGUUUCUCUAUCAAUUGAAGCUCCAAAGUUAGGUCAAUUAGUGCUCCUGUAAUGGUCAACUAUAUCGUUCCCUGUUUGUUCUCCAGAUCAAUCGGCCAAAAUAACCAUGAGCAGCUACAAUAUUAUAGGUUUCUUCCUCUUGAACGUAACCUUCUUCUCCUUUAUUUUCAGGGUUACUUUGUAACAAGAUUAAAUAUUAGAUUUUUAGGUUUAUUUACUAAUUAUUGAGUAUUUACAUUUUUCUUAAUUUUCUUGAUAGAUAAACUUUGGAUGCUUCAUAUAUUAAUCCACCGUGAGUUUGUAGGGUAGGGAGGAAUUAGAUAAUACUCCAUCCGUUCUUGUAUGUAAGCCCCCUUUGUUUUUUCACAUUUCGUAAGAAAAAUUGUCGAUGUAAUUAAUGUGUCUAUUUUGUGUGUUAAAUAUUACCAAACUGUCAUUUGUUUGUAUGUGUAUUAAAUUUGACUUUUCAUAUACGAAGACAAGGUAUUAAUAUUAAUUAUGAGUAUGUUUAGGAAAAAUAAUAAAUGUAUCUAGUAAUUUGAAAAAGGAUGUAUAUUUAGGGACAAAAAUAAAAUCAAAUGAGUGUUUAGAUAUAAGGACGGAGGGAGCAUGUUAGACUUAUCAUGUUGGGCCUUUUAUAAUUAUAUGUUAAUAGUCUUGUCCUUUUAGGUUUUGCUCCAUUUUCUAUGUAACACUUAUUUUUAAAAAGUUAUAGAAUUCACAUUAUUGAAUAAUGUGUUCUCUAUGUUAUCAUCGAUAUCAUUUAGUGAGGUUUGAGAUUGAUUUAAAAUUUGAAAUUGAUCAAAUAAUUUGUUUCUGUGAUAUUUAAUCGAUUAAAGGCCCAUUUGUUAUACCUAUUUUUAAAAUAGAUUUUGGUAGUGUAAUGUGUUUUAGUUUUAAUUUUUUUAACAAUUUUUUUUUAGGAAAGCUUAAAAUGAAAAAUCUAUUUGAAUAGUUUAUCCUAAAAUGUCAUUCUAGGUAUGUCAUCAUUUGGUUAUAAUUUUUUUUGGAUACUAAAAUUUUGAAAAAAUCUCAAAAAAAAAAAUUAUUUCAAAUAGCUUUUCAUAAAAAUCAGUUUUGAAAGAUGUCAUUUUGAAAAAAUAUGUGAUUUUUACUAUGUAAAAUCUUGAACAAUGAACAUUUAAGUUAGUAAAUGUCAAAAUCUCUUUUUUAACUUAUAUCAAUUGAGUUUGAAAUAACUUUUACUAAUACUGAAUAAAUUUAGAGAAAAUCCAUUUUUAAAAAUACAAAGAAAAAUCUAGGUUUUUUUAAAAUCUAAAACAAACGGGCCUUACGUAAUAAACUUAUAAGUAGCAAUCUAGACAACAAUAACUUUGUAGUAUUUUAACCAUAAUAACUUGGAUUGCAAAAGUCAGAUUGAGGUUUUCUUGGUGGAGUUGGAAAAUUCAGAAAAUAUACUACUAAGUUUUAGUAAACUCUUAAACUCAAGCUCUAACAUGGUGGAAUAUCAAUUCAGAUGUUAUAAACUUUGUACACUCUCAUAUGUCAAUUAAGUUUGUACUUAAUUGAUGCAAAAAAUUUCACCAAAUAUAUUUGUACACUCUUAUAUGUCAUAAAAUAUUUUUUCUAUACACUCUGAUAUGUCAUAAAAUCUUUUUUUUUUACCAAGUAUAUACGUUAGUUAUUAAAAAAGUUGUAUUAUUGGAAAAAUAUAGAUAGCGUGAGCUAACGAUUCACAUAUUUCAAAAAGUCUAAAAUCUUAUUUUACAUGCGAAUUCGUUACUUCAUUGAUGAUGUAACCUCUUUUUUAAUGGGAAAGAUAACAACAGUUAUGAAAAAAUACUAGAUUAUUUCAUAUUGUUGCAUAAAGAAUCCAAAGCACAAUAUAUAGCCUUAUCAAAAUCUGAUACAGAAUUGAAGACAACUAGGCAAAAAGCAACAUGGCUAAAUCUUUUUGAAUGAAAAAACAUAUCCUUUUAAAUACAACAUUUAUAGACUUAAGAGACAUAAUAUUGACUCAAAAUUAUUCUUUUCAAUGUCAUUUGAAGAAAAAAGAAAAAAAAUGAAUAAACCAUCAAAUUGAUUCAUGUCUCUCAAACCCACUCCGAAGGUAGUCUAUAUUUCCUUUAAAAAAUCUAUCUAAUUUGAAAAUGAGAAGUCAAAAUUAUUUCAGAUUUUGAUACAAUCUUUUGGAAGCAAGUCAUGUGCAAUUACCACUCUUAUUUUAUACCAACUGGUCUCCAAAAACUUAACAAGUUAUUAAAAAAAUUAUUUAUUAGCAUAUCCACAAAGCUCCACCACUUUUCACUGCACAUAUGAAAUUUUUUUAGUUGAGUAGUUUAUGUCAUAAUUGAUUCAAAGAUACGAUGGAUUAGUCUUUUUGAUUUUUAUAUAUGAUAAUGUUAUUUUAGAAAUAUUAAUCAUUGUUUCUUUUUUUUCUAAAAAAAAAAGAAAUAUUAAUCAUUAAUUAAGAUAACUAACUUUCCAUAGAUCGCACGGUGCAACUACGUUAAUAAAAAAAAUGGAGAGGUAACUUGUGACAGAUAAUUUUACAAACAAGUGUUUAUUGGCAUACAACAAGUAUAAAUGUUCUGUAAAAAAUAAAAAACAAGUAUAAAUGCGAAUUGUUUGGGAAAGUUUGGUAUUUAUUAUGUCAUUGGAUUGGGUUUUCUUAUGUUCUUUAGAAUCGAUAGCGGAUCACUACUAUCAAUUUAUUCAUCUGGCGGGUAUGCCACGAAUUUCAUAUUCUUAUCUUAAGAUUAUUUGGCUUGCUUGUGUAUGGGCAAUAUGGAAAGAGAGAAAUAAUUGUAUCUUCAAAAAUGUGGUUAUUGAUCCGUACAAUAUUGUUGAAAAGGUGAAGCUGAACUCUUUUUUAUGGCUUUCGUCAAACGGUGUACCAUUGCCGUUUGCUCUUCAUGAUUGAUGGAGGCAUCCACUUCUUUGUAUAGGUGCUGGUUGGGUGUUAAAUUUUUUCUUUUUUCUUUUUAAUUGGUGUGACAUGUUUCUGUGUCACUCACCUAGUUUUUGUAACAGACUUUGAGUGAUUCGUCGCUUUUAGCACACCUUGUGCGGGGUGAAUCACUUUUCCUUUGAGCAAUAUAUUUCAUUUUGAUUUGUUCAAAAAAAAAAAAAAUGUGACAUGUUGUUGAUUUCUGGGUUUUCGGUGAUUAUAGCAUUUAUGUUUUAUAACUAGUAUGCUUGUUUACAUGGAUUUUUCGGUAGAAAAAGUCGGAAUGUUAGCAAUGUGAAUGGAAAAAUAGUUCAACAAACAUUUCUUUAUCAUAGGGAAGGUAUUAGGGAUGAUAGGUAUAGAAAAACUGUUAGCAGAAAAAGGGAGCACAAACCUACUAGUAGAUAUGAUUGUUAAGCCAAGUUCCAAGUCCACAUUAACUUUAAGAGUGAUCGUUGGUACAUUAAAUACUUUGAUGUUGUUCAUAAUCAAUCGUUCUUGGAUGUUAAGUAUGAAAUAAUGUUACCAGGCCAUCGGAAGAUGAUCGAUCAUGAAAAAUACCAAAUGAAAACCAUGAGAAAAUCUAGCAUUCCAACGUCACGCAUCUUUGGUUAUUUUUCCACACUAACCUCUGGGUAUGAAAAAUUAGGUUAUUCAAGGAGACACAUGUACAAUGAACAAUUUAAAGAGAGGGGUAGUAAGAGUGCCGAUGCUGAUUCUUCACUUGAAUUCGUUAAAGGAAUGUGUACCCGGGAUGAUAUGAUGUUUUGGAAGCAUACUGUGAACGUGGAUGGGUCGCUUAAGCAUCUUUUUUGGUGUGAUGGAGUAAGUCAGAUGGAUUAUUCAUUAUUGGUGAGUAUUGGAAUUUGAUGCUACAUAUCGGAAAAUAAAAUACAAUACACCCUUGGUUAUAUUUUUCGGUGUAAAUCAUCACAACAAGAGCGUCAUGUUGGUAGUGCAGUUGUUUUAGCAAUUUUUUAUAAUUUCUAAUUCCAAUAAAAAGACCAAAAAUUAUACCUUAACUUACUAUGAUUAUUUAUUUAACAAAAUAUAUUGAGUUUCCCAAUUAAUCCCUAAAUAUAUUUACGUACACCUGCGAUGUAGGAGAUAGUGGUCGUACUAUUGUCCUUCACUGUCCUUCAUUGAUAAUGACAUCCAUUGACCCUCCGAAGCUUCAGAACAUCUAUAACGGACUUGCAGAGACUUCUGCACUUUUAGUCUUCAGCAAUCCAGAGUUUGGCUUCCUUAGUCUAGGUAUCCAGCUUCUGGGCUGCCUUCAGAGUCUGACUUAUUUAGAUUUUGGCUUGCCUUCAGAGUCUGACUCCUUCAGAUUCUGACUUUAUACUUAACUUCUCUUGAAAAUUCUUUUCUCUACAUUUGUUUUUUCAGAAUCUAUACAUGAUUAAGACAUUGUAAAUUUUUGUAUAUGUCCAUGCACGCUUGAACAAAUAUUAACAUAUCCAAUUGAUCUUUUAAUACCUUGUUAUCAUCAAAAUUCAAGAGGCAUUGUUUAAAACUUAUUUUGUUCCAACAAACUUGAUUGGGAAUCAAUGGUCCAAAGUGAAUAGAGUGAUUUCUUUCCACCUCAAAGGGGAAUGUGGGUUCAUUCUAAUCUUCUCAGGUUCAAGGGGAUCCAAGCUCCCAACAUAGCAAAGAAGAGUUUGAGGUGAAGAACUUUAAGGAUUGCAUAGAAGUUUGAGUUUGGUAGACUUGGAGAAUCACCAAUUUCAAGGGUUACUAGAAGAUUGGGGGUUGUGGUUGCUUAGGAUUGAAGAAUAGGGUAAUUGAGGAAAUUCUUUGUAAUCUUAACAAUUAUAAUGAAAUUUCAACAAUAGUGGAUAUCCUUGAUAGAGACAUAUUCUAUCAAGAAAAGUAAACGUACCCUGAAGCGAGGACGAAAGGGAAAUCUAAUAUGAAAAUUUUGAGUGCAUCUUUGCUCCAUUUCACUUUGCUCAAUUUACCCCAUUUGAAUACAUGGAUGUGCGAAAUGUGGAAAAAAUAAAAUCAAUGGGUGUGAUUAAAUGGAUUGGAAAAAUCAAUUCUUUAAUGAGGAAAAGGAAAUACGCGCGCUCUGCUAUCAAACUCUUCUUCUUCCUUUCUCACGCAACUUUCCACCUUCCUCCCUCAUAAUCAUCGAAGCCACCUCUCCUUCCCACCGGCUCCGCCAUCACCUCUCCCUCUCUCUCACCGUUGCACCUCUCUCUUGGUCUCCGUCAGCGUCAUGAGCGAACCCCACCAUCCCGCUACCAACACUAACGAACCCGCCGCCGCCGUCUCCGACCAUCCCAGCGCCGCUGCCAUUGUUGUUGAUCAAGGUAAUAUAGUUUUCCUUCUCUAUUUUAUUAUUUUUCAUCUCUUUAUUACAUGAUGUUGUUUUACUGUGUUGAUGAAAAAUUAGUUUCCAGGUUCACUUACGUUGAUGACUAAAGAAAAUGAGGAUAAGAAAUUGUAGAAAGUUACUAUUAUUUAACUCAACAAAUUUCAAUUUAAACCAUUACAUAAGAGAACCAGUUAAAAGAAAAAUCAAAGAGCAGUCCAAAAGAGUCAUCAAAUUAAAUGACAUAUUGCUCCCUUUGGGGAAUCAUAGGAAAAUUAUAUGUCCGAGAAAUAUAGAAAUAACAAUAAAAUCGGGAUUUCAAAACAUUUGUUGGCAGGAUUUUGCUGUGGAAAAUGAUUGAUAUAGAAGGCUAAUACAAAUCAUCCAAAAUAUGAGACAAUCUAGAGCUAACUACCAAGGAUGAAAGGAUCGUACAACAGCUUACAUGAUAAACAUAUAUAUAGCUUUAUGGUCACUAUGUGUGUAACUUUAAUAGUAAUAGAUAGUUUUAUGGUCAACAAAUUCUUAUGCAGUCUAAGUUUUUCAAGUAUAUUGAUCCUGUCAGCUAUUUUGCAGUGGCUUUUUGCUGUUAUGUUGUUUCUGUUCAGUUGUUUGUCAAAAAAUCAUGAGUUGUUUCUGUUUAUGUUGUUUCUGUUCAGUUGCCGCGACUUCAGAAUGUUGUUUUCUAACAUUGUUAUCAUAUAUUCAUGUAAGUUUAUGUAUGAAAUCAUAACUUAUGAUGGCCUUAAUUGUAAAUUUUGGUUUUUUCAGAUUGUGUCAAUAAAUUGGUGAACAACAUUCAUGAACAAAAUGUGCAACGCGGACAAGGAAGUAUUGCCAACAAUUUACCUCACUUGGAAAUGAAUUUUGAUUCUGAGGCGGCGGCUUAUGAUUUUUAUAAUGAGUACAGUAAAAUAAUUGGAUUUGGUAUUCGUCGAGAAUAUGGAAAUAGAAGCAGAGUAGAUGGAUUUUUGACUUCAAGAAGAUUCACAUGCUUCAAAGAGGGUGUACGAGGUGUUGACAUAAGACGUCAACCAAAAGGGGAGCCUAGAGCAGAAAUUAGAACGGGAUGUUUGGCGCGUAUGGUUAUUUCACUCGAUCGGAAGAUAGAGAAAUAUAAAGUUGUUGACUUUAUAGCUGAACAUAACCACGAACUUCAACCUGAGCAUGUUCAUAUGAUUCACUCUCAUCGACGCAUAUCUGAUACACAAGCAUCACAAAUUGUCUUGGGAGAUGAAUCUGGAUUAAGACCAAAAGAUUUGCAUGAAUAUAUAUCCAAGCAAGCUGGUGGAAUAAAGACAGUUGGUUUUACCAAAAAAGACCUUACGAAUUACCUUGAAACCAAAAGGAAGCAGUCACUAAAGUAUGGUGAUGUGGGUGCAUUGAUGAUGUAUUUCAAAAAAGAAAGUGAAAAUCCCUCGUUCUAUUAUGACUUGCAAAUGGAUGUUGAAGAGAAAAUAACAAAUAUAUUUUGGGCGGAUGCACAAAUGAUAAAUGAUUAUGGGUAUUUUGGUGAUGUUAUCACUUUUGACACCACAUACAAGACAAAUAAGGGUUAUCGGCCGCUGGGAGUAUUUGUUGGACUAAAUAAUCACAGGCAAACAGUCAUUUUUGGGGCAGCAUUGUUAUAUGACGAAACAAUCCCUUCUUUCAAGUGGUUAUUUGAAACAUUUCUCAAGGCAAUAGGUGGUAAAAAGCCAAAAACCAUGAUGACGGAUCAAGAUGCCGCGAUGGCUAAGGCUAUUUCUUUAGUUAUGCCAGAAACAUUUCAUGGAUUGUGCACUUGGCAUAUAAGACAGAACGCUUUACGGCAUGUGAACCACUUGUAUCAAAAGAGUUCACGAUUCGGUUUGGAUUUUGAAGCAUGCAUAGAUCUACAUGAAGAUGAGGGUGAAUUUUUGAAUGCUUGGAAUUCUUUACUUGUUGAGCAUAAUAUAUUGGAAGGGUCGUGGUUGCAUACAAUUUUUCAAUUGAAGGAGAAAUGGGCAUGGACAUAUGUCCGGAAAACAUUCACUGCAGGUAUGAGAUCUACUCAAUUAAGUGAGAGCUUUAAUGUUGAUUUGAAGAACCAUUUGAAGUCUGAUUUAAAUUUGGUACAAUUUUUUACACACUUUAAAAGAGCUGUUAAUGGUAAACGAAACAAAGAGUCAGAAGCUGAAUAUGAGUCAAAAAAUAAGCUUCCUAGAUUGAAAAUGAAGAAGGCUCGUAUGCUCAUACAAGCUGCAAAUGUUUACACUCCAAGAAUAUUUGAGGAGUUCCAAGAGGAAUAUGAAGAAUAUCAAGACACUUGCAUAAAAGAUUUGAAAAAAGGUUUGUAUGCUGUCACAAACUAUGAUAAUCCAACGGAGAGGAUAGUUAUGGGAAAUGCUAUGGAACAAAAAGUUUCUUGUGAUUGUCGUAAAUUUGAGACACAUGGCGUCUCAUGCAGUCAUGCUUUGAAAGUUUUAGAUGUCAUGAACAUUAAGUUAAUUCCUGAAACCUAUAUACUUAAGCGAUGGAGAAGAAAUGCAAGGUUGGGAAGUGAUCAAGAUUGGAAAGGGAGGCAUGUUGAAUUAGACAUAAAAGCCCAUUUUAUUAAGCGGUACAAUGAGUUAUGUCCUCGAAUGGUUAAGUUGACCAACAAAGCUUCAGAAACUCAUGAAACAUACACAUUUUUGUCCAAAGUUUAUGAAGAGUCCAGCAAAAUAAUUGAUGAUAUGUUGGCCAAAAAGUAUGUGGAUGGAGAAUCAGGUGGCAUGGUUCAUGUAUCCAUAUCAAUUGCAAAUGAUGAAAUUGACAAUGUGGACACCGUUUGCAUGGCAAAAGGCAUAGCUAAUCGAGAAUGUUCACGCAAGCAGAAAAAGCGAUAUAAAUCUUGGAUUGAGAAAAAAGAUAAAAAGACAAAGAUGUGCUCAAAGAGAAAGAGGUCUGGUGAAAAUUUAGUGCAGUUGUUACCGGUAAGUAGUUUUUAUCAAUGUAUUAAAUUUUAUUACAGUUGUUACCGGUAAGAAACUAUAUUAUUUAUUUACCUUUUCUUACAUUAUGCAGCAAGAAACUACCGUUCAAGCGACACAAUCAAGUCAAGUUGGCAAUGGAACUCAACAUCAAGCUACAAUCCAAGAGUCAUAACCAAGUCAAGUUGACACAUACAUUCACAUUCGAUGGGCUGUUGGACUGUUUUUGUUCCCGGUUUUUAUUUGCUGGGUUGUUUUUGUUCCUUCUGCUAUGUCAGUCCCUUUGUGGACACUUACAGUUGUUUUUGUAAGUUUAUAGGUGUUGAUUUUAAGAGUCAUGGCCUUGCAACAUGUUGCUAACAGCUUUUACAGUUUUCGGCCAAGACUUAAUUCAAAACCAGAAUCAUUAUAUGACAAAGAGAUGUUGUUUAGUAUGAUAUUAUAAAUUGCGGUGUUUUUAUUACUUAUGAGUUAACAGUGUUAUCGGAACUGCAGUUCUUUUACAAAUUUUUUAUAACCAACGCUAUUUUAGCUGGUGUCUGUUUGUGGUGCUGCUAUUUUCGAUUUUGCUGUUUUGACAGUUACGGCGACGUUACUAACACUUUUAUCAUAAAUUGAAGUAUUCAAUUUCGGCGACUUUACUAAUGUUAUAAGAAGUAAAUCCUUAUUGACUUAAUGUUUCUAACAAUAUCUUCACCACAAUGAAAUGAUGUGCAAAUAUGUAGACAUGUUUAGAACUCAAGUCCUACACAGUUAUCAGAAAUUGCGGUGUUUUAUUUACUUAUUAGAACUCAAGUCCUAAUAAACUUGCUAAUAGCUUAUACAUCCACAUUCCAUAAAUUCUGCUCUUAAGAAUAUUUUGCUAUGAAGGAAAAGAAAUACAUUCACAAGGAAUGCCACUAGAAAUCAUGAAAAGGACUUGAAUCAAAUUGUGCUCGCCUCUUCAUUCCUUCAUUCUCCUAUUUGUACAAUCAAGAAAAAUAUUUUCUGUUAGGCAUUUUCUCCUAUUUUUACUGACGAGAGCACCUGCAAAAGUGGUUUUCUCCUAUUCCUUCAUUCUCCUAUUUCUAUUUGAUGUUUCUAUAAAAAGAAAAGAAAAUGAAGGUACACUUUGCAGAGAACAAAGCCAUAAUCCAUGAAAUGAAGCAACUUGAUUCUACUUAAACAUUUUUUAUGGUAUGAAUUCCUUCCAGAAAAUGAAGCAACUCUUAAACAUUUUUAAGGUUUCAUAAAUGGCGGUUUGAAGCGGCGGUGGCGGUGAAGAGAAAAGUUUGACUGACGAUGAUUUAGGUGAGGUGAUGUGGAGUAUAAGGGGGAGAGUGCGCCGGACAAGGGAGGGAGAGGCGGGCGGCGGCAAUGGGAGGGUGAGAGGUGCUAUCUGAGAUGAGAAGGAAGAAGGAGAGUUUGUACGGGCGUGGUAUUUUUCUCAUAGCAGAGCGCGUUGGUCUUUUUACUCAUUUAAGAAUUGAUUUUUCCAAGCCAUUUAAUCACAGCCAUUGAUUUUAUUAUUUACACAUGUCACACAUCCAUGUCUUCAAAUGGGGUAAAUUGAGCAAAGUGAAAUGGAGCAAAAUGCACUCGAAAAUUUUGGUGUUCUUGUCUUUUCCCUUUCCUAUUUAAUUUUGCUUUAAUCGGUGAAUAUGAAUUUUAUUGUUUGUUGCUUGUUGAUUUGAUUGUGAUUCUUUUUAACACUUAACCUAAUCUUAAUUUAGUGAAUUAACAUCCUUUUCAAAUUCAAUUCAUCACAAUUUCACUCCAAUUAGCUUUCAAAACCUUAAUUCAUAUACUUUAUGUUCCUUAUUGUUAGUUUGUUUUAUUGCAAUUAGAUUUGGUUUGAGUUUUCAUAGUUUUGUAAAGGCUUAAUUGCACUUUUGGACCCCUAUCUUUUCAAAAGUUGCGGUUAUGGACCCCUAACUAAUUUAAAUACAAAACAGCCCCCUAUGUUUUGAUUCUUUGGCAGUUUUGGACCCCCAGUCCAUUAAUGAGGUGCCACGUGACCCCCUAAAUAAUAUACGUGGCACCUCACUAAUGAACUGGGGGUCCAAAACUGCCAAACAAUCAAAACAUAGGGGGCUAUUUUGUAUUUAAAUUAGUUAGGGGGUCAUAACCGUAACUUUUGGAAAGAUAGGGGUCCUAAAGUGCAAUUUAGCCUUUUGUAAAUUGUGUCACUGAAUAUUGAUAUUUGAUUGUGCUUAUUAAGAUUCUACAUUUGAACAUCUCAAUUCAAUAGUGAAUCUUAAUGCUUUAUUCAUUGUCUUGAUUUUUGUUAUCGUUAUUGUGCAAGGAUCCAAAAAGCCAUACGUUUUUUAAUUACGCUUUCGCUAAACUUUUUGAAUUUUCAAAAACGCUAUUCACCCAUCUCUAACGCAUAUUCUUAUUUGUCAUAUAGACCAACAUAUUUAACUUAAAAGAAAAAGAAAGAACUCAGUAGCGCAGCAUAUAAUACCCGGUCAACGGGUGCACCCAAUUGGUUCGUGGCUGAACCAAUGAUCCGUUUUUGGAAUAGCAUUCAUGUUACUAAGUAUUUGCAUUAAUAAUAGAGGGCUGCGUCUUCCGAAUCAUUGGCCUAUUUGUGGUAAUGAUUUGUCUCCCUCUUUAAUCUUUUAUUUCUGAGCAAUGUAUCGUUCUCUUGAGCUGGAAUAUCUUCACCAGAAAACAUAUAUAGCUGCUGUUUAUGUGAGUACUUCCUAUUGCACUCGACGCAUUCUUUGGGCUGACCUUACUCGGCUUCAGGAUUCUUUUGCGGGUCCUUGGCUGUUUUUUGGUGAUUUCAAUGUGGUUUUAGGUGCUCAUGAGAAGCAGGGUCGUCGUCUUUCGCAGACUUUGUAUUGUCAUGACUUUUUGCAUCCAACGCUUCAUUGUAAAAUUCAACAUGCAUUGGAUCAACUUUUGCUACAAAUGUGCAACCAUUCUAGCUUUCCUAAUAAGAUACUCUACAUGAAGUAGUUAAUACAAGGUUGCUUGUACACCCCCAAAAAUUCACCAAAGUCUGAGAUACCAUCAUUGAAUGCAUCCAUACUAAAAUUCUCAACAGUAAGGCUAGUGUGUAAUUCAAACUCAACAUCAUUAACGUGUAGCUCUUGCAUUCCUCUAAUGGAAAGUAAAAGUAUCAAUGCCCUAAACUCAACAUCAUACAAAGGCCAAAAACAAUGAGUCGUGUCAGCAGAUUUGCAUAAAAUGUCUAGGAAAAAAUAUAAGCAACGUUGAGGGGGUGUAUAAAGUCCAUUAAGAUGUUUUCUUUCAGAUACUGUUUAUAUAAAGAUGUUUUCUUUACUACUAUAUGAUAAACUAGCGUGAGUUAACUCACGCGGGGUAUAACACCUGCGUGAGUUAACUCAUGCAGCGUUACUUAAGUCACACAUGUGUAAAAUUAAGUCACGUUUGUUUUACACAUGUGUUAGUUAACUAACGCAGAGUAUUUUGGUCAGUUUGGUUGGGUGGGAGCGAAACUUGCUGGGAGAAGAGCAGAAUUCAUUCAUUUUGGUCAUACACUUCCUUUCUAAAUGAAAGAACAUGUUAGUUUGUAAUAUUUGUAGUUUAAAUAUGCUAACAAGAGGAUAUCGAUUCCUCGGCUAUUUCCAUGAUUAUGAAAUCAAAAUAAAGAGAAAAUAUUACAUCAAACACAACAAUUUUUCUGCACAUUAUUAUCCAAAACAAAGAACAUCAUAUUGGUCAUAGAUGACAAAACCAGAGAUGGUCUAGAUGACACAAGAAUGGUCAUCGGACUCACUCACAACAUCGUUGGGUACCCAGGCAAUAGCUUUGUUGCCAAUGAAAUGGCAAACAGGGACAGUUCCAGGCUUGACUUGGAGAACUUCAUAGAGCAUAUUAGGAUCCAUACCUCUUGUAUCAUGGUGGCAGAUAGUUAGUGCCUUGGAUUUAGUUCCAUCAGAGGCCACCAAUGGAACCAUGUAAGUCGUUGUCGCGUUGAUCUGGUGGCAAUAGAAUCCAACCUUUUUAAGAUUCAUUCUAUGACACAUCACUGCGUUGUCUCCUAUUUUUCUCACUUCCUCCACCAUAUAUUGGUCUUGGCUUUGAGAAAAUGAACUUGACAUCACUUUAAUAUUCUUUCCAAGCUUUGAAAUGGCGAAAUCCAUCAUUGAUUCUAGUGAAUAUGCACAGUGUUUCUCUUCUCCUAUAGCCGAUGGGUUUCCACAGUAGCUGUGAAGAAUGUGUGUCUCUUUUUCAUCCAAUUUAUGUGCUACAGAAGUUUGACUGAUUUUUUCGGUUUCUUUCUUAGCUACAUUAUCAAUUGAUAUAUGAGUUCGAAAAGAUUGACUUGCUUUACCAGUCCAUACAAGAAUCCCAAAAUGAUCGUUUGGUUUUGCCAUUUCUUCUUCAGUUGGUUUGUCAAUUAAUAUGUGAGUUCCAAAAGGUUGUUUUGGUUUUACACUUUCUUUUUGUUCCCACCAUAUGUUAAUUCCAAAAGGUUGUCUUGCUUUUGCACUUGUUUUCUCGAGCCAUUUGCGAGUUCCAAAAAAUUGAUUUGCUUUUUUGACCUGUAAAUGUCCCUUUGAUUGUGAUGGUUGAACAUCCGAAUGUUUAUGGACACCCAAGCUCAUUUUUUUGCCAGGAUAGAGGUCAUGUUCAAAAAAUACAGUCCAAUAUUGCUUCUCGUCUUGGCCUUUAAUGGGCACACUGGUUCCGCUCUCUGCACCAUCAAAACCAAACAAAAUUCCGAACUUAUGAGAAUCGUAUAUAUUACUGGUAACCAACACAUAUGGAAGAAUCAUAAAUAUAGGUACAUGUAGGAGUGAAAUAUAUAAUGAAUUUGGUUCGUCAUUACGGAGCACUAUUCGCGUGUUAUGUUACAAAAUUGCCGUGGUUAAAAUGUUUUUCUGUCAUAAAAAAAUAUCCAUAUAUACAGCUAUAUAUAUUGUUCUGUGAUUGAGCGGUUAUUGAGUUAUGCAGAUGCAGGAGAUAAAUUUUCCAUGUUUUAUUUGUUUCCUUUGCUAGCAGGUUGUGAUCAAGGGUUUGUACUUGUAGGAUGUCUAGCAGGAUGUGAAAUUCUUCACAUUAGUAUUGAGUAAUGUUGUUGAACUUAAAGCUCUUUUUAACGGCAAAUAUUAGUAGUUAAUUCGGGUUUUUUCUAGAUUACCCUCUCUUAUUUAGAGGGUAUUUUACCCUCUCAUGAUAUCAACCAAUUAAAAUGUAAUAUAUAUUGUCAACAUUAAAUGUCAUAAAUGAGUCAAUUUUUUUCUAAAAAAAGAAUCAAUUAUAAUCAUAAGGUAAUUUUUAAUACUUUUAAUUUUUAUUUAAUUAUUGACAUGAUUACAUUAGAGAUCUUUUAUCUUAUUUAUUUGUUACACUUGGGUCCUUUAUCUUUAUUUUUUUCCGCUUAGGUCUUUUAUCUCUUAUAAAAGCACAUAUACAUCAUUUUUCUCAUUUUUUUUUUAUUAAAAAAAAUACAUAAUUUUAUUUUUUUAAAAUAUCUUUUUAUUAAAAAUGAAACAAAUCCAGAAAUAUGAUGAAGAUGUUCAUCAUNNNNNNNNNNNNNNNNNNNNNNNNNNNNNNNNNNNNNNNNNNNNNNNNNNNNNNNNNNNNNNNNNNNNNNNNNNNNNNNNNNNNNNNNNNNNNNNNNNNNNNNNNNNNNNNNNNNNNNNNNNNNNNNNNNNNNNNNNNNNNNNNNNNNNNNNNNNNNNNNNNNNNNNNNNNNNNNNNNNNNNNNNNNNNNNNNNNNNNNNNNNNNNNNNNNNNNNNNNNNNNNNNNNNNNNNNNNNNNNNNNNNNNNNNNNNNNNNNNNNNNNNNNNNNNNNNNNNNNNNNNNNNNNNNNNNNNNNNNNNNNNNNNNNNNNNNNNNNNNNNNNNNNNNNNNNNNNNNNNNNNNNNNNNNNNNNNNNNNNNNNNNNNNNNNNNNNNNNNNNNNNNNNNNNNNNNNNNNNNNNNNNNNNNNNNNNNNNNNNNNNNNNNNNNNNNNNNNNNNNNNNNNNNNNNNNNNNNNNNNNNNNNNNNNNNNNNNNNNNNNNNNNNNNNNNNNNNNNNNNNNNNNNNNNNNNNNNNNNNNNNNNNNNNNNNNNNNNNNNNNNNNNNNNNNNNNNNNNNNNNNNNNNNNNNNNNNNNNNNNNNNNNNNNNNNNNNNNNNNNNNNNNNNNNNNNNNNNNNNNNNNNNNNNNNNNNNNNNNNNNNNNNNNNNNNNNNNNNNNNNNNNNNNNNNNNNNNNNNNNNNNNNNNNNNNNNNNNNNNNNNNNNNNNNNNNNNNNNNNNNNNNNNNNNNNNNNNNNNNNNNNNNNNNNNNNNNNNNNNNNNNNNNNNNNNNNNNNNNNNNNNNNNNNNNNNNNNNNNNNNNNNNNNNNNNNNNNNNNNNNNNNNNNNNNNNNNNNNNNNNNNNNNNNNNNNNNNNNNNNNNNNNNNNNNNNNNNNNNNNNNNNNNNNNNNNNNNNNNNNNNNNNNNNNNNNNNNNNNNNNNNNNNNNNNNNNNNNNNNNNNNNNNNNNNNNNNNNNNNNNNNNNNNNNNNNNNNNNNNNNNNNNNNNNNNNNNNNNNNNNNNNNNNNNNNNNNNNNNNNNNNNNNNNNNNNNNNNNNNNNNNNNNNNNNNNNNNNNNNNNNNNNNNNNNNNNNNNNNNNNNNNNNNNNNNNNNNNNNNNNNNNNNNNNNNNNNNNNNNNNNNNNNNNNNNNNNNNNNNNNNNNNNNNNNNNNNNNNNNNNNNNNNNNNNNNNNNNNNNNNNNNNNNNNNNNNNNNNNNNNNNNNNNNNNNNNNNNNNNNNNNNNNNNNNNNNNNNNNNNNNNAAAAUGGGAAGAAGAAUGAAAAAGAAACAAAAAUUGAUCAAUAUGAAAGAAUAAAGAAGAAGAAAUUUGAAAGAAAGUGAUGUUUUUGUUCUCACGUUCGGGGUUCUGGAAUGGAAGAAAUUUUAUGAAUGUAAAUGACGAAUUUAAGGACAUCCAGAUGAAAGAAAUUUGAUGUAAAAUUUUAUUUGUUAUAAGUCUUGUAGUGUAAAUUAAUUAAGAUUGAACACUUUCAUAUAAAAAAAAAAUUAAAUCAUUUGUUGUUUCAAAAAAAAAAAUUAAAUAAAAAUUAAAAGUAUUAAAAGUUACCUUAUGAUUAAGAUUAACUCUCCUUCAAAUAAAAAAUAAUUAAGAUUAACUCUUUUUUUUUAAGAAAAAAUCUACUCAUUUAUUUGACAUUUAAUGUUACCUAUGUAUAUUACAUUUUAAUUGGUUGAUAUCAUGAGAGGAUAAAUUACCCUCUAAACAAGAGAGGGUAAUGUAAACCUCACCGUUAAUUCGCUACAUUAAUAUUUUUUUCCUUUAUUCAGAUUUGAACUCAAGAUCUAUUACUUCCUUAAGCUUAACCCAAAUUAAUUGAGCUACAUAACCCAUAAGUCUUGUUAUACUUGUAGAUAGGGGUGGGAAUAGCUUAGGCCGAGCUAGACUUUGCAAGGCCUAAGUCUGGCCUGCUAAAUUUUUAAGGCCUGCGGCCUGUCGUUAGCUUAAUUUUUAGGUCUGAGUCUGACCUUCUAAAAGUCUGUUACGACCUGCUAGCCUGUUGAAAAGUCUAUAUCAUAUGAACAUUUUUAAAUAAACAAUAUAAUAUAAGUUUAAAUAAAAUAUUACUCAACAAUUACAACACUCUAGCCGACCAUAGUUUUCUCUCUCUAGGUUGUCUCUUACAGUUUCUUCAUUGAUGGGUGAUUUUGGGUCAAUUAUUGACCUGAAAUCACCCCUCUUCACCUUUUUCUCUCUAUUUCAAUCUAAAUAAGCGAUUUUCACAUAGAUCUUGAUUUUUUUAUUUGUGAUUUCAUCAUCUAAGUGUGAUGGUUUGUUGUGCGGCGUUGUUUGAUUUGCCGUCUUCGUGUGGUGUUCAUUUUAUUCAUAUUGAAAGAUCGAUUAUUCAAUCAGAGAUUUGGGCGUCAACGUUCCAGAUCCGGAGGCCAUGGAUAUUACGGUCACUUUAAUUUUAUCAUAUAUUUGUAGGCAUUAUGCUGUUAUAUGCUACUCCCUCCGUCCCAAAUUGUAUGACGUUUUGGGCAUUUCACACAUAUUAAGAAAUACAAUUAAUAUUACGUGGAAAAGAGAUAUUAUGAGUUGUUUUUACAAAAUUAUCCUUAAUAAAUAAUAUGGGAAAGAUAAAUGAAAUAAUUGAAAGAAGAAGGAGUAAUAAAUAGUUAAGGUUAUAAUAGGAAAAGUAACAUUAAUAUUUCAUUGGUACCGUAAAGCGACAUAUAAUUUGAGACAACUUUUUUUCGCUAAAGCGACAUACAAUUUGGGACGGAGGGAGUAUUAACGUGGAUGUUGGGAGUUUGUUCGCAGAUUCACCCUUCACGUUUUUAGCGGUGUUGAAUGAUAUAAUUUCUCAAUUUGAAUGAAUGAAUAUCAUUUUGAUUUUGUCACAAAAAAAUAAUUAAAUAGUAUAGCGAACUAAUAGAUCAAUUAGAUUAAACUAUCUUUUGAUAAUCAAUACGAGUUUUUACGGAAUUUUACUAUAUACUGUAUCAUAUUUCUAUUAGAUUUUGGGCUCGCUUUUUCACCAUUCCAAUUAUACCCUUGAACAAAUUUUCCUAUAAUAAUAUUAUAUUAUUGACUUCAUUAAAAAAAAUAAGGAUUUAUAUUAUAUUUGUUAUAUUGUUGAUGUCAUUGACAAAGAUAAAUAUAGUUUGUUGGGAUUUUUAUACUUAAUUUGAAAUUCUGAAACAUCUAACCUCUAUAUAUUUUUUAAUCAAAAUCAAAAUAUCAUAAAAAAUAUCGUUCACAAUUGCAAGCGUUAGCGUAACAAAAAGAGCGGGAAGAAGGGGCCACGUGAGUGUCCGUGUUUCCGCUAAUGUUAAAUGAAAGAGAUUAAAAAAUUAUUGUUGUUUAGAAGAAAAUAGUAACUUAUUUUAUGAAUAAGAAUGAAGAAAAAUAUAUUUUUCUCCAAUAGGGGUGAAUUACCCUUAAUUCAUAAAGGGAUGUAGAAAAAAAAAACAUUAUAAAUUAUUAAUAUACAUUGUAAACAAUAUUAAGGUUUAAAAAAAGGGUUAAAUAUGUUUUUGGUUCCUAUAAAUAUACCAACUUUUCGUUUUAGUCCCUUUAAAAUUUUCCUUCAACUUUUAGUCCUCCAAAAAUUUUCCAUCUUCAUUUUUUGUCCCUCUUUUAAAAUAAACUCAUAUGUAGAAUUCACAUUUUUGAAUAAAAGUUUGCAAAAAAAUUCAUAAUAUUAUAAGAAUCUCUCCUAAAAAAAUUUAGAAUUUUUCAACAAAACAUGAAUUUAAUAUGAAUUUUUAUAUUUUUUAUGGUUAAAAAUUCAUAUUAAAUUUAUGUUUUGUUAAAAAAUUCUAAUUUUUUUGCGAAAUAUUUUUACAAUAUUCUACACAUUUCUGCACAAUUUCAUUAAAAAAUACUAAAAUUAACUUAAAAAUAGGGACUAAAAAUAGUGAUUGAAAAUUUUAUAGGAACUAAAAGUUGAAGGAAAAUUUUAGAGGGACUAAAACGAAAAGUUGGUAUAUUUAUAGGGACUAAAAACAUAUUUAAUCCUUAAAAAAAAAGUCAAAUAAAAGAUCUUAUAUUAUUGGUGUGCCUCACAUGUCCUUUGACGAAUAUUAGGUACGUGGUGGAAAUUUGGUACCAAUAAUAAUUGGAAAAGUAAAAUUAAAAUAUUAUACACUUAUUUAAAAUGCUAAAAUAAUCAUGAGAAGGACAAUAACGUAUAUUUACUAACCGGGCAGCAGCAGAUCUGAAAGAACCUCAGGCAUAGGAGUAUUUGGCCAAACAGAUUUCCAAUAAUCUUCUCCUGAUUUAGAUCCAUUGAUUCCCACGAUAGUCAACUGCAAAAUACAUUCAAAUUAAGGUGUGUGUGUUUAUUAUAUACCGAUUAAUUUUUUUAGUGACUGUAACAAUCUCCUUGCAACAUCCUUUCUAUUCAUAACUAUUUUAUUGAUUGAAAUAGCUAUGGAUUCUACACUUUAGAAAUAGGUAUGAGGGCUCAUGAAUUUUAUCCAAUAAAAUAAUAAAUGUUAAAUGAGUUUGGAAAGAAGAUUGUUACAAGGACUUCUGAACUCAGUGGCAAUAUAUAUAGUAAAAUAAUAGAUUAUAUUCCAAAUCACAUGAAAUAUUGAUGGAAAAAUGAGACAAUUAAUUAUAUAGGUAAUCAAGCAAAGCAGAAAGUAGCUUACAAAAAAUAGAGCUAAAACAAAUAGAAGUGUAAACUCCAUUUAAGCUGUGAAAUAUGGUAGAAACUCAGUGAGAGUGAGUGAGUAUGAAGGACUUACUGCUGCAAUAUAUAUAGUAAAUUCUUUGGCCAUAUCCGCAUAAUGAAAGGUUUUGUCGUUUUGCAAUCCAAUUGAUAUGUGUUAACUUAUUAAUCUGAAACUAUAAAUAUGUACAUACAUCCACAUGACAUUAAAAAUGAAAAGCAAGAUUUAUUUUGGGACAACUUGUUUUUAAAAAAUGACCACUUACUACUAUACUAUUCUUUCUUCAUCUAAAAUAUUUAGUUUUUCUAAUUUUCUAUUUAUAUCUUAAAACUCAUAAUUUUUUUAGAAAAUAAAAAAUUAAUUUCGGUGGUUUUGGUUUUUAACUUGGAAGCACGUUCUUAAGAUUUAAGAUUCAAUUCUCAAACAAAAUCAAUUUUGAUGAACUAACUAGCUUCUUAAAAGAAUAAAUACAAUGAUCAUAUAUUUGUUUUUAUACUUUUUAAGAAAUCAGAAAUAUAUUAAAGGACAUUUUUUCGAAGAAAUGACCAAGUAUCUCUUUGUUAAAUCUACUCUUGUGAAUAUUCUUUAUAUUUCUGUUUGAAUUUGGAAGUCCUACUUAAUAAGAAUAUUUUAACAAGGAGUAGAUCUGAUAUGGUGGCAUUUUUUCAAAGCUUAUCCUUGGCAUAGAAGCCUUUAAUAAUAUAAUGAGAAAUAUUUGAUCACAAAUACAAAUAAAAAAUAGUUAGGCACAUAGAUAAAUUAAAUGAGAAAAUAACUUAGUCAUAUACCCAAAAAAAAAUCUCAUUUAUUUUUCUUCAUUUAUGUAAGUGUUGUUAAAACAUUUAAACAUUUUUCAUUUUUAUUUGUGUCUAAUUAAGACUUGUUCUAGUAUAAUAUCAUCCUAGAUACAAGUAUCUUUAAUAUUUAAGUUCCGAUGUCAAUAUCUUAGUAAUAUUGUACCAACAAUAUAUAUAUAUAUAUAUAUUUGGUAGAACACAUCCACUAGUUUUUAUGUGGGAGUGUUUUAGCAAGCUACAUUUUAGGGUGUAUUUAACUACUUUUUAGUUAUAAUUUGCUAAAACAAGGGUUAAAUAUGUUUUUGGUCCCUAUAAAUAUACCAACUUUUCAUUUUUGUCCCUCUAAAAUUUUGAGUCACUAUUUUUUGUCCCUAUUUCAAAGUAAAUUUUUGUAUUUUUUUAUGAAAUUGUACAGAAAUGUGUAGAAUAUUGUAAAAAAAUUUGCAAAAUAAAAAAUUUAGAAUUUUUUAAGAAAACAUAAAUUAUAUAUGAAUUUUUAACCAUAAAUAAUAUAAAAAUUCAUAUUAAAUUUAUGUUUUCUUAAAAAAUUCUAAUUUUUUUUGGGAGAGAUUCUUUUAAUAUUAUGAAUUUUUCUGGAAAAUUUGAUUCAAAAAUAUGAAUUCUACAUAUGAGUUUACUUUUAAAGAGGGACCAAAAGUGAAGAUGGAAAAUUUUUUAGGGACUAAAAGUUGAAGGAAAAUUUUAGAGGGACUAAAAUGAAAAGUUGGUAUAUUUAUAGGGACCAAUAACAUAUUUAAACUUUGAUCUAGUGUUGUGUGAAUUGAAAAAAUAGAGUGUGGGGUACCACAAAAAAUAGAACACACACAUCAGUAGUGUUUAAUAGUGGUAUUUUAUUUUAAAUGCCUGAUUAUGAUAAAAAUAAUAAUUUUUUUUUUUAUUCAUGGAUAUCACUCUCCAUAAUUUUAUCUUAUGUUUGUUGCGAUAAUAUUGAGAAUCCAACUGAAUUUCCUAUCUUUCCUUCAUUAGUUUGUUUCAAAAAUCACACCAAAGAGUUCUAUUGAGUUGUCGAGAACUCUUUCUCUCUUCUCCCUUUCUUGACUUGUGUUGACGAAUCUUUAUUCUCUUCAUCUCCUUUUUUAUGUCCCUUCAUAAUUAAGUGUGUUCUUAAAACCAUGGUCCCUUUUUCGGUAUAAUGUCCCUUCCAAAUUAAGAAUGGUCUUAAGAGCAUAGUCCCUUCGAUAUUUUUAUGUCCCUUAAGAAUAAAUAAUAUUUUAACAUCAUAGUUCCUUUUCGGUACAAUGUCCCUUCGAAAAUUAAGAAUGACCUUAAAAAUAAAUUUUUCUUCGAUUCUUCGAGAAGUUAGAUGUUAGAAUGGUGGUAGCACAAUAUUUGAGUGGUUCAAAUACCAUAUUGACAUUUGGAGAUGUUAAUAGCCAUAUUUGAGGGUGUAAUUCUCGAACGAUUUUCUACAGUGCAGUAGUUAAUCACACAGUUUGUAGGUGAGCUUGUUUUAUCUUGGAGGCGGCGUGGUUGAUAUUCUGUCUUGCACAAUUUUGGGCAGUGCCACGAAACGUCUUAAAGAAAGCGACAUGGUCGUUACUCAACCUAGUAACAACUUCGGUAGAUGAAAAUCAUUUUUCAAAAUAGAUUUGAAAAUCCAAAAUACAACAGUUUGGAAAUCCAAAACAACAACAUGUAACCCAAGUGGGAAAUUGAUGGAAUGUUUUAUUUUUUAAUUAUAUUUCAAUGUCAUUUUGUGGGAAAAUAUCUUUAUAAUAAUUAUAUUAGCUAUUUAUCAAUUUGGAGACUUAAUUGAUUAGUGAUCAGAUUACUAAAGUAAUAAGCCUAUUAGAUUUCUAUUUAAUUAAUUAAUUAAUUAAUUAGUUGAUAUGGACUCAAAAUGAGUGGAUGUUCAGAUGACCCACUAACGGAAUAAUGGAAAACCCUAAUUGAUAUUACACUAUAAGAGGCUAUGAUCAUCAAUACGUACACGACAAACUCUUUCUUCUCCCCAUCGAAGAGAACUUUUCCAAUUGAAGAGUAUUUGAGGCAUAAAUUUACCAGUUGAGGAAGAACUAAAAUUAGCCGUUGCUAAUAUUUGUUGUCUGUUUCAGAACACCUCAUGUUUCACAUUGUUGUUGUUGAGAGAGCUGUCAUCAAAGUUUCCUAAUACCUGAUUAUCAAUAUCACGAUAGAUCAAACAUGUUGUGGAUCCAAUCAUAUUCAUGUUUAAUGUUGUUUUUGCUUCCGUUAAUGAUUCAUAAUUAUUUUUGAUUGAACAUGUGUUUAUGAAAUUGCUUUUAUUUAGAUUCUAACACCUUUUUUCUUCCUAGUUUUUUGUUUCUUGUUUGAGAACUGGUUUUUAGAUCUUAAGGGAUACUCAAAGGAGUUGUUGUUGAUUGUCUUCAUGGCAUUGGUUACCAAUGAAGAAAGUUAAGUUGAAAAUCAGGUUUUUUCGAAUGAUGCGUGGAUAACAUGACAAUCGCAUUGUUGAACUUUUGGUAUGUAUUGAUUAUUGGAACAAUGUUGAGAAAACAAAAGAAUGACUCUAUGAUUCAUUAUAAUUUUUUUUGUAAUGUUCCUUUGAGUAAUGAUUGAUUCUAUAAAAAAAUUUCUUGCAUAUAAGUUAUUUUAUAGGAUUGUUGUCUUGCAACUUUUACACAUUUUCUAUUUGUAUUUUGGUUUUCUACAUGGUAAUUACUAAUUAAUGUUAACAUUAGUAUACAUUUUCCCAGAUAGUCACAUGAUUUUGAAAUCCAUAUAUGUUGGAACACUAGUGUAUAAUGGAAAAGACUUAGAGUAUACUAGUUGUUUUGUGGAGCCUUUGGAAUGUAAACACAAGGAUGGAGAAACUAGUGUGAAGUGUGAAUUGAAAAUUUUAUGUCCCACAUUGGGUAGAUCACACACUCUAGUAGUGUUUAUAUAUGUGGGAUAUCACUUCCACGGGUGUGCCCUUGGGGUACACACUUUUGUGAACAGAGUGAGCGCUUGCCAAAAAUUCGUCCGACCGAGCCGGGCUUGGGCUUUAAAGAAAUAUAUUUUUUGGUGCUCAGAAAAAUGAAAAAAUAAUUUUUUACGCGGAGACCAAGUCUCACACGUUUUCCACACGCGCAAGCUUCAGCUCCACAUUUCCGCGUCGUGGGUUACCGUUACUGGGUCAUGGGCUAACGUUCGCGAGUCGCGAACCGGGUCGGCGGAGAAAACGAGGUCAAAUCCCCUCUAUAAAUAGAGAGCUCAGGAUUUGUAUUCCCCUUCUCAUCUCCCUCGGUUUGUGUUGACGAAUCGUUCUUUUCUUCCUCCUUCUUUGGUUUCUCGAGUGGUCUGCGUACCAUAUUAGAGUGGUUUUUCGAAACCAUAUUGAGGUGUUAUUCUCGAGCGAUUUCUGGCAGUGCAGCCUUUAAUCGUACAGUUAGAAUCUGGGCUGUUUUAUCCUGGAGACGGCGCGGUUGCUAGUCUACCUUGCACAAUUUAGGUAGUGCCGCGAAACGUCUUAAAAAAAGCGACCUGGUCGUGACUCACCCCGGUAAUAGUUUCAAAGCUCUGUCGUAAUUUUUCAAAUACCAAAAACAACAAUAUAAAGAGAAGAUAUUACAUCAAACACACAACAAAUUUUAUGCACAUUAUCAAAUACAAAGUACAUCAGAGACUGGCCAUACAAUGUAACAAUUCACAAACACAAACCCAUAGUUCUAACUAGUUCAGAACUAGUUUUAUUUGGAAUACAUGGACGAUACUUUGUACAUAAGAUAUGAUAUUCUCACAUCAUAGUUUUUUCCCAUAUAUCACUUUAAAAAAGUCCAAACAUGAGAGCCCCUUGGAUGUACAAAUCUUCUAGAAGACACUAGGAUGGCCGUUAGAAUCAGUGACAUCAUCGUUCGGUACCCAAGCAACGGCCUUGUUGCCAAUAAAAUGGCAAACAGGGACAGUUCCAGGCUUAACUUUGAGAACAUCGUAAAGCACAUUAGGAUCCAUACCUCGAGUAUCAUGGUGACAGAUUGUUAGUGCCUUAGAUUUGGUUCCAUCGGAUGCCACCAAUGGAACCAUGUAAGUUGUUGUCGCAUUGACUUGGUGGCAAUAGAAUAGAACUUUUUUAAAAUUCAAUCUAUGGCACAUCACUGCGUUGUCUCCUAUUUUAUUCACUUCUUCCACCACAUAUUGGUCAUGAUUUUUAGAAAAGGAACUUGACAUCACUUUGAUAUUCUUUCCAAGCUUUGAAAUUGCAAAAUCCAUCAUUGAUUCUAGUGAUGGUGCACAAUGUUUGUCUUCCCCUAUUGCUGAUGGUCUCCCACAAUAGUCUUCAAGAAUGUGUGCUUCAUUUUCAUCUGAUGUGUGUGUUACAAAAUGUUGAUGUUGACUUGUUUUUUCUGUUUCUUUUGCAAUUGCCUUAUCAGUCCAUUUGUGAGCAGGAAGUGGUUGACUUGUUUUAUCAUUCCAUGUACGUGUUUCAAAAGGUUCAUUUGCUUUUUCAAUCUCUCCUUCAGCUUCGGUUGCUUUCUCGGUCCAUGAAAAAAAUCCAAAAGGUUGACUUGUUUUAUCAUUCCAUGCAGGUGUUUCAAAAUGUUGGUUUGUGUUUUUCGUGUCCGCUUCAAUUUCUUUCUCGGUCCAAGAGAAAAACCCAAAAGGUUGAUUUGUUUUAUCAUUCCAUGUACGUGUUUCAAAAGGUUCAUUUGCUUUUUCAAUCUCUCCUUCAGAUUCGGUUGCUUUCUCGGUCCAUGAAAAAAAUCCAAAAGGUUGACUUGUUUUAUCAUUCCAUGUAGGUGUUUCAAAAUGUUGAUUUGUGUUUUUCGUUUCCGCUUCAAUUUCUUUCUCGGUCCAAGAGAAAAACCCAAAAGGUUGAUUUGUUUUAUCAAUCAAUGUAUGUGCUUCAAAAGCUGGAUUUGCUUUUUUAGAGUCUGCUUCAGUUUCUUUCUCGGUCCAUGAAAAAAAUCCAAAAGGUUGAUUUGAUUUAUCAAUCAAUGUACGUGUUUCAAAAGGUUGAUUUCUAUUUUUAGUUUGUGUUUUGGUUGCUUUGUCAACCCAUGUGAGAACUCCAAAAGGUUGAUUCACUUUUUCAGUUGUUUUUCGAAGCCAUUUGCGAGUACCAAAUGAUUGACUUGCUUUUUUGACUGAUACUUGUGUAUGUGAUUGUGACGGUUGAAUAUCUGAAUGUUUUUGAAUGCCCAAACUCAUUUUUUUUCCAGGAUAUAGGUCAUGUUCAAAAAAGACGGUCCAAUAUUGCUUCUCUUCUUUACCUUGGAUAGGCACACUUGUACCGCUUUCUACAACAUCAAAUGUCAAAUUAUAAGUCUUCGUGCGCUUAACUCAAAUCAUCUGGAUAUUACAUAAUAUAUGUAAGAAUUAGGGUUUAAAUCUCGGAUACUCCACUUAUUUACUUUAGAAACUAAUUUUUUAGCUAUUAUAUUACUUGACCUGAAAAAUUAUGUCAAAUUAACUCGUAUAUAAUCAUAUAUACGUACAGGCACCCAUAGGUCCUAAUAUGUCUUUGGAAAAUCGUGGGUAAAUACUUAAAACCAAUUAAAAUCAAUCAUGUGUACUUCAUUAAUAAUAUCAAACAUAAAAGUUAAGAAAAAUAGUUGAGUACGUGAUUGAUAUUUUUUUUUAGUGCAUGAUUAAUUUUAAUUGGUUGUAAAUAAUUUACAACAAUUUUUCAAAAGAAAUCUUGAAUUUACUAUUUUUAUUUUUUGUCAAGUAAUUUACUAUUUUUAGUUUCAAAGGUAGUAUAACUUGAAAAAAGUUGAUGUGCACAAAAGUUCAAUAACAGCGGAGAUAAAUUCAUCCCAGCUGAAUUUAUUGGUUCACUGUUGACUUGACUUUCACAAACAUUAAUUCGAGAUGCUAUUAACUUAGAUGUUGUGAGUUUACUUUCAGAUUCAUCCAUUACGUUUUUAGCGAUGUUUAACAUAUUAUCGUAUGUGAUGUACUCAUAAUUUGAAUGAUUGAAUAUCUUGUUUUUGUAAAAAAAACAUAUAUAGUAAAACAAAAUAUACUAAUUGCUAACAAAAAAAAACAUAUAUAGUGAAACAAAGUAAAACAAUAUUUCAUUACUAACCAGACAGCAGCAGAUCUGAAAGUGAUUUAGGCAUGAGAGUGUUAGGCCAAACAGAUUUCCAAUAUUCUUCCCCUGAUUUAGAGCCAUUGAUUCCCACGAGAGCUAGCUGAAAAAUAUAUUCAAGUUAGGAUGUAAUUGUCAUAGAAUACUGACUAAAAACUCAAAAUAGAAUAAAUAUUUAUUAAAAAUUAAUUAUUUAAAAGCAAAAUUAACCGGUUAACUUAAUUUCAAAUAACAAUUUAGUUAUGAGAAAUGUUAACUUGUGCUUAAGAUACAAGUUAAUGAGUCAAAAUAGAAAUAAUUUGAUGUAAUUAAUGCAUUUGAUUUUUUUUUUCACUUUUGAUUAAUUAAAUGCACAAAAUUUAAUAAAACAUUUUAAUUUUAGAUUUCUUAACAAGUGACCUAAGAGCAAAAGUUAGCAGGACCCGUUAUUUAUCUUUUUUUUUUAAUUUUUGUUUUGUCAUUUUGUACCAUUUGCAUAUGAAUUUUCAAACCUUAAAUUCACGGUUUUAUUUUCUUAUGGCAUUCCAAUCUUCAAAUUUAUGGUCUUCAUAUAUGUUUGAAAAAAGAAUAUUAGAUUUGAAAUUUGAAAAUCUAUAUGAAAAUAGACCAAAAGAACAAACUUAAAAUUAAAAAAAUAUACAAAAGACUAAUUCGUUAACCAAAAUUAAGUUAAGAGACCAAAAAUAAAAUUUUGUCUUCGUUAAACUAACAAACGUUCAAUUUUUCACUUUACAUUUUACCCAUUUAAAAAGAUCCAAAACCCAAAUUGAUGUGGACAACCCAUUGAAUUUGAACCGAAAUUAAGCUGGGUGUUUUGUUUGGGGACAAACUCCUAUAAAAUGACAAAUUCACUUUAAAAACUAAAAUGAGUAAUAUCAAUUAUUGAUAAAAUCAAUAAUUUUUUUCGCAUGCACCUGCAUAUAACAAAUCAUAGGUGCAUAAAAAUAUCAACCUUUGGUACAUGUUUCAUGAUUAUUUCUAAAAUUAAAUAUUGAUGGAAAGUUGAGACAACUAAUUAUAAGUGAUAAAAAUUUAAAAAAAAAAAUUAUAAGUGAUCAAGCCAAUCAGAAAAAAUCCUCUAAAAAAACAAAACAAAGCAGAAAAUAGCUUACGAAAAAAAUAGCUAAAACAGAUAGAUGUGUAAGCUCCAUUUGUUAUAUGCUGCAAUGAGUGUCUGAGUACGAACGACGUACUUGCAAUAUAUAUAGUGAAUUCAAAGGCCAUGCUCAUAAUUGACAUGCUGUCGUUUUGCAAUCCAAUUGAUGCAUUAACGAAUUAUUUAUGCUAAAUUAUUAACAAAUUAGUAAUUUUAAAUUACAAAUACCAAGAAAAAAAAUAUUUUAAAAAAAUCAUUAAUUAAAAAAUUAUUAUUAUCUAAAACAUAUCUACAUCACUGAAUUAGAUCAUGAAAAAUGAAAAAACAAAUGAAAAUAACUUCAUAUUAAUUCACAAUAUUUUUUUUUAUGAUAAACAAAGAGAGAGGACAGGCAUUAAGAGGCAACAUCGACAUCCUAACUAGGUAGGCACCACGAGAAACCUUCAUCCUAUACCGCCAAACGGUAAAGAUUUUAUUAAAAAAAAAAAGGGGGAAAAUAAUUACAAAGGAGGGGGCAAUAGGGCAAAACCCUCAAAAGAAAAAACAGAAAGCAGGAAAGAAAAAAAACAAUAGCAAAAAACACCCAAAAACAGACUAUGGAAAUCUAUAGUUGGGUAAACCACAUCUAUUCCGAAAGAAAUCAACGUUCAACUGAGUAGGAAGAGAAGAAAGGCAAACUGAACCCUGCACUGAGUAACCCAUAUUAGCUAGUUUAUCCGCACAACAGUUACCACGCGGUAAAUAUGAGAUGAAAUAACCUGAACUUCAAGGUUGCGUUCUGCUACAUAUUCAGAUGAGAGCACAAAUUCCUUACGAGUAAAUAGUCAAUUUCCCCCCUAAAAUUGUAAGUUUCAUCAAUUACCCCCUGAAAUUAACAAAACUUCAAUUACCCCCCUGAAAUUUCACAACGUUAGUCAAUUUACCCCCUCCGUCAAAUUUUUCUGUUAGUGAACAUGACGUUUUGCAAAUAUCCCCCUGAAGUUUUGCACUUAUGUGCAAAAUGACCCCCAAACUUAAAAGUUUAUAUUAUUUUUUUCUUAAAAACAAACAAUUAAUAGUUAAAUAUUAAAGCUAACUAUUAAUUUUGGAGUUUGGAAAAACUACAUACAUAUAUACAUCAAAAUAGGGAAAAAUGUGUAUUUUUAAAGUGACAAUAAUGGUUAUUUCCAAUAGACAAAUUAUUAUUUUUAGAGGUUUAUAAACAAAUUAAUAAUCAGAUUUAAAUUUAUAUUUUCUCCUUCACCAUCUUAGUUUUUUAACUCCUCCAACUCCUUCAACAAUUUGCUCAAACCAUUUAAACUACACAACCCCCAAUAUUAAUCCACAAAUCAUCCCAUUAUUGUCAAUUUAAAAAAUACAUAUUUUUCCCCAUUUUGGAGCCUAUUUUGAUGUAUAUAUGCAUGUAGUUUUCCCAAAUUCCAAAAUUAAUAGUUAAUUUUAAUAUUUAACUAUUAAUUGUUUGUUUUUAAGAAAAAAAUAAUAUAAAUUUUUAAGUUUGGGGGGCAUUUUGCACAUAAGUGCAAAACUUCAGGGGGGGUAUUUGCAAAACGUCAUGUUCACUAACAGAAAAAUUUGACGGAUGGGGUAAAUUGACUAACGUUGUGAAAUUUCAGGGGGGUAAUUGAAGUUUUGUUAAUUUCAGGAAAAUAAUUGAUGAAACUUACAAUUUCAGGGAAGAAAUUGACUAUUUACUCAAUUCCUUACUAUUUUAACUAAGAAUAAUGCUAAAUACAGUGAAACCUUUUAUCCGAUAUCACGAAUGUCGUGUCACUGUUUUAUCUAUGCCAAGCAUUUUCUCUCGUCAAAGUUUAUCUGUUUCGUAUUCCAUAACAAAAACUUCGUUGUUCCAUUUUCUUUUCCCUUUUCCAAUUUUAAUCUCUCUUCAACCUCACCCUUUCUUCUUCCACCAACUAAACAUUCAACAAGUAAAGUAAUUAAUUACAAAUAUUUAGUUUUUCUCUGACUAUGUAUCUUGACUAAGUCAAAAUUAAGAACCAAAAUUGAAGAGUUUAUAUUCUCUCUGUUGACGAUACUAGGGAAUUUUUUUUUUCUGCCCUAGUUUAUGCCAAAAAAUACAAAAAUGCUCCACUUUUUUGAAAAAUUGUACAAAUGCCCUACUUUUUGAGAUGUCUCUGGUACCAUUCUACUUGGAGUUGCGGGGUACCCUAAAAAGUGACGGAAAUUUUGUCUUUAUUAUACCCCUCUAAUUGAAGUUGCGGGGUAUUUUUAGAUUUUUUUUUCAAUUUUUUUAAAUACCCCUCCAUUUUGACUUGCGGGGUAUUUUUGGGCUUUUUAUUUUUUAUUUUUAAAUACCCCUCUACUUGGAGUAGAGUGGUAUAAUAAGGACAAAAAAAAAAGUGAAGGAUAGGAAUACGUGUGUAUGUAUGCAUAAAUAAUAAUAUUAAUAAUAUUAAUAAUUUAAUUUAAAAAAACUAAUUAAAAUUAUACAACAAAUAAAACACCAUAAAAUCUGCAAUUAUUAUGAAACAUGUAUUAUUUCAUCUACUAUAAAUACUUCAUUUCAUUUUUCAAUUUAUCACACCAUUUCAACUUAUAUUAAUAAUAUUAAUUUAGGCAUUAAUAAAAAAGUAAUUAUAAUAAUAAUCAUAAUAUAUAUAAAAUAAAAAACUUACCAAAUACAAUAAAUAUGAAAUAAAGACUAGAUUUCUACUGAUGUCUAAUAUUAAUGCAAUCUUUGCGGGAAUAACCAGGCAUCCUACAAACGCCGCAUCUUCUCUCAGUUUCCACAUCGUCCAUCUCGAUCCUAAUGCGAGUAAUUGGUGUACGACCUUUCUUUGCCCUACGCAUGGACUUGUUGGGAACCACCUUCAGUCCUUCAUAAUCAGGCCAAUAUGACUGGUGGUGAACCACGUCGAAGUGGAUGUUGUAUACGGCAUAUACACACUCAUUCGUGAAUUUGUUAUACUUUACCUCGCAUGCGGCCAAGAUCACUCACCCCAAGUCAUGCGUAUACUAAGUGGUUGACAACCACAUGCAACCUACGUCUAAGGAUUUCAAUUGACACAAAACCAUUAGAUUCAGAUCCAGACGAAGAAGAAGAGCUGGAACAUGAACCUGAAAUUCACAACAACCAAACAUCAAUUCAUGAUGAUUUUUGGGAUCAAGACAUUUUUUCUCAACUACAAGAUCAUCAAUCCCAACGACAUACAACAAAAAACAUACAUGGUUCUGUAAUGUAUAAUUUUCUCGACACCCCCCAACAAAAUAUUAUCCAACCACCACCAUAUACCUCCCCGAGAAAUGCAUAUGAGCUCCAUUAUCGGUCAGCUUACCAACAAAAUUCAAUGCCAAACUAUGGUUACAAUGACCCAAACCAAGCUAGCACAUCCAACAACAACUACUUCUCCUAUAAUGACCCAAACCAAGCUGGUCCAUCCAACACCAAUUAUCCCCCCUACAACAACCCGCAAUACCCAAUGUACACCAACCAAAACUACAAUCACCCACCAACACCAACAAACCUACUAUCUCACUUCUCUCCGGCUUCGUUGGACUCCAAUGAACAAUUUCUGGAUAUGGGAUGGCCAACAACGGAACACGAUGUGUCGUUGUCGUUGUGUUAUGGUAGUCAAAUACAAUCAACUACAGAUAACAAUGACGAAGACCAACAUGACCCUCAAGUAAAUCGCGGAAGACAUCGUCGAAGACGAGGGUAUGGGACAAUAGGGCAUUUAUAAUAAUUGUAAUUGAUUAUUAUUAUUAUUAUUAAUAUUAUUAAUAUUAUUAUUUAUGCAUGCAUACACACGUAUCCCUAUCCUUCACUUUUUUUUUUGUCCUUAUUAUACCACUCUACUCCAAGUAGAGGGGUAUUUAAAAAUAAAAAGAAAGCCCAAAAAUACCCCGCAACUCCAAGUAGAGGGGUAUAAUAAAGACAAAAUUUUCGUCACUUUUUAGGGUAUCCCGCAACUCCAAGUGGAGUGGUACCAGAGACAUCUGAAAAAGUAGGGCAUUUGUGCAAUUUUUCGAAAAAGUGGGCCAUUUUUGUAUUUUUUGGCAUAAACUAGGGCAGAAAAAAAAUCGAUACUAGGUGGGUGGUUUUGUUUUCUUUCCCAAAUUCUUUUCAACAUCUUCUUGUAUGUAGAUCUAAUUCUAAACUUCUCAUUACACUCAAGCGGAACAGAAUUGAAGAAGAUAGCUCAUAUAUUCAACCACACUGUUUUCCAGAAUACAUGUAUAUAUGUAUCUCUUAAAGCCAGUGGGGCUGGUCACGAUAUUUUCCCACUCCAGUCGUCACAUGAAUGUACCUUACUGUAAAUUUGAGAAAAUUCUAAACAAACAGUCAACAUCAGAUUAUAAACACAGUUUGAGGACUUUAAGGGUUGUAAUUUGUCUUAGGUUAAGGGUAGAUAUAUUUGGGAAUGCAUGCUAACAAAGAAACAUAUAGUUAGAUUAUUAACCUAUAGAUUCCUACUAAACAUUGAUCUAGUGAUAACAUUCCUUCCUUGAAUCAAAGAAGAUGGGUACUAAGUAGAACUAUUUAUCUUUUUCUUUUUCAACAUAAACUUUUAAGAGACCAAAUUUUUUAAAAGAAAUUAUUGCUCGAGGCUUGAAGUGGUUUCAUAAAGGAUAAUAAAAAUAUAUAAAAGGAUGGCUUGAAAGGCUCAAGGUACCAAAGAAAAAAUUUCCUCGUGUGUAAUAUAACAUGACUGAUUGGUCGUAAAGAAUGACCGCAAAUUUGAGCAAAAAUAACAUUUAUAUGGACCACUCUAGAUAGAAAGAGCUAUAGUAGUAGAAUGGAUGGAAAUAUUUGGCUCAAAUUCUCACCAGUUAUGUUAUUCAGAAAAGAGAUGGUGAUUAAUAUUAGUACCUUCAGUAGUAAGCCCAAAAGUUAUCAUGCUCUUGAAUGUAACGGUAAACUUAGACUCCCAUGUAAGUGUUCUGAAAUAACUCUCUAAGACUAAAACAAAUUAAGCAUAAAUGGAAAGGUUAUAUAUGUAAUGCAAAGAAAUAAAAUUUUAUAUGAUAAUACUGAGGAUUAACAACAAUAAAAGAAAGGAAAUUGUGAAGAAAAGAAAUCUCAACUUAACUUAUUGAAAAGGAAAAUAUAUGCGGAAAAUAGAAUGAUGGGUUGCCUCCCAUUAAAUGCUUAUUUGAGGUGACUCGCUUGACAAAAUAGGUUGCUUCCUUCAAGCUAUGUGUCUUCCUUCUGACCUUCAACAUUUAGGUUGGCUUUCUCCUUUGGAAUAACUCUCUGCCAUAGGUAACUAUAUUGCCCAGAAACCUUGUAGGUAAUGCAGUCUUAUCCCAAUCUGAUGACAAUUUCCCCUUCAUCCACAUUUAUUAUAGCUCGGGCACCGGUAGAAAAGGUCUCCCCAAGAUCAUUUGAACUCUAUCAUUUCCUUUCAUUUCCAUAACUACUACAUCGAUAGGGAAAGUGAAUCCAUCUACAUUUAUAUUCACAGUCUUUAUCACACCUUCAACAUUUUUAAGAGAACCGUCAGCAAUUCAUAUUCUUACUUUGCAUGAUUUUAAUUUCAUUCCUCCAAUCUUGUUGAAAAUUGAUUGUGACAACAUGUUUAAGCUAGAUCCAAUGUCACACAUCACUACUCCCAAAUAAAAGUCUCUGAUGGUAACUGGUAUGCUAAAACAACAUGGGUCUUCUUUCUUCUUUGGAGACUGGUCUUGAUACUCCUUGAGAUCUUCUUUCACAAAGUUAAUCUAUUUGCAAUAGAGCAAAGUUUAUCUGUUUUGAUUGCAGAAUGUUAGGGGCGGUUGAGAUUCUUCAAAUCCUCUCUAUCUAUUUGUUGGAAUUAAUUAACAGUCAAGUCUAGUUCAGUAUUCUAAGUAGACUAUGUAAGUGAUGUGUUCGUUGGGACGUUAUAACCUAAUCAGCUAUCAUGUUGCACCUGCUGGUCAUACGAUGAUCCUUACUUGUGAGGUCUUACUCUCUGAGAGACGUAGGUCUAUCCCUCCACCUGUUGAGUUGCACCUGCUGAUCCACGUGACGGUUCGUGGGGGACUUACUCCCUCAGAGGUAAUUGAAACAUCGACUUAUUCCCAAUGUUCCUAAAGGUACCCUUAUCUAUGAAUCUUAGAAGUACAUAACACACUCUCCCUCUUAGUAAUUCUACAAACAGACAGCCCUAUCAGCGUCUACCUUACCAAGGUGAAAGGAGAAUGAAGUUAAUUGACUGAUUUAGAGGUAAGAGUGCAUAGUAUAAACAUUUGAUGAUUUUUUUUCGAAAUUGCAUUGCCUCAAUCGAUUCAAAUAUAAGCUAAUUGAUUCACAUAACUUGAUUUGAAUAUAGGCAACAUAUGAAGAUUGAAUCGAUUGAAAUAAAAAAUGAACUAAUUUGAAAUAUAUCUAUAAAGAUUGAAUCGAUCCGAUGAUCAUUCUAUUCAAGAGUCUAUUGAUUCAAAACUGAGUCUGAAACUCCCUUAUUUUGGUGAAUAGAUUAAGACAAUUAGUUAUGACUUUUUAAAUCGAUUCAAAUGUACAAAAAUAAAUUUAGAACUCUCCAUUUAAUGUGAAUUGAUUCAAGCUGUCAGUUUUGACUUGUAGAAUCAAUUCAAGUACAGAAAAAUUAUUUUAACUUACUUAAAAAAACACAUGACACCCAUAAACAAACACAUUAUUUUAUGCAUGCAAAUAGUUUUAGUGCAGGGUGAUAAGAUAUUAUAAACUUAGAGGGACAAAUCACACAUAAUUUAAAACUAUCCUAUAGUGCAAGACAUCACUCAAAACCUAAAUUACUAGAACAAAGAGUAUGAAAAUACAAAUUUGUCUUUUAAAAAUAAAUGUGGGUUUAAGUGUGGAUCAUACUCUUUUUAAUAAAAUUUUAUAAAAUAUUAUUUUGCUUUAUUAUUAUUUAGUAUUGUAUCAUAUUCCUUAAAAAAAAUUAUUUAGUAUCAUAUAAUUUAUUUUUCUUGUAACCAAAAAAAAUAUCAUUUAUUUUUCUUGUAACCAAAAAAAAUAUCAUUUAUUUUUCUACUAAAAAUACUAAAUGUUCAUUCUUGGACCAUGUUUGAUUGUUUUAUAUUAGACACGCCAAAAUAUACACAUAUAGUGGUACAUAUUUAAUAUAAUAUUUCAAUUUAUCACAAUUUUUUUUCUUCUAUAUUCAUGUCACUAUAGUCAUUUACCUUUGUAAACGCUUAGUUUAUCUUACAACUUUGGUUAUUUUGAAAAGGAAAAUGCUAAGGGAAAAUGUUGUGAUAAAAAUUAUGUAUUUAUAAUUGUCUCAAUUUAUUUUUCAAAAAUUUGAUGAUUACCUUUUUUUCAAUAAAUGUUUCAUAUUUGUGGAAAUCUUAACAUAUGUCAAAAUGACAUAUGUUAGCAUGAUCCAUUUGAAAAUAAAAAUUAUUUUUACUAAUAAAUAAGUUUAUAAGAAAUAAAUAAAUUCAUUAUUUUUAAAUAUAUAUCUAUAUCAAUAUAAAAAGGGAAUAAAGAAUUUUGGGUUGUAUUAUACAUUAUUUCAAUCAUACCGCUAAACAUAUUUGCCUAUGAGAACUUUUUUAUCGUGGUGGCCGGGGUUUGAACGCUGACCUUGUAUAUAUUGCAUCAUUCAAACCAACUGAACUAAGUUUCCAUGAUUAUUGAAAAAAAAAAAAAAAAAGAAUUUUAUUGUAUAGUUAUAUUAUUGGUAAAUGAUAAACAUAGUUUCUUAUUUAAUUGAUGUUUACCCCUGUCAUUUAAGUAAGUUUUAGUUUACUCCCGUAAAAAAAAAAAAAAAAAAAGAGUAAGAGAUUUUCCCUUAUAAUUUGAAUAUUCUUUGAUUUUCAGCCAUGAGCCCAACUCAUUGUUCAAAUAAGUUUACCUGGCGCAUUGAUUGGAUAAAAUUGUGUCUUUGACUCGUUGAGUUUGAAUUUUUAAUUUUUUAUUUCCAAUUUUUUUUUAUUCUAUUAGAAAUUCUUUUAAUAAAAACUAAAUUUAAAUAACUUAAAACAUUAAAAAAAAUCAAAUGAAAAAGACAUCUAAAACAUUCAUCCUACAAAUCUUCAUCCUUCAAACAUUCAUCUUCAUCUUUGUAACCCCACAACCUUCAUCUUCAUCAACCCCAAACUAAAUACUCAUCACUUCAACCCAAAUAAUCAUCUAAAACCUUCAUCAUCAUCAAUCAUUCAUCACCAAAUUCAUCAACAAUUCAUAUGGUUCGUCAUAUUCAUUUUCAAAAUUCAAAACCGAAACCUUUAAAUAUGAAACCCAUAAUUCAUCAUCAAGUUAAAUCAAUCAAAUCCAAAACCCAAAAUUUAGAGACCGUACUCUAAAAUCAAAACACUUAAUUCAUGUGGUUUGCUUUGCUCUUUUUUUUUUUUUUUUUUUUUUUUUUUUUUUUUUUAAAUUCAGCCAAAGUUUAUUAAAGGGUCAGCACUCACAAGCUGUGCGUGUGGUGAUACAAGGAAAUGAACUUACGAAAAAGAUGGAGUUUUUUUUGUUAGUGCAAAGAAGAUGAAGUUUAUGCUCCUUUUAAUUUGUAUUCCUUUUAAUUCUAAUUUUAAUUUAUUUUAAUAAAAGAAUUGCAAAUGUAAUUAAAAAAAUUAGAAAUUAAUAAUAAUUCCAAGUUAUCAUGCCAAAUCAUCAAUUAUUUACAAUCAACACGACAUGUCAGCUUAUUUGCACAAUCAACUAAGCUCGGGGUUGAAAACCAAGUAAUCUUCAAAUUAUAAUGGGGACUUCCAACUUUUCUUUUUUAUAGGAGUUAAACCAAAACCUACUCAAAUAGCAGGAAGUAAACAUCAAUUAACUCUCUAAUUUAAAAGUCACAAAUAUCUAUAUCUAUAAUAUUAAAGGAAAUUAUUUUGAACAUAAUCAAAUUUUUUUUGGUCAACAUAAUCAAAAAAAAUUAUAAACAAUGUUUAUAAUUUACCCUGAUUCACGCGGUAUAAAAAACAAAUAGACAGAUAUGAAGUGAUCGUUCUACUCUCCCUUUUUAGCCAUAAAUUCUGACAACUAAUCAUGCAUGUCAGAACAGUAGGAGCAGCACAUAAGAUCAUAACAGGAGUAAACUCGACACACUUUGGUCAUCACUUUCUGAUCCAUCAUUCUCAUCACCAACAGACACAUAAUUAACAUUCUCAUGAUCAGAAACCUUCUUAUUUUGGGAUUUUUCAUUAUCAGAGACUGACUCUAUAUGAAGGUGCACCGUGUCUCUGUGAUUGACGACCUUAUGCCUUUAACACGCAUAUAACCUUAGGUGUAAUGGUUGGAACACAACAGUCGGAGGGUAUAAACCCCACAAACUUAUCACUAAAAUGGUUACCAUUUAACCAAUCCCUAAAUAACUUGAUUGUUACUUAAUUCAAAUAAAUAAAUAGAGGAGAGAUUCGAAAAAUCUUAUCCGCCGCUAACAUUUUUUUCAUGAAGGUUUUAGAUUGAAUCGAUAAAUUAGUCAAUUGAAUAGAAUAAAACGAUUAUAAUAGGGAGGGGAUAUGAUAUGGUGGCGUCUUUAAAAAAAAAUUAUAUGGUGGCGUUUUUCAAUGCUUUUCCUUUGCACCCCUUAAUAAUUUCUCUAUAAAAUGAGUUUAUCAUCAUCAUCAGACACAAGUGUCAAUAAUAUAAAGUAUUCGGAUGCAUUAUUGAUAUUGUUUUGUAUGUUAUUGUUGACUGCUGAUUAUUAGGCCGUGAUUGCAUUUAGAAAACUAAAUAUAUUGAGCUUUCAUGAUGUUUUGUUAUAGUACGUAUUGAAAGAGACGGAAGAUCUUUAGAGAUAACUCCUUUUUCUUUCUUUUUUGGAAAUAGAUAAUAUUUUUUUUUUAAGUUUAAAGAUGAGGUGGAAAUGGAUCUUUGCUGCAACACUUGGAUCAUAUAUUAAUAGAAGUUAGGCUAAAUUACUUAUUUGGUUUUUAAAUAAUAUUUUUGUCACGUAUUUAAUAAAAGUUUUAGUUUGGUCCUUUAAGAAUGUUUCUGCCAAUCUACGAAGUAAGAUGGUCGGAUUUUGGCAAGUGUGCCGAAUCAUUUAUCAAGUAAUAAAGUGAUAAAUAUAGUAUCGUAUCUAUAGUGAUUGUCAUUCCAACUAAGCAAUCCGUGUUACUUAUUCAGAACAUAAAACAAUUAACUAAAAUAACAAAAAAAAUAAAAUUGUGGGGAGUUUGUGCAAUUUGAUAUGUUUCCUUCGAGCGAGAGUUUAUAAGUAACCUGUUUUUCAUUACAAAAUGUUAGCGCAGAUAUGAUUUUUCGAAUCUCCUCUAUUUAUUUGUUGGAAUUGAGUAACAAUCAAGUUGUUUAGGAAUUGGUUAAAUGGUAACCAUUUAAGUGAUAAGUUUGUGGGGUUUUAUCCCCUCCGGCUGUUGAGUUCCAACCAUUACACCUAAGGUUAUAUGCGUGUUAAAGUCAUAGGGUCGUCAAUCACAGAGACACGGUGCUCCUUCGCAUAGAGUUUUAAGUGAGGUCCUUACUCUCAAAGGUAAUUAAAGCAUAAACUCAACUUAGAGUUCAUAAAUUCUCAUUAGUCCUAAAGUUUCCCACAUUUAUGAAUCUUAGAAGUACAUCAUCAUAUUCUUCAUCUUGGUAGUUCUACAAACAUAUAACCCUAUCUCGUCUUCCAUACCAAGGACGAAAGCUGAUUAAAAUUGUUAUGCUAGUUCCUAGGUUCAUUUACCGUUGUUAUGACAUGAGUGUAAUUUUAAAUGCUCGAGGAGCACAUAUCACAUAUGGGAGGCGCACAAGUGUUAUUUUGUGUGCCCGGGGUGCAUGAAAAACACCCAGGGGCGCCUGAGUGUAAUUUUAAGUGCCUGAGGUGCAUGGUUCACACCCGGGGUGGGGGCACAGGCACAUUUUCUGGCGCGUAUUUGCCUGUUUCGUCAUCUUUUUGGUAUUUUCUUCCAUAUAACUUUUCUUGAGACUUAGAACAAAAUCUCUCCUUCUUGUAGUGUCUUCAGCGGCCUCUUGAGUCUUCAUUCAUAGUCUUCUCAAAUACUCUUUGUCGAUUUGCAUGACUUUGCCUUGAAUUACAUCAAAAACUCCAUUGAACUGCUUGGUAUCGGGAAAACUGAAAUUACAUGACUCAAAAUGAAAACAUUAAAAAAGAUUCUGAAAACCAGAAGCAAUUGUUCUAAAACUUCUCUAACUUAGAUAAAAACUACUGAAAAUAUGCUAAAAAUAACAUCAGAUGACCUGUCAUCACAACCCCAAACUUAAAUUGUUGCUUGUCCUUGAGUAAUUAAUGAAAGAGAAUAAAUUAUAAACAUUGCAUAUUUUUCAGGAAAAACAUACCUUUUCGAAGAGGUUGCUCAGAUCAUCAUCUCGUCCCAUGUACAUACUUGACUAACUUACCACUUCAAUGCAAGUGGGACAAGCUUAAAGAAUAUAAUUCAUUCUCUCAGCAACACUAUUUUCCAGAUUACACGUAUGUAUCUCCUAUAGACAGUAGGGUCAGUCACGAUAUUUGCCCACUUCAGUCGUCACAUGAAUGUACCUUGCUAUAAAUUUGAAACAAUUAUAAACAGACAUUCAAGAUCAUACUAUAUACACACUUUGAGGUCUUUGAGGGUUAUAAUGUAGCUUAGGUUAAGGUGGAAUAUAUUAGGGAAAAUAGGCUAACAAAACAACUUGGAGUUAGAUUUUCAACUUAUGAAUUCCUACUAAACAUUGAAGUAUUACCUGUCUUUUUUUUCCUUAAACCAAAACAAGAUGGGUACUAAGUAGAACUUUUUUUCUUUCAUUUUUUAAAAUAAAUACAUUUUUUUAAGAGACCAAAAUUUUUAAUAUUUUUGGCUCUUGAUUUUUUUUCUUUUUCUAUUUGUUUUUGUAUACCCAUAUUUUUGUAUGGUUUUAUCUACAUUUAUUUUUCAUUUUUGAUAAAUAAGUUUUAGUGGUACCCACCCUAAAUCUAAGAUGUUGCAAAUUUCAAAUAGCAACCCCAAACUUAGUUUUAAAUCAUACAAAGUUAUUCAAAAUAUUCUAUCAAACUCCAAGAGGCGUGUCAGUGUGUUUCAUGGUGCGGCCAGAUGGAGGAUGCUCGUCACUUACUCUUGUUAUGUCCGCGCUUUGGGUCGCUGUGGCCUUUGGUGCGGUCCUGGAUAGGUUUCGAUGGUGUUGAUCAUGAUGAUAUUGCUGACCACUUUAUUCAGUUUACUAAUUAUACAGGUGAUUCGAAAUCCCGAAGAUCCUUUAUGCAGCUUAUUUGGCUUCUAAUAGUAUGGGUGUUAUGGAAUGAAAGAAAUGCUAGAUUAUUUAAACAGAAAGAAUGAUCUCUAGUUCUGCUAUUAGACAAAGUAAAAUACCAUUAUUUGUGGUGGCUGAAAGUCAAAAAGGCUAUUUUUGUUUAUGGUGAACACAUGUGGUGGUCUAGUCCUUUGUCAUGUUUAGCCUUUAGGCAUUGGAUAGAUUCUCUUUGCAUGUUUUGUGAACUACUUCUUUUCUAGUGGUCUUUUUGGCACAUCUUGUGAUGGGGAGAUUACUAUUGCAGUGUUAAUAUAAUUCCAUUUUUGCUUGUUAAAAAAAAAAAAAAAUCUAUCAAACUCCGAGAGAAAUCAAAUAGAUGACAUUAAGGUUAAGAACUUUUGACAUGACUCGUCACUAAAUAACAACAAAUGAAAUUAUUGUAUGGAGGUUUAAAUCGGUUUGAAAAAGGAUGAUGAUGAUGAUGAUGAUGAUGAUGAUGAUGAUGAUGAUGAUAAUAAUAAUAAUAAGGUUGGCUUGAAAGGCUUAAGGUACCCAAAACAAUUGCCUCGUGUGUAGUUAUUGGUUAAAUUUUGGCAAGCGUACCAAAUCAUUAUCAAGUAAUAAAGUGUAAGUAGAGUAUCGUAUCCGCAUGGAUUGUCAUUCUAACUAGGCAAUUCACGUUACUUCACUGGGAGCAAUAAAUAAAAUAAAAGAUAAAAGGGGUUUUGCAAUUUAGUCUAUUUGUACCAGAGCAAGAGUUUAUGAAUUAACCUGUUUUUUAUUGCAAAGUUUUAGCGGCGGUAAGGAUUCUUCGAAUCCCCUUUAUUCAUUUGUUGGAACUAAUUAAUGGUCAAACAUUAUUCAGUUUCUUACUUCUUAUAUCUAAGUGAUGAGUUCGUGAGGUUUUACUGCUUACCAGCUGUCAAGUUGCACCUACUUAUCACACGAGAUUUUACAUGUGGGAUUUUACUCUCUCAGAGGUCAGGUUCAUUCCCCUCCAGCUUCAGUUACAACCAUACACCAGAGUUUCUACACGAUUCAAUAUUUAGGGUCGUCAAUCUCGUAAGGAGAUACACUUUUGCGCGUAAAGGUACGUGUAGAUUCUUACUUUCUCAUAGGUAUUUGAAUCAAUGUCGGAUAUUAGGGUUCCUAAAUUCACUGUGUCCUAAAGGUUCCCUCGUCAAUUGAAUCUUAUAAGGAGAUCAAUAUAUUCUCCGUCUCAGUAGUUCUAAAAACGGGCAACCUUAUCUCGUCUACCUCACCAAGGAUGUAAGAAGAAUAAAGUUACUAUGCUGAUUUAAAUCUCCGAGUUACUACGUUUCCCUAAUUGUGUGGCCCGCUAUUAGUUACUUUCUGAUUCGGAUAGGUUUCACCAAUAUUAGGAAUGUAAGCUACUUAAGUACUAUUAUCUUAGGUUUGGUUCGCUCUAUAGAAGCAAACUAUUACGCUACGGUAAAAUUAAUAGGAUUCAUAAAAUAAUUGAAUAAAAAAAUUAAAUUAAAAUAAUUCAACAAACAAAAUAUAAAUUCAUCUUAAAACCCUACCUUAAUGGGGUUUAGCUUCUCAUGGUAACUAAAGAAAAAUUACAAAAGAAAUAAAACAUACCCUAAAGACUUAGAGUGAGGAGAGAGACUCCUCCCCUUGAAGCUCCUAGUAUUUCCUUCCUCUUGAACCGAUUCAUUUGAAUGAGAAAUAAUGAAUGAGAGAUUUAGCAUUUAUAGGCAAGUUUCCAACUGAGUUUGGGUCGAAAAACUGUGCCUUUUCCACUGAAAAAGUGGAAAAUGUAGUUCUGGCCUACUCCCAGGAUGCUCAAGGUACAUGGCUGGGUUGCAUAAGCCAACAAUUUGUGCUCUAGGCGUGUGCUUCAUGCUUAAGGCACAUGAGUGUGCGUUUCUGCAGGUAAUCGCAUGUUUCUUCAUUUUUGGGGGUGUUUGCUUCCAUAUAAGAUGUCUUGGGACUUGGGAACAAAAUUUCUCCCUUUGUAAUUGUCAUACCCCAAAUUUUGACCACUUUUCUCUAUUCUUACCCAUUUUAUUCGUAUUUUUAAAGUCGGGAAUUUUCGUCGUUUCAGACGAAAUUUCGGCAGAGAGGUUACUUUGAAGUACCUCAUUUUUUAUUCCGAGUCGGGCCCUCUCCACACUUUUUAUUUAUUAGUCUUUUAGUUUUAUUUUUUAAUCUUCCAUCUUUUAGUUUUUCCUCUCUUCUUUAUUUUUAUUCAGUUUUACCUUUAUCUCUUAUUUUUAUUAUUAUUACUUCCAUUUUUAGGUCUUAUUUUUCGUUUUUCUUUUUUAUGGUAAUAAAUGUCAAAAAAAUAAUAAAGUGUCAAUAGGUUAGAAAUUUUUUGUCCGAGGUCCUUUCUUUGCUCUGCUCAAACACGCCACCUUCAGUGGCAAAAGUUACUCAAGUCAGCUUUUUCUUUGCAAAUCAAGCUAAAACGUGUUCCAACCUUUAACAGUCACUUAAUCACCCAUCAAGCCAAUUCAUGGUCCUUUAAUCUAUUUCCUUUUAAGAAUUUGUAUCAGCCUUUAAAAGAAAAAGAGGAAAUCAGAACAGGGGGACGAUUUUUCCACAACCAAAAAAGCAUCAUCAAACCCUAGCCGCAAACCUGCAUACAAAAAUCAAAUAAAUAAAAACCUGCAACACACAAACUUUCACAGAGUCACCAAUCAGUAGCCGCACAGUCAAACUCACAAACCCUAAUUCUCCCAAAGUUUCAGAUCUGUUCAGAUCAAACACUCUUUUUCCAAAAAAUAAUUUGAAUCUUCAAGCUUAGAUCUAGCCCAAAUCUCUCUACCCUUUUUAAAAAUAACUUCAAAAUCGUGUUUAGAAGGAGAAAGAGAAGAGGAUAGUCAAAAAAAAAUUUAAAAAAAAAACAAGUUUAGUUUUCCAACGCGGUGGCUCCGCCGCCGGAAAUCGGCCGGCGCCGCGUCGGACCACCUUCCUCCUUCUUCUCCGACAGAAACUUUUAUAGAGAGAGGGGAGAGCAUUUUGUGUUAUAAGUUUUUAGAGAGAGAAGUAAAUUAAGUUAUGUGUGUUUUGUGUGUGAGAUUGCUAUAUAUAUAUCCCCCUGAUACCAUGCGUGCGCCACCGUAAUGUUCACCAUACUCCGUUGUUUUUUAUGCCAUCAGAUCUGGAUUGUUCCAGGAUCUGAUGGCUACUGUGUGUUUUGAUCUUGAAUCAUGUGUGUGUUCUCCUGUGUGAAAUAUGGUGUAUUUUCUGUUUGAACCGUCAGAUCGUUGAUCUGACGGUCACUGUGUUUCCUGUGUUAUUUCUCUGCUUUUGUGCUGUUUUUUUUUUAAACCGUUAGAUCUUAGAUGUUGUGGCUGUGAUGAGAUUUUCCUGUGAUUAGAUCUAGACCUUCCGAUUCAUCAUACGGUCCAGAUUAUCCAGUCUGAGCCCACCAUUUUUAAAAUUCACUACUGUUUUACUUUUGUCACCACUGUUUUUACUUUCUGCACCUUUUUGUUUAAAAUUUCCUAAAAAAAUUUACAAAAAUAUUUUUACUUUGUGUUAAUCAUUUAUUUACUGUUUUUAUUAUUGUUAUAGUAUAUUUGUAUUAGUAUUUUGAAUCAUCUCAUGCAUGUUUAAUUUUUGUCAUCUUAUUUUAUUGUUAUUAUUUUUAGUGUGUAUUUAGGAAUUGAUGUAAUUUAAUUUGUGCACUUUAUUUUUCUUGUCGUUUAUUUUCUCUUGAGGCUUUAGCAUGUAUCUAGGUCCCUUGUAAAUAUCCAUAAAUGAGAAUAUGCACCGACACAUGCACCGACACUUUACCUUUAUUUCUUGUUACGUUACGACGUUACUUUAGUUUUCACCGUUAGUUUAAAAAAUCAUUUUCCAGAAAAAAUCAAAUAUGCAAAACUUCAAAAAUAUUUUCUUAAGUAAAACUUGGUUCGUAACCCAAGUGUUUUCCUUUUUAUUUUCUUAAUCAAAUGCUUAAUUGAAUUAAUAUUCAUAUUAGACUUGAUUUGCUUGUAAUUAAAAUUUGAACAACCUCACCUUAUUUUUUUCUCUCAUGCCUUGAGGCCUCUAAUCUCUUCUUAAAACCUUUUUUUUCAAAAUUGUUAAAAUCAACCUAACCCACCAAAAAGAAAUUUUUUUAGGUGAACUACAUUGGUUUUGAUCCCUAUUCUUUAAGGGUAUGUAGGCAUAGGAUUUUUAUCCUUCCAAAUCAAAUAAAAAUAACCAAAAACAUACUUCUUCUCCCUCCAUUCUUUCACUUAGACUUUUAGGUAAUAACUUUCAGAUAAGCAAUGAAUUUAGCACAAGAUAAAUUAGGUAAGAGGUUCCUACGGAGUACCGUAGACGCUUAGGAUGCUAGCACCUUCCCUUCGCGUAACCAACCCCCGAAUCCAAAGUCUCGAUAAGGGUUUUUACUCAUUUUUUUCCCUUCCCACGAAUAAAAAUCGAGAGUUCAAAGAUUGACGAUUCAAAUCAAUUAAUGGUUUGUUAUCCGAAAAUCACGAGCACAGUAAUGUUUUCCAAAUCAUCUUGAAUCUUCAUUCAUGGUUUUCCCACGAUCUUUACAAGUCUUCAAGAUGUUCUUCUUUGCCGAUUUGCAUGAUUUCUUAUUGAAUUACAUCAAAACACCCAAGAAAUGCUAUGUUUUGGUAGAAUUACAUGACUCAAUUAGAAAACAUUACAAAUGUCUUAAAAACAAUAGGAAUUUUUUUCUAAUACUCCUCUAUUCUAGAUUAAAACUAAAUGAAAAUGACUAAAAAACAUGCUAAAAAUAACGUAAGAUGACCUUUCAUUAGUAGUAUAACAUCAUUGAUAUUAUAUAAAGAACGAACAUAAAUUCAAGUAAAGAUAACAUUCAUAUAGAACACUCAGUAUAGAAAGAAUUAUUGUAGAAGAGUGGAUUGAAUAUUUGGCUCAAUUGUCACUGGUUAUGCUAUACAUAAAAGAUAUGGUGAUUAUGAUGAGUAUAUCUUUCUCUUGAACUUCGGAGGUAAUCUAGCCCUCGGUUGUAAAUGUUCUUAAAUAAAUUUCUGCGUCUAAAACUAAUUGAACUUGAAAUGAAGAGGUUAUUGAUUGUCGGAUUAGGCAAGUGUGCCAAAUCAUUUAUCAAGUAAUAAAGUGAUAAGUAGAGUAUCGUAUCCACAAAGAUUUUCGUUUCGUCUACACAUUUCGCAUUACUUAUUUGGGAACAAAAUAAAUAAAUAAGAUAAGGGUUUAGAGAUUUGCAAAUUUUAUUUUUUUGCACAGAGCAAUUUUACCUGUUUUGAUUGCAAAAUGUUAGCGACUAUUUGGAUUCUUUGAAACUAUCUAUUCAUUUGUUGGAAUUAACUAACAAUCAAGUCAUAUUAAGUUAUUCUAAGUAGACUAUCUAAGUGAUGAGUUCGUUGGGACGUGAUAACCUAAUCAAUUUGUCAAGUUGCACCUGUUAGUCGCACAAUGAUCCUUAAAUGUGGUGUCUUAUUCCCUCGGUCUAUCCCUCCGGCUGUUGAGUUGCACGUGAUGGUCACACGAUGAUCCUUACGUGUACUGUCUUACUCCAUCAGGGGUAAUUGAAACAUAAACUUAAAUUGGAUUUCCUAAAUUUCCAAAGGUAUGGUGGCUAGUGUUCGUAAAGGUUCUCCAAUCUAUGAAUCUUAGAAGUACAUAGCACACUAUCCCUCUCGGUAGUUUUACAAACGGGAAGCCCUAUCAGCGUCUGCCUUACCAAGGUGCAAGGAGAAUGGAGUUACUAGGCUGAUUUAAGUCGUGAAGUCACUUGUUUUCAUAAUUAAUAACUAAUUUACUACUUGAUUUCCAUCAAUAUUAGUUAUGUCACCUCCUAAGUACUUACUAUCAGGGUAGGCUCGCUUGCGUUUUAUUUCGCUAUUUACUAACUAAUUACUUCCUGGUUAGAAAAAUAUAAAUAUCAAUAUUAGACCCUAUCACUACCUAAGUGCCUAAAUCACGGUUAUGCUUCAGAGGAGACAAAUCUUACGCAUUGCAGUAAAACUAAAUAGAGAACAUAAAAUAACUAAAUAAAUGAAUUAAAUAAUUAUCCAACAAAUUAAAUAGAGGUUUAUCUUAGAACUCUAGCUUAAAAAGAUUUAGUUACACAUGGUAACUAAAGACAAAUAGUAAAAGAAAUAAAACAUGCCCUAAAGAAAUUUGGAGUGAGGAGAGAGAAACUCCUCCCUAUAAGCUCCAAGUGUUUGCCUUCCUCUUGAUCCGCUUCGAUCUGAAUGAAAAAUUGUGAAUAAGGAAUGCGGUAUUUAUAGGGAGUGUUGCCAUCUGAACUCGGACCCAAAAACCGGGCUUUUCCAACUAAAAAGUAGGAAAAAGCAAUUUUGGCCUGCAUUCAGCAAUGCUCGGGGCGCACAGGUUGUGCUCGAGGCUCCUGAGUAUGCAAAGAAUGCAUGCUCGGGGAGCAUGGACCAUGUGUAACGCCCUAUUUUAUUAUUUAUUUAUUGUAUUGAGUUUAGAUGUCUUUUUAUAAUUUAGUCGAUUUAUUUUGAUGACUGAUAUUUUGUUAUGUUAUAUGUUGAUAUGUAUUAGUAGAAAUAUAUAUGUUAUGUGGUGUAGAAAUUUAUUUGUUAUUUGGUGUAGUAAUAUAUAUGUUAUAGAGAUAUAUUUGUUAUUUGGGGUAGAGAUAUAUUUGUUAUUUGUUAUACAAAUAUUUUAUAUAUAUAUAUAUAUAUAUAUAUAUAUAUAUAUAUAUAUUAAAAUAGAAUAUUGAGAUGUGAGGGGCAGAUAUGGAAUAAGGGAGAAUAUGUUAGGUUUAUAUAAAGAGAGCUUAGGAAUAGAGAAACAGAAUACGUGAAAACAAUUUUUGGGAGAAAAGGGAGAAACCAAGAGAAGAGAAGAGUCAGAGAAGAGAAAGCGGUAGAACCUUGCGAUCAUCUAAACUAAGGUAAGGGUGGGACUAAACUUCUAUAAUCAUAAGUAUGUAAUCCUGAAAAAGGAUUUAACCUUGUAGUUGUUAAUAGGUUUUGAUGUUGUAGAAUUAGGGUUUGAAACUAAAAUUGAUUAUAGAAAGAGCAGAUAAUCCGAUGAAUUAGGUUGAUAAUUGGUGAUUUUCUAAAAUAAUAUUUUGGGUCAAGUUUUAUAUGGUUUUGAGUGCCUUAUCAUGUAUAGAAAUGGUUAGACAAGUUUUGGAAUCAAAUUUGGGCAUUGGGAAGUCAAAAUUGGGAUUUUGGGGUGAAAAAUGGAUUUUUCCCGAGAGCUGCACAGUGACAGCAUCUCCUGUUUCAUGUUCUUGCGUCUUUUUCACAUAUUUAUGUUUUUAAUUGGCCUUUGGUGUAAACAUGAAAGUUGUAGAUAAUUGUGUUAGAGUUCCAGUGGCUUUGGUUUGACUUGAAAAUAAGUUUUGGUUUUUGAGUUAUGAUGAAAAUAUUUCAAAGAGGUCUUAGUGAAAUUUUAUGAAAAUUCCGGAUAACUAUUUCUAAGUCAACCCAAAACUUAUGGAUUGUCUCCAAACUUCAAAGUUUGUGUACUAUGAGUUCAAUUAAGGUGUUUAAUAGUAUUUAACCUAUGUUGUGAUGAAUCUAUCUUGGUUUGACGUGAAUAUCUUUAAUUGAUGAAUUAUUAUAUGAAUGUAUAUGUUAAUGAAUAUGAUGUUAUAUGAUGUUGUUCAUGAUUGAUGAAUUAUUAUAUGAAUGUAUAUGUUGACGAGUAUGAUGUUAUAUGAUGUUGUUCAUGAUUGAUGAAGUAUUAUAUGAAUGUAUAUGUUGAUGAAUAUGAUGUUACAUGAUGUUGUUUAUAAUUGAUGAAUUAUGAUAUUAUGAUGCGAAGUCGUUGUUACCGUUGUUGUGUUAAUAUCGUUAAGCUGCAAGUUGUCUAAGUUGUUGAAGUUGUAUAAGUUGUUGAAGUUGUCUAAGUUUGAAGUUGUCUAAGUUGCAAGUUGUGUAAGUUGUUGAAGUUGUCUAAGUUGUUAAAGUUGUUGGUUGAUGAGUCCUUGCAUACUCAUUAAAGUUGAGGGCUUGAUGCCCUGUUGGAUGUAUAAUCAUUCAUAUUAAGUUGAGGGCUUGAUGCCUUGUGAGCCCUUUUGUGCUCUAUAAGUUGAGGGCUUGAUGCCCUGUGAGCCCUUUUGUGCUCUAUAAGUUGGGGGCUUGAUGACCUGAUUGGUACCACAUGCAUGUUUAAGUUGUUGUCGUUGCACUGUUAAGUUGAUGUUGUUGUCGUUGCAUUGUUGUGGAUGUCGAGUUGUCGGUGUUGUUGCCGUGUUGUCAAGUUGUUGAAAUAAUUAAUGAGUUGUUCUCGAGGAAUUAUGUGAACCAUUGUUGAUGAUGAUUUGUUGUUGCAUUGUGUUGAUAAAUUCCCUUACUUAAAUUAUUGCUUAUUAGCUUUACUAAUGAUGAAUAUAUGUUGUUAUGUGUUGUUAAAUUCUUUUAAAGAAUUAUAUGCUUAUUAUUAUUGAAUGUGAAUUUCACCCCUUCUGUUUGAAUGUUGCCUCUACGUGGGUAACGUGCAGAAAACCAUAAUUAGAUGUUGAUGUGAGUUGACUCUCUCACGCGUCAUCUUAGGGUCGCUCUGAUACGUAACGGGAUGAAGAUCUUUGCAUUGUUUUCCUUUUGUUACGUAUAUUUAUGAAUUAUGUUGAUCAACCACCUAGAAUGGAAUUUUAAUAAGUUGUUUAUAUUGAGGCCAUGGUGCCAUUUUGUUGAAUAAUGAAAUGUUUUUCCGCUGCGAUGUAAUUUGAAUUAUUGAUGAAAGAUGUUUAAAUAAAUAGUAAUUCUACUCUAUUUAUCUUUUAAAGUAGUGUGACAUUGUCCCGUGAGCAUAGCUCAGUUGGUAGGACAAAGCAUUAUUAUAUGCAGGGGCCGGGGUUCGAACCCCGGACACCCCACUUAUAAGAUGUAUUCUAGCCACUAGGCUACCUGACCAAAAAAAAAAAAAGUUGUGUGACAUCCUGUUUAAGUUGAUUACUCUGAUUAUUAUGUAAAAAAUUUCAAGUUGGAAAAACGGGGUGUUACACCAUGCUCGGGGGGCUUGUGAGUGUGUUCUGAUGCAUAAAUCUCUGUUUUUCCUUCCUUUUGGGUGUUUGCUUCCAUAUAAGAUGUCUUGAGACAUGGGAACACAAUUUCUCCCUUUGUAAUGCCCUAUGAGGUCUCUUGAAUAUUCAUUCUUGAUCUACCAAAUGUCUUCACUGAUCUUUAGAUGUCUUGAUUUGCCGAUUUGCAUGAUUUUUUCGUGAAUUACAUCAAAAACAUCCUAGAAUUGCUAUGUUUCGUGAAGAAUAGAACUACAAACUCAAAUAUAGAAAACAUUGCAAAUGUCCCAAAAUCAUAAGCAAUUGUUCUAAUGCUCAUCUGUUCUACUGGUAAUACCUACUGAAAAACACGCUAAGAAUAACGUAAGACGAUCUGUCAUCAGUUAUUUAAGUAAUGCAAUGAUUAAAAUUAAAAAUAAUAAUGUUAGCAACAAUAAAAGAAAGAAAUUGUUUAUGACAAAAAAUAUUAUCUUAAUUUGUUGGAAGGGAAAUUGCAGAAAUGUAAAAUAAUGGGUUGCCUCCUAUUUAGCGUAUAUUUUAUGUCUCGAGCUUAAAAAUAUGUCGAUGUUGUGCCUUUAAAACAUUUCAAAGCAGGUUCUAUUUCUUUUGACUUCAAUUCCUUGAUCCUCCGCAUGCUUCAAUUUAUGUUGGUUAACUUUUAUAUACCAUUUAAUGUGUUCCCAUAUUUCUUCAACAAAGUUUUCUCGUCUUGUUCUUUCUUUUUCUGAUAGAAGCACGUAAUUGAUCUGGAUAAAAAUGAAGAAAUUUUGAAUUGAAAUUUUAAUUGAGAUAAGCUCUAUAAUGUAAAUUAAUUAAGAUUGAACACCUAAAUAUAAUUAAUUAAAAAUAAAAAGUACUAAAAUUUUCUUAGGAUUAAAAUUGACACCUAAACUAAGUUGCUUGGGCUCCAGUGGCAAGGAGCUCCUUCCAAGGAUGUACCCGGGAAAUACCGGGUUCGAUUCCCAGGGGGAACAACUCUUGACCAGUGUGCAUGCCUCUACGCACGAGUCGAAUUAGUUGCCCAGCUUUGGUGAGUCGGAAACCGGUGCGAAAGCAAAAAUAAAAAUAAAAAUUGACACCUAAAUAUAAUUAAUUAAAAAUUAAAAGUACUCAAAGUUACCUUAGGAUCAAAAUUGACUCAUACAUUUGACAUUCAAUAUUUUUUGAAAUGAUAUAUUUAACAUUUAAUGUUGCUUACAUAUAUCACAAUUUGAUUGCUUGAUAUCAUGGCGGAUAAAUUACCCCCUAAUCUAGAAAAAACCAAUUACUAGUCAAACUUCAUUAGUAUGGCUUCAACACUAUUGACGACAUGCACUUAUAUUCCAUAUAAUCCUUCACUUAUGUAAGAACCAUGUUAUAAAUUAUAAAUUGGAUGAACAUAGUUUUUACAAUGCUUCUAAAUAUGUCAUCCUUAUACCGGGUUCGAUUUUCAGGGAAAUAAUGCUUGGCCAGUGCGCAUGCGCAUGAGCCGGACUUUAGUGGGUUAGAAAAUAAAAAAAAAAAUAUAUAUUUUUCAUCCUUUCAUGAAUAUUGCUAUUAAAUUUUAAAUUUCUCUAAUGAUACUCCAUCAUGCAUAAGCGUCUGUUGUUUUUCUCUCGUUUGAACUUUAACAUGCUUUGAGUAUAAAGAGAAAACUUGUCAAAAAUAACUCGAACUUGCUUCCCCCACACGGCUGACAAAGCUAGUUGUAACAACUUUGGGUUAUAGUUUCAAUCAAAACCAACUUUGGGUUGUCAUAGACCUAUAGAACUUUGUUGUGUAUGUCUUCAAAUUGCAAAGUUGGGAAGCAGAGAAAUCGUGACAUGAUUUGGCAAUCGUGACACGAUUUUGGUAAUGUCGAGAGCUGGUUUUCAGGGCGUUCAAUCGUGACACGAUUUUUGGCUUGCUGGGCAAGAUUUUUAGGAUAAGGUUGGUCGUACCUUGGAUCGUACGCAUCAAUCGUGGCACGAUUGGGGAAAAACGUGACACGAUUUUGACGCAGAAGACAGCUAUAUAAGUGUUCUUUGCAGAUUUUGAAGGAGAGCUUGAAGAGAGAGAAACUUGGGAAAUCAAAGGAAGCAACUUUAGGGUUUAGGGUCUUUGAUUAGAGUUCUCUUGGGUUGGGAAACAUUGUAAACACCUUGGUGAGUGAAAAUCAUUGAGUGUCUUGUUCAUUGGUGAGAUUGGGAAAAAAGGGUAGAAAUUAGGGUUGUUCUUUGUGAACUUGUCAAAGUUAAUUUCUUGUAACCCUUUUGUAUCUCUUUGGAAGAACUCAUUGAUAGUGGAUUGGAGAGUUCAAUCUCUCCUCCAGAGUAGGUCAAGUUUGGACCGAACUGGGUGAACAAUCUUUGGUGUGUUUGUUUCUCUCUUCUCUCCUUUUAUAUUUUGCUUGUGGUUUGUGCUUUUCACUUUGAUUCCUAGAUUAGAUCUAGGUGCUGUUAUUGUUGAUUAUUGCUUGUGUUCACUUUGUUAUUGGUUACUACGUUCCUUUGCUCCACACAUCAUAGUUUGUAUUGGUGUGAUUUGAGAUCGGAAUUCACAACAAACUUUAUAUUUUCAACUCAGAUAUGUAUAACUUGAUUUCCUUAAGGAGACGAGUUUUGAAAAACAGGGUCCACUGGCGUGCCAAUUUGUUUACUUGGGUUUUCGGCAAACUAUGGGCUAGUUAUGAUAAUUACAAACGAGACUGAAGUAGAAAUCUCAGGACAUGUUGUGCAAAGGUUUUGAUCGAAAACGGUUUGAAAAAGGCCACGAGAUGCACUCAAGUUACUUAGAGAGCAGGAUGAGUUUUGAAAUAAAAAAGGGCACCGUCUCUCGACAGGUUUGAGAUUUCAAGUAAAAGCAAGACAAAAUUUAAAGGAAAGAGUAAAAGUUUAAACGCAUAAACUUUAAGGAAAUGUAAAAUGCAUUGCAUUAAAAGUAAAUUGGUCUACAAAUCAGUUUACAUACAUUAUGUAUAACUUGUUUCCCUAGACGCCGGUAGUUUGAGUGUUGUAGAAUUUCAUAAAUGAUUUGCGACCCGUUUUCCGGCUUGGAAACUCUUAUUUAUACUAAAAAACUAACAUGCAAAACACUAAUCCCAUGAUCAGCACUUUCUCCAUCUUGGACAACCGCUUGCCCCACGUUUCUACUAAGGGAACCUCUUUUGAGCUUGAAAUCGUGUUUUCCCGCCUUGAAUGCUUGACUUUGACGCGAUUGCUCUUUCGGCCUUGCUUUGUUGAACUUCUGACUAUGCGCUAUAGGCUUGCCAUCUUGUCAAAAUCCUCCAGUUGAAAUGAGAAAGCCUUCGAUUCUUUCAAAGUUAAAGGUCAACCAAGUGUUGACCUUAUUAAAUGAGCCUGUCAAAAUUACAGGCUAACAACACGUGCCCGGAAACCCGAUUUUUUGUGAUUUUGCGAUCUUUUAAGUGUCCAUAUUAGUGAUCCAAACACCUAACCCUAUCUAAUUGAAGUAUAUUUGAACUUUUAUGGGUAGAUUAAAUUGGUCUUGAAUUGAAAAUGAUUUCGUUUUGAAAGGAGAUUAAAAAUAGGUGAACUUAGUAAAAUGGGAACCCUAAGUGAAUUUUGUGAAGAGUUUGUGCUAUGUUUUAACUUCUGAACUAUUAGAUAACAUGUAGGAAUGUUGAGAAAGGUUGUUGACACGUGAAAACACUAUUUUGGUGAAAUACUUGAAAAAUCAAUGUUUUGUGGAAAAUAGACGAACUUUAUCAAAAUAGGUUUUAUGAUAUUCAAAGCUUGUAAAUGAAUUAUAUCCAUGUUUAUAUGAUGGAAUGAUGAUGAACCAAUGACUAUUAGGUGUUCAGUAGGAUGGAUGUCAUUAUAUUGUUACUUUUACGUCUUGUAUGCAAAAUGUGAAAUUGAAACGAUGUUGUUUCUUUAAGAUGGUAGUCGUUAAUGUUUUAAUGAUUAAUAAUGGUGUGGGUUGUUGUGAAUAGUUUUAUUAAGUGUUGUUAAUCAUUUGGAAAUUUAAUAUGUCAUUUUAUUUUUAUUUGAUUCUAUCUUGGUGGAAUGUUAUCUAACCUCCAAUGGUCGUUUGGUUGACCGCCUACCUUGUUCGUAUGAAUGGGUAGACGGCUUGUAGGAUUAGUUACUUUGCUUGAUUUGUGAGUAUGCUUGAGGCUAGCUUUGGAGCUAGCUCGUUUUUUGUUUUGGAGUCUGAGUGUCGGGCUUUGAUUAAGAUGUCUGUCUUAGUUAUUUAUGUUUUAUGACUUCAUGAGAUUCAUCAUUCAGUUUGUUGAGAUUUGGAGAUUUAUUUUGGUCUUGUAUUAUGAUACAUAUGACAUGACUGUUUUGGAGAUUAAUUAUCUGUUGAUGAGAUAUUAUGAUAUUAUUCUGCUGCGAUGUUUUGAAAAUUAAUAGAAUUAACCGGAUGAAAUUAUUUUUAACAGAAAUUCAUUCCAAUUUUUGUGCUUGAAUCAUGUAUCGACAUAGUUUAUCCGGAAAAGAUGAUGAAAAGAGUAUCGCUUCAUGGCUCAUCUCGUUUCGACGAAUAUAUGAGGAAAAAGAAUGUUUUUGCUAGAUGCCUCAAUGCUGAUAUGAUUCCAAGUAACUUAACAAGUACAUGACCUAAACAGAUUAACUCUAGUCUAAUAAUCGUACUCACUGCAAGUAUAACAUUUUUGGUUGGUGAUGAACAUGGAAGUGAGAUUGAUGUUUGACCAAUUUCCUGAGAAUGGGUGCCUCUCGUGUAGGUUCUCUUCUUAUUCUUUGGCUCUAAUUCCAAGAAUUUAAUCUUCGUUUCAGUUGAGUGAUUUUCACCCAAUCUCCUUAUGGAUAAUAUAGUGUCAAGUAACCAAUCAACAUUUUUAAAGUGUCGACAGUUGGUGGAUGAGAUGGUGCAGGUUAAUGAGAUCAGAGAAGACACUGAGAAGAGAAUAAGAGAAUGUUUGAUUCUUAAAGUGGACUUAAAAAAAGAUUAUGAUUCAGUGGAUCUAGAGUUUAUUGGACUAUAUGUUUGGGAGGUAUAGGCUUUGAUGUGUGGCAAAAUUGGAUUAGAUCUUGUAUAUGUAUGAUAAUCUUUCAAUGUUUAUUAAUGGUAGUCCAACGAAGGAAGUGUCAAUUAAGAUAGGUUUGAAACAAAGCUGACAUGUUUUCUCCUAUGGUAUUUCUUUUGGUAGUAGAAGGAUUUGGGUCAUUGAUGAAAUCAGCGAGCGAGUGAGAAGGACUAUGGGCUAGGCGAUGACAAUUUGGAGGUGGUUACUUGAAAAAGAGAAUGCACAUUAGGAAGAUGUUAAAGUUGUUAAGUAUAAAGUUUUGCGGCUCAUUGCAAUCUUACAAGAUUUCGGAUUCAUUCUUGGACAUGCAUCAAUAUUAAAUCUUUUGAAAAAGAGUUUUUGCCACUUAUUAUAAUCUUGCUUGAUUCAAAUGAUUAAUCUUUAGUUGCAUGCAGAAACGCAAUUCAUCACCAAAAAUUCAAAGUUACAUUAUAUAUUAUCAUAUGAUCGAAUCUUAACUCAUCACAAAGGCUUCCUUAAAAUAAUAAUAAUAAUAAUCACAAGCCUACCACUAGUUUUAACUGCUUUAAUUAGGAGAAGCUUAAUUUUGAUAACACAUAUGAUACUAUAUAUAUAUAAGAUAAGAUAUGUUAUUUUGAUAACAUAUAUUAUUUCCUAUUCAUUUCUUAAACCUUAUUUGAACACGAGGGGCCCAUAAAGGUGUAACUCCUCAAUUGGUGUGCUUGGUUUGGUGCGAAAAACAUCAGAAAUAUACUAGUACUCCCUCCGGUCAUUAUUAUAAGUAAAAAUCAACUUUAUAAGUUCAUUCAUUAAAUGAUGUAUUUGGUCAAUAACAUAGACUAAAUACAUCAUUUAAUGAAUGAACCUAAAAAGUUGAUUUUUACUUAUAAUAGUGAUCGGAGAGAGUAUCUAGUAUCCUAGACACAGAUUAUAUGACACAAGGAUUCUCAUCAGACUCUCUUACAGCAUGAUUGGGUACCCAUGCAAUGGCCUUGUUGCUAACAAAAUGACAUAUUGGAAUUGUUCCAGGCUUGACUUUGAGAACUUCAUAAAGCACAUCAGGAUCCAUACCUCUCGUGUCAUGGUGGCAUAUUGUUAGUGCCUUCGCUUUAGUUCCAUCAGAGGCCACUAAAGGAACUAUGUAUGUUGAUGUUGCAUUGACUUGGUGGCAAUAAAAUACAACUUGAUCGAAAUUUAGUUUAUGACACAUCACGGCUUUGUCUCCAAUUUUCUUCACUUCCUGUACUAUAUAUUGGUCUUGGUUUUGUGCAAAGGAACUUGAAAUCAACUUAAUAUUUUUUCCAAGCUUUGAAAUGGCGAAAUCUAUCAUUGAUUCUAGGGUUGAUGCGCAAUACUUGUGUUCUCCUAUAGCUGCUGGGUUCACACAAUAGCUAUUAAGACUAUGUUUUUCACUCCAUAUCCAUGUUCCCAAAGGUUGUCUUAUUCUUCCAUCAGGUAUCCAUGCAUUUGGUCGUAACGGUUGCUUAUCAGAAUGCUUGUGGAAGCCUAAGCUCAUUUUCUUUCCAGGGUAGAGGUCAUGUUGGAAAAAGGCUGUCCAAUCUUGCUUGUCAAAUUGAUCACUAAUGGGUACAUUAGUUUCGAUGUCUGCACCAUUAAAAAUAAAAAGUAUUAUUUCCUGAAUAAGAUAUUUAGACGGUUACGAUAAAGUUCUCGCUUACUCGUAUCUUGAGAACACAUGUUAAAGAUUUUUAAAAAGCAAUUUUGCGAUGAUAUGAAUACUUUUUUUACUUUUGAAACAUUAAGUGCUCGAUUUUUAAGACAGCAUUACUUCAAUUCGUUAAGUUUCUAAAGUAUGUGCUUUGUAGUUGAGCAGUUCAACUCUCGGAUUUUGUCUUUUAUUACGUUCUUCGUGUCGGGUCUCGAACCGAGUUCCUCUAGAUUGUAGGGCAAACCUUGCAACCAAGUGACUUCUCUGGAGACAGGCACCGGUGUUCUGCUCUAUAAGAUGAAGACAUUUUCUUGUGUUUUUUUUUUGUCAGGUAUCCUAGUGGCUAUAAUUCACCUUAUAAGGUGAAUAAUUGGGGUGUCCGGGGUUCGAACUCCGGCCCCUGCAUAUAAUAAUGCAUUAUCCUACCAACUGAGCUAUGUUCACGGGACAGUUAUUUUCAUAAUUUAACCACACUAAAAUAUUAAUUAUGUCUGGAUCGGUCUCAGGGUGUCAUUUGACUAAAAACAUAAUGUAACCUUGAACAUUGAAAUCAUGGCAUAAUUAGUAACAAUAUUUCUAAAAUAUAGACAAUCAAAAAUAACAAAAGGGGUCUAACCCGAAAUAAACAGGUCGAGGAGAGUCUUCGGCAUAGAAGUGUUUGGCCAAACGGAUUUCCAAUAUUCUUCUUCAGAUUGUGAAGCAUCAAUUUCCACAAGAGUUAACUACACCAAAAUUUCAAAUUAAAAGAAAAAGUUAUUCAGAUUCAGAUUGACUUGGCUGCAAAAUUUUUAUCGACUUGGUUGCAAAAUUUUUAUCGAGUUAUUGACUUCUUCAAUUUCAUGAUGUAUAUAAUUUCCAAGGCUAGAAAGAGUCGAGCCGAGCCAAAUCAGAUUCAGCUUGGAUCAACUCGAUAAAAAUUGAAUAAGUCGAAACUCGACUCGACUUUGUUAUGAUUUUUUUCUGUUCGAACUCGACUCGAUUUAAGUUCACAAACAACUCGGCUCGGCUCGAUAGCUCAAGAAAUUAUCAAUUUCUAACGAAAAAUCGUUCAAAAUAUAAAAAUUCUAUUGAAAACAGACAUGGAUUCCUUCCUGAAAAAAGUAAGGCAGUAGGUAAUUCGUGAUGAAAAAUGAAAUAUCUCAAAUCAAAUAUAAUAAACUACAGAAAAUAGCUUACACAUAUUAGAAGAACUAAACAAGAUAAUUGUUUAAACUCCAUUUAAGCUACAUGCAGUGGUGGUUAUAGAAGGUAUAUGUAAUGUGUGUCUAUUUGUGUCUAUAUAUAAUGAAUCAAUGGGUGCCUCCGGAGGUGGAGAGAAUUCCGCAACCAUGUUGAGAGAAAUCGUAGCACAUGGAAAACCACAUGGAGGCUGCUGAACCAAUUUUGCAUAGUCCAACUAUCCUUAGUCCUUACCAUUACCUCCUUUCUCCUAUACAUACAUUUGAGUAUAGUUCAAGUAAACAACAAUCCACAUGUCAUUCUCCUUUCUUCUAUCUAAAACAAUGACACAUAGGGAUUGGAAUAGGCCAGACCGGCCUACAGAGGCCUACGGCCUAGCCUACGACAGGCAAGGCCAAGCUAGACUUUUUUCUUAAACAGAGAAGGCCAAGGCUUUUUUAGAAGCCUAUUUAACUUAAAAGGUCAUGCCACAUGCCACUCAAAAACCCUCUUAGGCCUAUUAGGCCGACCUAUUUAAGUAAAUAUGAAUAAUAUUAUUUAUUAUUAUAUUAUAUUUUGUACUUUGAAUUAAAAUAAAAGUUUGUUAAUUUUUUUUCGGUAAUUUAAGCUUAUUAAUAUACAUCAGUUUUUUUGCAUAUUUAAUUAUGUAUUAUUAUAGACUUAUCUUGAUUAUCAAAGUGAAUUUAAUCUAAUUGAUAUAUUAGUUCCUUAGUCUAUUUAAACUUAAAUUACAUUGCUUAUUUAAAGAUGUUCAUGUAAAAUAGGCUUUUAAACAGGCUAGUAGGCCAUCAGACUUUCAGAAGACCAGACUCAGGCCUAAAAAGUAAGCAUACGACAGACCGCAGAACAAGCUUAGGCCUUCAAGUUGGCAGGCCAGGCUCAGGUCUUGCAAAGCCUACCUUGUCCUAGCCUAUUCCAGCCGCUAAUGACACAUGUCAUUAUGUUGCACAAACCAUACAAAUGAUUUUUUUUUUAUUACCUAUAAAAAUGAAACUGUAAUGGCAUUAAAAAUUUAUUUGGUUUGACUUAUUCUUAAAUUGGUUUUAAUUGACAGAUGAGAAUUUAAAUGAAUUAAAAUUGGAUCAAUUCACAUCAAUUUAAAUGACUUAAGUUUUAAAUUUAUUAACGCUUUUUUACAAAUGCUUUUUAAAUGACUUAAAGGUAUAAGUGUGAUUAUAAAUUUGAGAUUAAUUAGAAUACUCUAACGGUGUAAAACCAUUUUACAUGAUCAACCAAUAGAAUUCUAACACAUAUCCACUUUUAAAUAAGAUUCUAAGUCUGAAAACCGUUGUUCUCUUACCCUUCAUCUCUAUUACACGGUGCAUCUCUAUAUCUAUUCUACUGUUCUUCAUCACUUCAAUCAUAGUCUCAACUCAUGUUGGUUCUUGGCGUUUGACAACAAGCUACCGUGCUUUGACGCACAACAAGUAAUUGAAGAACAGAGAACCAAAAUAUGGAUUAAUCGGAAAAUAAGAGGGUGAUUGAUUGACCUAAUUGGAACAUAGAAAGGACAUGAUCUGCCGUCAUCGUUCCCACGGAUCAAAAACAAUGAAAUUCUGAAAUUAAAUCCCCCAAUUUCUAAUUCAAGCAUGUUGAUGCUCAUAAUGUAACAAUUGCCUGAUUACAUUGUUAGUUACCGUGAAGAACCAAAAACUGAGAGUUUUCACAACCUGUGCACUUAAGAGUAAAUUUUAGGUUUUUUUUCAUUCUUUUUUUUUUUUAAUAGUCAAAUUUAUUCUCGACGAGCUAAUGCAAGGAGCAUAAAACACUCGCGGCAAAAAUGGGAAAAAAUACAAGAGAGGCGCCGCAAAUAUACGGAACACCAAAACACCCAAAAAAGCCCCAAACCACUAGGAAUCCGGCCUUGAGGCCGGCAUAUACAAGCGAACAAAGCGCAGGCAUACCCCUGCCUCACUGCCAAAGCCGAGCCAGCACUCCACCAAACAGAAAAGCUGAAAGGCCCCGUAAAACAUAGCAGCACCCCACGCUACUGUAACAGAAAAAAAAAUAGAAAAUUCCAGCUGCCAAACAUGCUAGGAGUGAACAAACAAAAACAUAAGUUGUUGCACUAAGCACCAAAGCCUGCAGAAAUUACGGACGCGUACACACCCUACUAAGGCACCAUUGAGGGUUCCAACACCAUUAAAAAAAUAAACAAAUCAGAAUGUACAUCCUACUCAACAUUCACUUCCAAGCCAACACUUUGGCAUCCUCCACAAUACUAUCAACCACAAAAUUGAUCUCCUUAAAGAUUUUAUCAUUCUGCGCUUUCCACAAGGCACAUAUGGCUGCUAGCCAAAUCAACUCCAACCCCUUUCAACAUUCUUAUUUCGUCCCCCCCCCCCCCCCCCCCCAAUGGACAAAUAGAUUGGGCGGGAUAAGAAAGAAGCGAUCUAACCACGACAUCAACUUAAACCACACCGCACUAGCCACAUCACAAUGAAGAAAUAGAUGAAGUACGGUUUCUUCCUUUCUAUUGCAUAAAACACACAACAAAGAUUCUUCCAGGUCAAGCACAUUCCUCAAAGCGAGAUUAGCUUUUGUCGGAACAUGGCUAAGGAUAACUUUCCAAGCAAAGGUCACCACCUUCGAAGGCGCCAAACUCUUCCACAACUUCUCAAAAGCUCGUUUUUCCUCCUCCCUCCACAAAACCUCACUAAGAACAAGGCCCUCCAAUUUUAUAAAUUUCGAUUUUACCGUAAACACCCCAUCCUCAUCCAAUUUCCACUUCCACACAUCAACAUGGUUAGACAAACUCACCCCUUCCAAAUCCUCCCUAAGGCUUAAAAGCACCUCCUCUUCCCACAUGAAUAGAUGCCUUCUCCAAGUGAAAAUCCAAUCCGUCUCUAGAUCCGGCACCACCCCCACCUCCCCUACCAUGGCCUCCCUUUGCGUCGAAAUCAAAUAAAGCAUAGGGUACUUAAUCCGGAAACAUGUACCCCCUCACCAAGUAUCAUUCCAAAAACUACUAGUUAGGCCAUUGCCUACUUUCCGCUCAACUUCCGAAUUAAACCAAUUAAGCUCACCAAAAUCACCAAGCUUAACGAGUUAACCCCCAAACUCCCGUUCCUUUUAUUUUGGCACACCAACUCCCAUUUCACCCAACUAAUCUUCUUAACCCCCUCCCACUCCUCCCCAUAAAAUUUCCCUUUGAAUGUGAAUUAUCCUCCUCCAAACUUGAACCGGCAACUUCAAGAAAGACAAGAAAAAGAUGGGAAUAGCAUUGAGGACUGAAUUUAAAAGGACAAUUCUACCUCCAAUGCUAAUGUGCUUAUGGCCCAAAGUAUUCAACUUACCACUUAAGUUCUCCACCAACGGCUCCCAUGUAGACAUACUAUGCGAGUUAGCACCCACCGGAAGACCCAAAUAUUUAAAACGGGCACUCCACAUACUACAAUUCAAAUAAUUGAAAGCCAUUUCCAUAAACUCAUUAUCCACAUUUACUCCUAUCAACGAGCUCUUUGAGAAGUUAAUCUUGAGCCCCAACGCCAUCUCAAAGCCUCUAAAGAGAGAUUUAAUAACCCAAAGAUUAUCCACCGUUGGUUUACCAAUACACAAAGCAUCAUCAGCAUAUUGCAAGUGAGAAACCAGCAAACCACUAUCACCAAACGCAAAGCCCUCAAACAAACUACGGUCCACCGCAUUCCUCAUCAAGCCGCUAAAUCCUUCCGCCGCCAAGAGAAACAAAAAAGGGGCAAGGGGAUCCCCUUGUUUAAGGCCUCGAUGAAUGCAAAUCUCCUCCGUUGGACUACCAUUCACAAGAAUGGACAUACUCCCACAAAAAACACAAGCUUUCAUCCAAGCCACCCACUUGGCACACAUUCCCACCCUAAUCAUCAAAUACUCCAAGAAACCCCAAUCAAUCGAAUCAUACGCCUUCUCGAAGUCCACCUUAAAAAUAAGACAUUCUUGCUUUUCCUUCUUCACAUAAUCCACCAACUCAUUCACCACCAAGACCCCGUCCACCAAGUGGCUACAUUUAAGAAAAGCCGAUUGAGAUGGAGAAAUAAUGGAAUUCAUCACAAUCGCUAGCCUCCUAGCCAAAACCUUAGCUAGUAAUUUAUAUAAACAUCCUAGCAAGGAGAUUGGUCUAAAAUCCUUUAACUCCAACAAGGAUGACACUUUAGGGAUCAAAGUCACAAAAAAUGGCAACAUACACUUCGACAACACUUCAUUCGCAUGGAUGAUAACAGUCCGUCAUAUCAUAUUUUUAGAGUCUUUUUAACUAAGUUUUAAUUCCAUUAUUAUUAGUUUAGUACUUAAUUUAGAGUCCUUUAAAUAAAAUGUCAUGUUAAGUAGUGUAGUAGUGCUUAUUAUUACUAUGACAAAGGUUUGUGGCAUACUUGACAACAUAAUGUCUUAGUUAUUACUAUAUGAGCCACACGUGCAGCAGACUUGGGAAUUAGAAGAAAAACAAGGAAAGAAAAUGAUGCCACACCACACUGCCAUGUGCUAGAAUUUAUAAAUUGGGCUUUUGACCCAAGUGGACUUAGCUGACCCGUAAACAACAAAUGGAGGAGCCUGAGAGCAUAAAAGAAAGGAGCCGCACAGGAACUAAGAAAAAGGAGGGAUUUCACGUUUUGGAAUAAGAGUUUGGAGAGAUGGCAUUUCUAGAGAGAAACACAAGGCAAGGUAGUUAAGAGUAGAUUCAAUCCAAGAUUCAUUGAGACAUCAUGAAUCUUGUCAUGGAAUCUUCAUCUUUUCUUCAUCCUUUGCAAAGCUAUCAUAGACAUAUGUAGCUACAUCUACCCUUGUGGAUUUUGAGGUAUUCAAACAAGCCAUUAUGUAAUCUUUUGAUCAUUUAAUCUUGUUAUUCUUGCAUUUAAUGUUUUAUUGAGAUUCAAAAUGAUAUGGACACAUACUUUUGAAUCUAGAAAUAGAAUAACAAUCUAUCUUAAGUUAUCACUCUAGACAUGGAUGUUAAUAUUUGAUAAUCACUUUUAAUCUAGGACUUAAUGCUUUUGGGUAAUUUAAUCGCUUGGAAAAUCGUCGAUUAAACGAUCCGAUCGACUUUGCGAUUGUUUAAUAGUUUGGGAAAUCGACUUUUGAAUAGUCCAUUAGAAAUCACGACAUCAUUUGGACACGAAUGAUGUUGUCAAGUGAUUGUGAUAAUAUCGUUUAAAAAGCUAGAAUUCGUUAUUUGAUCGAGAGAUUGCAGCUGUUACGCUUGGUUGAUAUCUCUGACCCCAAGCGAAAUGGUCCUAUCUCUUCUCUACUUUAUUUUAUGUCAAAUAGUUUAUAGGUUUACACAAACAAACAUUUUAAAUCCAUACACUUAGAACAAUAUUGAUUGUUGAAUGGCUUGAAUAUCGCGCUAGUUCCUGUGGAGACGAUAUACACAAAAAUACUUACUUUUGAUUGAUAGAAAAAUACUACAUCGAUGGAAUUGAUCGAACAUGAUUCACACCUCAUCUUUAAUCAAAGGAAAAAUUAUAACCAUUCGGGCCCGGGCUUUUACCACCAUCGCUAUCUCUAACCACCUCCUCAAUUUCCAACAAAGAAAAAGGAGCCACCAAUAGCCCAUUCUCCACUUCGGUUAGGCUCUCAAAGUCAACCCUAUCCAACCUCGGUCUAUCCCACCUAUCCUCCGCAAAGUGAUUUGUAAAAUAAUUCACCACCUUCCUACAAACCUCAAAUGGUGACACCACCCAACCCUCAUUCUCCUCAAGAGCCUUGAUCGAAUUUAUACUCUUCCUCAACUUAAUGCAUUUAUGGAAAAACUUUGAGUUUGCAUCACCCUUUUUUAGCCAUCGCGACCUCGACCUUUGUGUUAUCAAUGUAUCUUUCGCCUUAAGAAGUCUCCACAAUUCAACUAACUUUCCUUUAUGAAGACCAACUUCCUAUUCGGUCAACGUGCCUUCCUCCCCUUUUUCGUCGAGCAUUUUGAUAUCCUCCACUAGCAACUCAACCCUAUCUUCCAUUCCUCCAUACUCCUUCUUAAUCUACUCCUUAAGAAUGACUUUAAGACCCUUCAAUUUUUCUUUUAACACAAAAGUCAUCCAUCCGAAGCCAAUAUGAUUCCUCCAAGCAUCGUCUACCACCCUUUUAAAAUCUAAAUUUUGGAUCCAAAAAUUAUUAAAGCAGAAAGGUGUUAGCCCCCAAUUCCAUCUUCCAUUUUUAAGAACCAAGGGUCAAUGAUCGAAGACAUCUCUCGGAAACACCCAAAGAGCAUUCUCCCCGCACAUUAAAAGUUGAAACAAUCAUUAAACCACCCUAUCCACCUCCUUACUAGCCUUGAGCUUCACCGCCUUGUCUUCUAAAUCAUCAAGCUUGUCAAUGAUCCCACCUUCCUUCAUAGCGAAGGAAACCCCCUCCUUCUUUUGGGUGCCAAGUACUUUCUUGGCCGCUAACACUUUAAGGUGAUUCCCUCUACCUCCCUUGUUACACACAUGAUAAUCUUCCUUCGCUUCAACAUUGUUGUUAAAAACUAUCCAAUGCCGGAACCUUGAGAUAGUGUAUCGUCCCAUGAACGAGCUUGUCCACAGGACCUACCAACGCCGCACUCCAGAUCAUCCUCCUCACUCCAACCAUCUUCCCUACCCACCAGAUGAGACACCGUUCUUCUAUGCGUCGAGCAAAUUUUGUACCUCCUUUUGUCACUUUUACACAAAUUAGGACUACCCUCCAAAUGAACCUCUAAAGCCGGACCCAAAUGCUUCUUAGACAAAAACAUAGAAUUUUUCUUCUUUUUAUUCCUUUGUCUUAUUUUCAAAAUCUUCCGUUCAUCCCCCACAUAAUCUUCAAUUGAAUCGCUAAACUCUGAGCAUUCGUAUUCUUCCGAAAGGAACCUAAUAUUGUUGUUGACCGACAACUCCCCCCUUACAUGGAAAUUAUCGUGAAUUAAGGGACCAACUUCACACCUUUGAGGCGAACACUGCUCCUCCAAUUGAUACUACAUCCCCCUAAUUACACUAAAAGUUGGCUGAUCCUUCCCAAGAAACUGGGCUUUACAAGGUGUAGGCCCAAUUAACUUACCCGACCUAGAUACCGAAUUCAGCUGACCCACAGACCUAGCAAUAAGCCCCACCAUUGGCUGCACAACUGGUAACCCCACCUCCAACAUAACAGGCGCGUGGGAGACAUCUCUCAUUUUAACCUUCACGCCAACCAAGAGACCAUCCCCCAUGUCCCCUUCAAUUCUGAUGCACAUGUCCACUUCCUCUCUCCUGUUGUCAUGUCCCUUUUCCUUAGUUGCCACAUGUAUGCUUAUAAUUGGAUCUUUGAAACACACAUCCCCUUUUAAGGAUCCUAUAGACUGGGAUACCUCAAAAGUUUCUUCCUUUUCUGGGCUUAACCCCUGAGCAGCCUGCAUCAGAUUUUGACCAAGGGACCUUAUUAUACAGACACUAACUCCAUAUGGCUAGGAUCAUCAUCAGAUUGGCACCCUUCCUCUAACCCAAACAUGACACCCUCUCGUGAAAAAACGGAGAAGACCUCCUCACACUCCACCUCUCUCCGAUCUGGUGGCCACCGCCGUCCACCACCUACCUCCACCACCCAUAAACAAAAAUCCAUACCCAUAACCUUCAGAUUCAGGUGCUCAUCAAUCACCCCUCUCCUCUUAGAAGAAACUUGGAUCAUGGCUACAUCCAACCUCUUUCUCCCAAUUGUGUAAUCAUCAAAAUCUAAGAACACCCCAAACAAAGAGUCAAUCUUCUUGAACAAGGGUUCAUCCCAAACAUGGAGGGGAAUACCAUGAACAUGGAGCCAAACCGCCAUACUAUCUGCCACCAACUGAGGUGUCCACCUUCUAACCGAAGAAAAUAUCACCAAGCUAGAUGGCUAUUGCGAACCGGGUCAAUAUCCUUCAUACCUUCAAUAUGCAAAAGCAUCUUUCUGUCUCCCAUCUCUAUGACUUUAACACCUCGAAUGCCUUCCAUAACCAAAGCUUGUUGCACCUCCAAAGCAUCCUUCUGAUGGAACAGUUCCCCCAUAAAGGUCCACUGCAAAUAGUCUAGCAUCUCCUUCGAUGGAACAAUUUCCAAUGUUGGAGCAACCCCAUUCAAAAUCGGAAAAUUAUCCUUUUCCAACGUCAACGCAUUUUUGAACGAUUUCCCCGGAGUAGCGGUGACGCCAAAGCCUUCCUCCGCCUCCCUAACUUUCUUCUCCACGCUACCAAAGCGCGGUCUGUUGACCUUCAACCAGAUCUCUCCUAACAUUUCAAAAGAUUAUAUAAUGUGACAGAUUUUUAUUGGAUGAGUGUGUAAAAAUAUCUUUACACAGUCAGCGUAUUCUAAUUAAUCUCUAUAAAUUUUUAAACCUUUUUUUUCCAAGUUAUGAAUACCAAAUGCUUUUAAAUUAAACUUAUUCAUACCAAAUUAUUAAUACCAAAUAUUUUUAAAUUAAAAUUGUUAUUUAACUUUAGUUACUUAAAAAAAGGUUAUAAGCCUCAUAUACCCCUUUAUAUUACAAAUGACUUAUGUAAUCUAGGUUAAUGCUAUUAGAAAGAAAAAGGAACAAAAAAAAUAAAAAAAAUAAAGGGUUAAACUAAUGUUAGCUAACCUAUAUGCUCACGAGUUUCUUUCUUUAUGAAUUAAUUGAUAAUUAUCAAGAAAACAUUGGACAAAUAUUAGUUUAAACGGGAAAAUAUAUUUAUAACUUAAUCAUAAAUAAGUAUGGGACAAGUAUUAAAACUUGUUGAUCGCACGGUAAUCCUUACGUGCGGGGUCUUGCUAAUUCAAAGGUAAUUGAAACAUAAACUUAAAUUGGCUUCUAGUGUUUCCCAAGGCAAUGAAGGCCAAGGUUCCCUUAAGUUUGUCCAUCUAUGAAUCUUAGGACACUCAUAGUACACUCUCUCUACGCUUACUUAGUAGUUCUACAAACGGGCAACCCUAAUCUUUGUCUACCUUACUAAGGGUUUCAAGAGAAUCGUCUUACUAGGUUAUAGCCUUAAGUCGGACAGCUAGGUGCUUGCUUCCCUAAUUACUAACCAGUUAAUUCCUAGCUUCUGUAAUGCACCACACGACCCAAUGGGUUUUAGCCACUGGAUGCCUACGUCUAGGGUCAACAAUUCCUAUGGUAUCUUUGGCUAAUUAAUAAUCACUUACUUCCUAGACAGAUAGUUAUCA
rnacentral:lncRNA from 1 species